UUUUUUUUCUCUCUUCUUCUUCCUCCGUGCGUCGCGUAACUUUCCGUCCAGAUCUGCGUCACCGUGCCCGGUCCUCGCCGCCGCUCGUGCUUCACCCUUGCAGUUCGCAGUAGCUCAGAUCCGUCGCUGCAACCGUCGGCCGGUUCGUGAAGCCCUGCCGCGCAACCUCUGUUUCCAGCCGCCGCCCAUUCCGUUCUCCUCUGUUUUCUGUACUGCUGCGCGACUCUCCGACCGCGUCUGUCUUCACCUCCGUGAAGUCGUCGACACAUACAUCUUGUGAAGCCCGGUCGCCGCGUCAGAUCGUCGAUCGAUUUUGAGGCAGCCGCCACGUUCCCUUUGGCCGACCGCUGACCGACCCACACUUAGGAUUUUGCUGCGAGUUCGACAGUCGUGCGUUGAGGUGUUGGGAGUAACGUUAGGCUCCCUUACAUUCACAACCAGUUUGUGAGUUGUUGAGGGUUCAGUUCGCCAAUAUAUCGGUGAGUUGGAACUUACGUUGAGGAAAGUAAGUGAGAUAUGUAUCGUGAAAGUAAUUGAAUUUUGUGUUUGUUGUGCUUAGGAUUGUUUCGAGGACGUUAGUUGAUUAAGGAGCUUCCCCAACUUUGAGGUAAGGGAUUUUCUACUGGACCCAAUUGUGAUUGUGAACUGUGAUUGUGAACUGUAUGUGUGUUGAAUGUAUACUGGGGUUGACUGAAAAUAUAUAUGAAUGUAUGUGAAUUGAAGUAGACUUGACGUCGAAUGUAUGUCGUGAUUGUCCUGGAAUCUAUAUAUAAAUGUGUGUAUGUGGACAGGACGGAAAUUGUAGAUUGUGCUUGUAUGAGAUGCAGAUGUGAACUUGUGAUUGUCGUUUAGAUUGGGUGUACGUUACGCUAAAGUAUGACUGUGAGCUGGUGAACUGAGGGGUGUAUUGACUGUAUAGUUGAUUGACUGACGUAUUAGUAUAUUAUUGACAGACAUAUGACUAAAGUGAGAUAAGUUGACUGUUAGGACGUUGAGAGAAAGAACUUUAUGUUUUGAAGUAACUGAAAGAUGGAUUGAAUGGAAUGAGGGGGUAAAUUGUUAGAUUGUAUUGGGAUGUUUACCUUGUAGGUGUCCCACGGGAUCACCAAUUUAUUGUGCACCUUCGGGAGCAUUUGACUGAUAUGUGUUUCUGCAGAACACUAGACUGAUAUGUACGUCCCUCGGGGCGUUAGACUGAUAUGUACGUCCCUCGGGGCGUUAGACUGAGAUGUGUAUCCUACGGGAUCACAAGACUGCGACUGUACAAGGUGUCCCAAUAGAACUUUAACAAUUUAUUUUCCCCUGACGAGACCAGUAGAGGGUCUCUUACUGGGUAUUGUUAUACUCACCCUUCUUAUGUUUAAUUUUCAGGCAAAGGAAAUAAAGGUGGCAAACCGGCGAGGGGCAGGAAGGAAGCGUGAUUGCCAUAGGAAAUGUGUCAUUUUGCUUCCGCUUAUGGUUUCUUUUGAGGUUUAAGAUGUACUAAAACUUAGUUUACAAACUUUUAUUUGUAAAUAUUGUUAUUUUUAAGUUUUCUGGAAUAUUUGAAAAUCAGGCAUGACUUAAAGUUGUUUUUCAAUUGGCUUACAUUUCAUUUUGUAUCAACCAAAGUCUUUUGUCAAAAAUUAACGACCUCGACUUACCUAGAAAAGUUGGGUCGUUACAUAUUACCUUUCUUCUAGAAGUAGCACCGUGUUCAGAAGAUCAACAAACAAAUUAAAACUUUGUGAAUGUAUCGAACUUUCUUCAAUGAUUUUGAAAAUAGAGAGAAAUAUUUUUUGGAGAAGGUAGAAGUAUAGAACACUAAAACCAAAUUUGCUUUUCAAAUUUAGAGAAAGAGCACUUAUUUAAAGACUUAUUCAUGGUUAUUGAAUAGUCUUGUCCUUUCUCUAGAUUAGUUAUUCUCAUGAAUGGAAGAAAGACACCGUUUAUUCCUACAGGUUAAUUGUGAUUUUUGAAAUGAUUAAAAUGCUAAUAUUCAUUUUGUUUUUCAUAUUCGUGAGUCUCAUAGUUUGAAUGGACCUUCCAAUGACACUGUGCAUUUAUAGAGACCAACUAAAUAAACGGUGGAUGGUUAGAAAGAAUUAUCUUAAUACUAUAUUAAAGAAAUUAUUUUUUACUUCAAAAUAUUUAUAUAUAAGGAUUCAAAAAAGUAUGUACUUUUUUAAUGAGUUAUUGGGAUAAAAGGAUUAGAUAGAGAUGGUUGAAUCAAAUUUUGACAUACGAAUAUAUUAAGAACUUGUAGAGUAAUCAACACAAAGAAUUAUAUGGUUCACUGACCGUAAAUUGGCUACGUCUAACCUAUUUGAGAUUAAAUAAACAUAUAAUAAUUUUAAAUAAUAAUUAGCAAUUUCUCACGUGUGUAUAUAUACGUUAGCAUCACAUAUAAUCAUAUUAAAUGUUUAAAACAAAAUGUUCACAACUUUUUUUAGUUGCAAGGUUAAAGCAUAUAUUCUUAAAAAAAGUAAUGGUAAAAUUCUACAAAAAAAAAAAAAAAAGUUUAUUCACUUAUUCGUAUUUUUAUGGAUUAUAGAUUUUUUUUACAUAAGUUGCACGUGGAUGUAUGUUAUCUUUAAAAAUUAAUUUAUAGUAGUAUUUGACUAAUAAUUAUAUUUUUGUAUUUUUAUAAAAUUUCUAUACAAUUUCAUAAUUGAUUAAGAGUGAGUUAGCUCUCAACCUAUUUUAUUUUAGAAUUAAUAAUAAUUAAUAGUAGAGAUGUUUUAAAAUUAAUUUCUAUAAAAUAGCAAAUACAACCUUUUAUGUUCAUAAAAUAGCAAAAACUCUUUCACUUUUAUUUAUUUAGUUAAUCUCUUUAUUUCAAGUUUAGUUAGGAAUGAAAAAUGUGAUAAUAUUUAAUUUACCUUUUCAAAAAAUUAAUAUUAUAUUUUUAAAUUAUAGAAUACUUUUGAAUUAUAUUAUAUUAUUGACGAUUGUUGAAAGAAAUAGAAGUUAUAAAGAAAAAGAGAGUCGAAUAGUAUACACAAACACGAUAUCAAUUACUAUUGAAGAAUUGAUGUAGAAAAUAUUCAUAUAUAUAAUGUUAGUUUUUUAGGAGAUUAAAUAGUUAAUUUAUUGUCUUUUACUAAUCGAGUUUGAAUGUUUGUACAAAUAUCUAUGAGACGUUCAUAGUAACUAUGGAAUAUAAAUGUCAUAUAAUAUUUUUAAACUAAAGAUUUGAAAAUAAGUAUCUAAAAUUAUUGAUUUGAAUUUAGUUUCAUCAUAUUUGAAUUUCCAAUUCUUUUGGGUUUGUGCUUAUUUUUAAAUGUUAAAUAUUUAUCAUUUAAAAUAAUAUUAAAUUUAAAUUUAAAAAAACAUUCUCCGAAUAAAAUGUUAGAAAUUUUAGAGUGUUGGUAUAGAAAAGCACGACAAAGAGAUAUACUAAUUUAAUAUAAAAAACAUAUUGAAAAAUAAUUUUUUAUGUCAUUUUUACUUUCUCAUUUCUGUUAGAAGAAAAAACAUAAAAGUAUAAUAAAAAAUAAUGUGCAGAAAAAAAAACUCGUAUAUAUAACUAAAAAAACAACUAAAGAAAUAUAAAAGAUAAUAUUUACAAAGAAAUGAAAGAAGAUAUUUGUAUAACGAGGUUGAAGAAAUAAUUUUUGUUUUCUUGCAUUUUUGUCUCCACCUAAUUGAUACGUAAUUUUUAAUAUUCACUAUUUAUCUUACACUUAUCUCUCAACUUAACAAUUGCACUUAUCUCUACUUGACAAUGACUCGUUGUUUCAAGGAAAUAGGAGAUAUCAUACAUUUAUAUUGAAUAAAUUGGUAAAAAAUGUGGAUUAGAGAAUUUUAAGAGGCUUUCUUGAACUUGUUAUUGUGCCCAAAAAAACUCUUCUACUACCCAUCGAGUUAAUUAGGGUGAUAAAUAUUUUUUUAAUUAAAUAUUGAAAUUGUUAGAAAAAUGGCAAGAAAUAGUUAAAAUUAACUCACUGUUCAUGCAGUAAAAACAUUUAUAGUCAAAAUGUUAAAUUGAACUAAAAAAAUUUCUCCACACAAUAGAGAUUUUAUGUAUACUAUAUAUAGAUUAAAAAUAGAUUCCAAUGUUUGAAUCCCCUAUAAGUGCAUUCAUCAAAUGUUAUAAUAUUUUUAUUAACUUAUUUAAUUGUAAAUUCUACGGACGAUAUACCAUUUAACUAGAAUAAAUUUACCAACGAUAGAUCAUGCAACACGUAUGAUGUAGAAAUCUACAAGUGAUAUAGUCUACCAUAUACUAAUUUUAUUAUAUUUACAAUUAUUUAUAAAUGUUGCUAACUUAAUUACUAUCCAAACUACGAAAUUAAUGUUUCGUCUAAAUACAUAAAACUAAUUGCAUAAAUGACAUUUAAGUAUAAAAUAGUAGUAUAGAUAGCACGAUGAUAAAAUAAUUAUAUAUAACCCAAAAUUAGUAAAAUACUAAAUAAUUCACGUGUAGGCACCAUUUUGGACACUUCUUUUCGAAUUUCUCAAAUUAAAAGCCUACAACUGAUAAUUGUUAUCAAUUACUAUUAUUGAUAGUUACUAUUAGUGUUAUCUUUUAUUUGUCAUUAUUAAUAGUGCUUCUUUUUUAUUUUCUCAAAUUGAAAGUCGUUAAUAAUAACAAUUGAUAAUUAUUAUAAGUUUUCUACCAUUGACGUUGAUUGUGAUAACUUCUAAACCCUAAACCCUAAACCCUAAACCCUAAACCCUAAACCCAAAGCCCUAUCAAUAAUAUCUAUGAAAAGACAUUGUUGACAUUUUAAAAAACUUCUACCAAUUGGUUGAUCAACAUUUACUAUUUUUGGCAUAAUAUUUUAUAUUUUAGAGUUUAUUUCUAAAUCCUUUUAUUUGCUCUAAUUUUAAAAAAAGAAAAAAGAAAAAUUAAAAGUUUAUUUUGGAUCAAUAACAAAAAUUAAUUUAAAUUGAUAAAAUAUCAAAAUCGAAAAAUAUGGGAAAAUUGUAUUUCAACGAACAUAAGCACAAUUUUUUUACUUAUACCCAAGCAAAUCCAAUAAUAACAGGUAAUACUUGUAAGAAUUAACGAUUUAAUAACAAAAUCCAGUACUUAAAAAUAAUUACUAAGAACUAAGGAAAAUGCUAAAAUGAGAACUUAAUGUUGUAUGUAAUACAAGAAUUACAAUUAUGACCACUUUGAUAACAUCUGCCGUAACAAAUAGUAUAAUUUUUUGUCUUAAAGGCACCCCAAGUGUUUUAACCUGAGGUGGAAUGAGUUCAUUGUUGCCACAUUGAUACAUAUUUAUAAUUUGGUAUACACUACCAAUGAGACGUGUUCCCUUCAUGUACAAGUUUAUCAAGUUUGAAACAUAGUAGAACUUAUCAGUGUACGUGUGCAAAUGAAGAUUCCUUGUAGACAAUGCAAUACAUGCAUGUGAACAAGAGAUCAUAUCAAAGUCUCAUUGAUGACACAAGCAUGUACGGUAUACAAUAUUGACAACAUAUUGUUCCUUACGAUGGUGAACUUCAAAUUCAUGUUGGUUUACAUAAUAUAUUUGCCAAAAUAUUAAAACAAAUUUCAUGUACAAAUAACUGUCUUAAUAGUUAUAAUAUUUACUAUUCAAAUAUCAAUCAACUUACAUUCAUUGAGAGAUUUUCCCCUGCAACUUCUCGAAUCAUAUCUUUUGCAUAUAUUGAGAGUUUUGUGCAUGCAUUGAAAAUUUCAUUUGGUAAGACGUUCGUAUAACCAUUUUUGAACCAAACUACAAAUUGAUUCUAGAAGUCCAAUAAAUAGUUUUCUUCAGUAUUGAUUUACUUUUAAAUAUUAAUCUCACUUGAAUAGGUAUUCCAACAUACGAAUAUUCAAAAAAAAUUAACGUAAAUAAUCUCCGUAUCACGAUGCAAAUCUUGAGAUUUGGGUACUUCAUUGAUCAAAUACGUUGUAGUUCCAGCAUCACAAGUUGAUACAUAGUCAAUAACCACUGGUAAAUCAUUACCAGAAAAUUUUGACAAAACUAACACAAUUAAGUCAAGACACAUCCUUAUCCUCAACAAUCCGAAUAAGGUUCAAAUUGUUGCAAUCAUCCCAAUAAACGGUCAACCGAUGCAUGAAAAAAUCUGUAGGUGGAAAAAAUCUACCUUGGAUACAUUCUACAAAUCCUUGAAACGAAGAUGAAAAUGGAACAUAUACCUCAACAACAUGAUAAUCGAGAUAUUGAAAAGGUUUGAUCCAUCUACCAUCCAAAAUCGUCUUUACUUACUGUAAAGUCAUAACAAAAACUUGUUUGUUAUUAUUCUACUAUUAUAAUCGAAAACGAAUGCUAAAUGAUGUAUUAUAAAUAUUGUAAUUAAUCGACAAAAAAUGUUAAACAAAUAAGAUAAAUUUUAAAAUACAACACUUAAAAUAAUAAAAUCAAGUGACGUGAAUAAUAGUAUUUCAAAAUAUUAUAAAAACAUACAUAUUUUCGAAAUAUUUUUUAAAUAGAUAUAAUGACCAUCAAAAUAUACAUUCUAAAAUAAAAAAAAGAUAUUAAUUAACAUGGUCUCCAUAAUAAAUCAUACUCUAAAUUUUCGAAAUCUAAACUAAAAUAUAUCUUAUGUAUUUCCUUAACAAUAUAAUUCCAAAUUAUUAUUCAAAAUAUAUAUUAUGUAUUAUUUAAUUAUAAAUUACUGAAAUUGUUAAUAAAUAAUUCAUGUUAUACAAACUAAGAAUUUGGAAGAUAUAUUAAGAAAAAAUUGCUUCAAUCUCGUCCAUAAACAAAAUCUCACAUUUAGUUAUAAUUUCAAGAUUAUUUGUAAAAUACAUCCUAUUUUUCAAAUGCGUGAUAGGAAAAGGGAAGAUUAGUAUAUGCCCAUUAGGUACUAAAUUUUCUAAUUUACCAUGAUUUUACAACAAAAACACAAAUUGAUCAAAUUUUACACAAAUGUACUAAAUGAGCCACAAUAUUAUACAAAAAUAUGUCCAAUUUACAUAUAUGCCCAUUAGGUAGUUUUUUCACACAAUAUAUAUUGUAUUAAUAUAGAAAAUGGGAGGAAAUCGUGCAACAUUAAAAUAGGAAAGUUUUUUCACUUUUCAUAUUCAACUAAAUCGUUGCCCUUUCGGCAGUCAAGGAAGUGAUUCGAGUUUUUGGUUUUCGGUCGUGAAGUUGAAAUAAGCAAUUUCGACGGUGAAGAUUUUCUAAAACGGUCGACCAGUUCAUCUGUUUUCCGAUGGCCGAAAGAUACAAUGUUAGGUUGUAUAUAUUCUAUACACAGUUUGCAUUUGGUAUCUUACAUAGAUUAAAAAUUUCAGUCUGAAUAGGCAACAGAAUCAAAAAUGUGAUUUUGUAUGUGUUAUAUCCUAUUGAGGUAUCGGAUCGAAGAGAAGUUUUUUAGGAACGUCGCAUGGGGGUUUUCAUAUGGAUAUUGGGUAUAUCAAAAAUUUUCUUUGGGUAUAUGUUGAAUGUUCUAGUUGUUGAGCAAAUGCAAAAAGGUAAUUAGAACAUUCAACAUAUACCCAAAGAAAAUAUAAAUAAUAUAUUGUAUAUAUCAUAUAAAACAUCAACUAAAAGUAUUAUAUCUCACGGGUAAUAUAUAAAACUAAUAUAAAUGUAAAUAAGAUGUGGUAUAUAUAUAAUAAAUCACAUAUACAAACUAUUACAUAAUGCGAUAAUAUUAUAAAACUAGUAUAAUAAUAAACAAUAUGUGGUAUAUAUUUAUAAAAUCAGAUCAGAAUAACAUUAAAAUGGGGGGUAUAUUGUUAAUAUAUACGCAGAUGAUAUACACAUAAUGAACUAAUCAUGUAGUUUUGUUGUUUAACUAUUUAAUUGUAAAACCCCGAACUUUAAGGUAUUUUACUUUUAAAUUAAAUUGUAUUUUGUUUGAAAUUUUUUUUUAAAGAAAAGAAAUUAGGGGAGAAAAGGAUUGGAAAUGUUAUAAUAAUAAUAUAUAUUUAUUGUUAUUAUUAUAAUAUUAUUAUAAAAGAAAAAGAAAAAGAAAAUUCUCUCUCUCUCUCUCGCGUCUUUGCUCGGGUGUUGAGGGACGUCACCGGCCGUCGAUUGCCAUUAUUCUCCACUGUCUUGUUUUGUUUGGUCUCCGUCAUGCUGCCGGUGGAAGAUCCAAAUUCAUAUCCUUUUGGUUCGCGUGCCAGAUUUGUUAAGCCGACAUUCCUCCAUUCGUUGUAAGUUGGAGCCUGAUCUAUCACCAAUUUUAAUUAUUUAUGGGUUAUGGAUUGUGUGGUGUAUUUUUCUCGGGAAUGCAAUGUUAAAUUAAUAAUCGAUUGGUUCUAUGUGGGUUCUUGAAGGUGUCAUUGUGGACAGUGUUCGAGUUCUUGGAGUUUCGACAGGUUGUUUAGAGCUUAAUUCUCCAAUUUUGUUUGGGUAAGUUCAUGAAAACAAUGGAAUGAUUUGGAUGAGGGAAUGGCUUGGUGAAAGUAUUGAGUUUUUGUCGUUACGUGUAGGUUGGUUUCAUGGGAGAAAUUUAUAUUUAUGUGCAUGGAUUGAUGUGGACUUGUGGUUGAGUGUAUGUUGUGAUUGUCUGGUUAUGUGUGUGUAUAGACAUAAGGAUGAGGAAGCAACUAAAUUUCGUAGAUGUUGCUUAUUUGAAGUGUGGAUUUAACUAUUAGAUUGAUAGUUGUCUGGACUGAAUGUAUGAUGUACUGUUAUAGUUGUGUGUUUGUGAACAGAGGAGACGUCUUAAAUGUGCCCUUGUAGACUUAGGAGGAGGUGUGACUAUUUAGUUUGUUAAAUGAUGUACUGGUAUGUUUCAGACUGACCUUGGCUAAAUUAGUGUAUGACAACUGUUAGGGGUUGAAUAAGGGGUCUAUGUGAGGGAAUUUUUAUAACUGAAUUGUGAACAAUUAUCAAAAUGUUUAGAAUGGCUGAGGGGAAAAUUGUUAGCUUUUAUUGAGAUAUGUGUGUCUUGUAGGUGUCCUACGGGAUCACCAAUUUUUAUGCAUCCUUUGAGAGCAUUAGACUACUAAGUGUUUCUGCAGAACACUAUACUGAAAUGUACGUCCUUCGAGGCGUUAAACUGAAAUGUGUAUCACCCCUACGGGAUCACACGACUGUGACUGUACAUGGUUUUCCAAUAGGACGUUAACAAUUUAUUUUCCCCUAACGGGACCAGCAGUGGGUCCCUUACUAAGUAUUAUUAUACUCACCCCUUUAUGUUUAAUUUUUCAGGUAAAGGUAAUAAAGGUGGCAAACCGGCGAGAGCCAGGAAGGAAGUGUGAUCGCCAUAUGGAACACUUUAAAUUCGCUUCCGCUUAGUGAUUUACCGUAUUGUUUUGUUUUCGUACUUGAGACUGUUUAGAAAAUUUGAGGUUUAACUGUAUUCAAAGACUAUAAAUCUAUUAGUUUUAUUUUCUUGAAAGUUUUGGUUAUUUUAAAUUGGACCCAAACAAAAAUAAACUUUGUUUUCUUGAGACUUUAAAUUUAAUUAAAUUUGGUACUUUGUGUAGACUCAAGUCUUUGUGUUAAUUUAACGAUUUUGGCUUAGUUAGAAAUGACGGGUCUUUACAUUAAUUUUAAAUGGGUAAAAGAACAAAUGACUUACUGUGGACUUUAUCGUAGCUUCAGGUGAUCGAGAAUUGUAUAUGUCGGCGACUUGUUAAGAUUAUGCAGCUUACGGUUAUGAGAAAUUUGAAUACAAAUUGAGAAAACAAUGUAAUAAGAAGUUCGAAUUUUAUGAUUGAAUAUCUAAAAGUUUCAAUUGGAUGAGAAUAGGUAAAAAUAACUGCCGACGAUGGAGAAAAAUAGGUAUAUAGUGGCUACCAGAUAGGGAGAAGAAUUAAGUAAAGAUAUAAUUUUGAAAAAAAAAAUAUAUAAAUAGUUUAUUACAAAUUAGAAAAAAAUUGCAAAUUUUAUAAUUCAUUUUGAUUUAUAAUUAAUUUAAGAAAUACUUAAAAUUUAUUACCAUAUUAAUUAAUCAAUUAUUUAAUAUGAUUAAUUUAAAAGAUACUUGAAAAUUAUUACCAUAUUAAUUAAUCAAUUAUGAAAUUUAUAUUAAAUUCAGAUAUUUUAAAAAAAUAUGAAUCUAAUAUCUAAUUAAUAUUUAUAUUAUAUAAUUAAAAAUUAAUGAAAUGUUAUAAUUAUCCGUAAAAUAUUAUCUUUCUUAUUUUAAAAAGUAAUUUUUAAAUUAAGACAUUUGUGAAAUUUCUUAUUAAAUUAAUGGUUUUUGGAUUUACUAUUUCUUAUUCAUGCCAAUUUUGGUAUCUGUAUAGUUAUCUCAUAGACUAAUCGGUUGCAAUUUGGAGACAUUUGUGUCUAGAAACUUUUAGACAAAAGACCUUAAUUUAUUAAGAAAUUUCACAAAUGUCAAACAUUGAAAAUUAUUUUAUUAAAUAGGAAAGAUAAUACUUUACGGACAAUUAUAACAUUUCAUUAAUUAUUAAUUAUAUAAUACGAUUAUUAAAUAUAUAUUAUAUUCUUAAGAUUAUUUAAAAAAUUACUUUAUUUUAAACUAUUUGUAUUUAAUAUUUAUUUGAGAAUUAAUAUUUUAAUAAAUUUCAAGUAUCUUUUAAAUUAAUUAUAAAUCAGAAUAUAUUAUAAUAAUUGUAAUUUUAUUUUAUUUUGUAAUAAACUAUUUAAUUAUUAUUUCUAAAAAAUAUAAUUUAACCUAAUUGUUCACUCUUUUCGGUAGCCAUUACAUUAUCUUUUCCAUCGCCGACAACUUUUUAAUGUUGCAGGAUUUCCUCUAAUUUUCUAUAUCAAUAUUAUUUCAAACAUAACAGAUUAUUUACCACAUAAUAUAUGAAUAUUUAAAUAAAAAACAUAAACAAAUUGAUAUAAGAACCUUUCACUAAUAAAAUAUACACUGAAUUCAUAUAUGUUAUUUAGUAUAUAUAUACCUCAUAUUAUAUACAACAAUACCUUAUACAUAAUUCCUACAGAAUUUGUGUUUAAAUUUUUUGUUUGUAGAAUAAAUAUUACUAAAAUAGUAAUAAAUGACAUGAUCAUACAUGCAUAUUUUUCCUUUAUAAAUGUAUUUGAUUACAUUAUACUUUAAUUUAUCCACAAUCUAUAAUAGUUAUGUUAUAUGUUUUAGUAUAUAUAUACCUCAUAUUGGAUAUUUGUUAUAAAUCAAUUAAAUUAUUUUGGGCCCCACUUAUUUCGUAUCCCACCAUUUUUCCAUUUAGAUAUUUGUUAUAAAUAAAUUAAAUUAAAUAAUAAAAAUUGAUAUUAAAUUAAUUUGGAUCCCACUUAUUUCUAAAACUAUAUUCCACGAUUUUUUUUAUUUAGAUAUUUGUUAUAAAUCAAUUAAAUAAUAGAAAUGAGUAUUAACUAAUUUGAGCCUAUAUUUAUGUAAUAUACUAGUCUAUUUAAAUUUUUUAUAAAAUUUAUUAGUAAUUUAGAUGGUUAAAGUAAUAUCAUAUAGCAAUUUAUGGUAUAUGAGUUAAAAAGAGAGUUAUACAACCCAAAAUCCCAAACACAAAGCUCAUCUAAGGCCCCUCGAGGCCCAUUAUUUGAAGGAGCGCUCUUGCAUAGACAAAAAAACAGUAUGAAUUUGAAACGUCCAUACAAAACGGUAUUAAAUUAACCGCAAUAGAUGGAGCCAAGUCAGCAAUCCUUGUGAAACGAAAACAAAAACGCGGGGAUUAAGGGCGCCAAAAUUUAGAAGAAAAAACUUUCCCUCUUUCUUACUUGGUUUGCUUUAAUAACAAUUGCCGCUUCACUUUUCAUCACCGAAGAAGGAAAUCCCAUUUCCCCUCAAUUCUUCUGCAUUUUCAAAUUUACCGGCUCACCCGAGGAGACGAAGAAAUGGCCGGCGGAGGAUCCUCCAAGUCCCGGAAGAGAGUGGAGGCUACUCCUGCUGACGUCGCCGCUACUGGUCCUUCGCUUGUGAGGGCCAAAGACGGCAGUGCUUUUGCUAGAUGGUGCGUUUUUCUUCUUCUUCUUCUUCUUCUUCCGCUCUCCAUAUUCUUUUUGCGUAUACUUGUUGAUUUACAUUGUCUGUCUGAGGGCUGAUGAGUAUGUAGUUGUAUUGCUGAAUCUCUGAAACUUUGUGUUUCCUUUCUGGUUCUGCUUAUAUGCGUUAUAAUCUGGUUUUUGGAGUUUAUGUCUCUGUCUUGGUCUUUAGGCAUCCGUAAUCUCUGAUUUUCAGUUCGUCUUUUAGUCUGAUUUAGUUGUAGAGUUGGAAGCAAUGCUCGUUUUCUUUAUGAAAGUUCAUGUUGAGUUACAUCAACUGGAUUUAAGGUUAAUAGGACAUAGUACCCUGCGUAUUUGUUCAUUUUCUUUCCUCUGAGAUCUAUUCGUAUGUUGAUGUUGUGGUUUUUUAAUACUUCAUUGCUUCAAUCAUUUCUUAAUUAGCUGCGGUUUCUAGAGUUGUGUUGUCUAUGGAUUGACAGUGUUUGGUUAUCAGUUUGCCUUUUGGUUGGAGUUAUUUUAGAGUUGAAUGAAACGUAACUAGAGAAGUUGUAGAAGCAGCAAAUUUGAGUUUCUUGACAACGGUAGAAACUGAUUUCUCUCGUUUGAAUGAUCGACUUUUGGCUUGCAGUGACGAGUGCGGUAAAAGUGUUCCGGUGGCCUUAAUCAGCAUGCACAGUUGCAGCCUCGACGCCAAAAUUAGAAUGAAUUUAGGCAUGCUUUUCGUGUAGAUUUCAUAGUACCUUUCUUCGCGUUCAUUCUUUACCGAUCUUUAAACUCCCUGUUUUCCUGCAGAGUCUCAGACUGUUGAAAAGCAAACACAAUCCAAAAAGCCAGCUGAAAAGUAUCAUACUCAUCUUCCCCUAUUCUUAUCUGGUUAAGAAGAUGCUUUGCUUCGAGCUUGAAUAACUUGUUUGUUUCACCGAACAGGAAAAGAUCAGCAUCAUCUGAACCUAAGACUAAGAAAUCCCGAACUGAGAAGAAAGGGAAGAAGGACAAAGAUCCAAAUGCCCCCAAACGCCCUCCUACAGCUUUCUUUAUCUUCAUGUAUGCAAGUUCCUCCCAUAUUUAUCCAAUUACUACAUUGGAAGUAUCUAUUUACUCGAGUCUUGAUUGAAUUUGCUUAUUGUGAUAUUUCAGGGAUGACUUCAGAAAGUCAUAUAAAGAAGCCAAUCCUGAUUCCAAGGGCGUUAAGGAGGUUAGCACAAAUCUAAAUACAUUCCCAAGUGCCCAGUGAAAUUGUAUUGAUUUGUCAAAGUUUUAUAAACCCUGUUGACCGACUGAGCAUUUGAUACAUUUCAGGUUGCAAAGGAGGGUGGUGAGAAAUGGAAGUCAAUGACUGAUGAAGUGAGUUAACAUUCGUUACCACUUGAAAACAUGCUUAUAUUUUGUGAAUUAUUCCAUCGCACAUGGAUCUCAACGAUUUCCUUUUAAUAGACUGAAAUACCUUUUUGAGCUUCUGGAGCUUAUCUUAUUAGACAACAUAUUAUUAAUUGGCAAUGCGAUAGCGAUCCAUCUUUGUUAAAUCAGUGUGUGACCUCCAACAUAUCUAAAUGUUUAAAUGAUGAACAGGAGAAGAAGCCUUACCAAGAUAAAGCUGCCGAGCUAAAAGCGGAAUAUGAGAAGGCAUUGGAAAGUCGAAAUGCUGAGAAUGAAGAUGUAAGAUUUAAGGUCUAAAAUGUUGGAUAUUUUGGUUCAAUUUUGGAAAUGCUUAUGUGGGGAUUUUCUUUUGGUCAGGAUGAAAAAGAGACAGAAGAGACGGAAGAGAUUGAAGAGGAGGUUGAAGGAAUAACGGAAGAAGAGUAAGAAGAACCCGUUGUUGGGGGGUUUUUUGUAAUGGCAAAUAGCUAGAAAACAGCUUCUUUCACUGCCUGUUUAGUGUUGUAAAUUCAGAAUUUAAUUUAGUGAAAAAAACUGCCUUCUGGAUUCAAAUUGGUUUCGUUUCGUUUUGUUUGAAGCAAUGUAUAAUACAAAAUGCUUGAAAAAGAAUUUUCUGUUUCAUUGAUCGCAAAAUCUAAAUUUGAAACCCAUGUUAGAUGUAUAUCUGUUUGUAAGUUUGUUUACUCAUAAUUAUGAAACUGUUACCUCAGCAAUGCUAAUGGUAUAACAUUCAAUAUCUCUGUAAUAGCCAGCGUAGAAUUGGAUUACAUGUUAAUCUUAAGAGUAUGAAACUAAGGUAUUGGAAUGGGGCAUCCAAUUUAUUAUGUUUUGUGACACUUGUAAAAAGUGAUUCUAUACAAAAGUUUGUUUGGUCUUUGUAUGCAAGAAGUCUUCUUUAUUGACCACUUUUUCAACACUUGUUUGAAAAUGUAGUCAAAUUAUAUUUUGCAAGUUUGAAAUUGGAUCAAUUUAAUGGUCAUCAAUUUUAUGUGUAUUUAAUUAGAUUUAAAUUAGGAAAAUUGUAUUGGGCGCACGAUACAAAUAGGAUUUUUUCAUUAUUCCAAAAAUCCUCUCUUAAAUCUACACUAUUUUCUCUUCCUCUUCUGUCACUUAUUUGUUUUCUUUUCAUUGUUCUUCCUCUUCGUGGUUUUCUGUCCUUCAAUCUCCACUGUUCUUGUUUUCUCCUAUUCGCUACAUCUCUUCACUUCAACUUUUUCUUCCUGUUUUCUGCCAUCUCUUCUUGUUCAGGUAUGUAUUUCUUCCCAUAUUCUUUUUUAAAGCCCUUCUUUUCUUUCUUUUUGAAUCGAUCAUCAUCUUUUCUUUCUUUUUGAGUCGAUCAUCAUCGUUUCUUUCUUUUUAUGUGAAUUGAUCAUUAUCUAUCAGAAAUUAAGGCUACAAUUUGUUCUUUCUCAUCUAUUUUAUUUGUUUCUCAUCUCUUUUAUCGAAUGGGGCUUUGCAGAGUUUGAUUUUUUUUUUUUUUAAAUUUUGUAUCAGUUUUUUACCGUGAUUUGAUGUACUUUUAUUAUAUGUAUUAGUUGACUAAUACACUUAUUACAUGUUUUUUAUUCUCUCAAAAUGAAUGCAGUUCAUUGUAGUUAUGGUUAAGCUUGCAGUCAUUGUAUUUCAUAGUGGUCAAUGGGAUGAGCAAUAGUGCUAUGUGAACUAGAAAACAAAUUGUAUUUUGGUUGAUGGAGUGAUAUCAUCAUUUGAUUCUUUUGUGAACUUGAUAGAAAUUCAGAUUGAGACAUGUAUUGAGCUUUCAGUUUUGUUGCCUAUAGGUAGUAAUGAUGUUCAACAUUUUCUUAAGAUUGUUGAAAAUAAAGAUGUGAAUUGGUUCUUGACAUUGGUUAAUGAUCAAUCUACCCAAUAUCUUUUAGUUGCUCAUUCUAUAGACACAAUAUUGGAUGUGUCAAUUGGUUCUUCUUCUUCCAUAGUUGAGGCUGAUUUAGGAUGUGAAUUAACAAUUUUUAGAGAUGUUGAUAUUACUAAUACUAACGAUGAGGUGGCUUUUAAGGAGAAUGAUUUGCUUUGUAGUAAAGAAUUUUUUUAAAGGCAUUCCGCUUUAUAGCUGUCAAGACUAAUUUUGAGUUUAAGACAUUGAGAUCUUAUUCAAGAUCUAUUGAGUUGGGAUGUAAUGAAGAUGGUGGUCUUUGGUUUGUUAGAGCAUCACGUUAUAAAAGAAGUGAAUUAUGGAUGAUUCGAAAAUAUGUUAGUGAUCAUAGUUGCUCAAUGAUUGUUCAUUCUUCUCAUAAGCAAGCAUCUUCAGAAUUUGUUAGUCAAUGUAUGAUUGAUUAUUUGAGGUAUAGUUAUUCUCAUUCAACACCAAAAGAUAUCAUUCACCAUAUGCGUAUGAAUUAUGGAGUUUCUGUUAGUUAUUAUAAGGCUUGAAGAGCAAAAGAAUAUGUUAUGAAGUUGUUGAAAGGAGAUGCCGAUAAUUCUUAUGCUUUGAUUCCAAAGUUCUUUUCAAAACUAAAAGAAAUAAAUCCAGGUUUGUUUUCUACCACUUAAUUUAGUAUCUUGUUCAAUUUAUUUCGUUUUUUUAUACUAUUGCCAAUUUUUGUAUAUCAUUUAUUGAUGCACCUAUUAUGAAGUAUACUUAUUGUAUGAUGUACACAAUACUAUUUAUAUGUUUUCAUUCACUAUUUUACUUGUAUAGUUGGUAUACUAGCUAGUUGUUGUAUAUCAUUUUACUGAAAUACCUAUGAUGAAGUAUACUUAUUGUAUGAUGUAUACUUAAUUUGAUUGUUCUAUUUUGUUCCUUUUUUGUAGGUUCAUUUCCUGCAUAUGAAAUAGAUGCAAAUGGCCAUUUCAAAUAUUGUUUCAUGGCUAUUGCAUCAUUAAUUGAAGGUUGGAGAUACUGUAGACCAAAUAUAGCAGUUGAUGGGACAUUUUUAAAGUGCAAGUAUGGUGGAACAUUGUUGACGACAACAACUAUUGAUAGUAAUAGUAAAAUUUUCCCUCUUGCAUUUAGUAUAGUAGAUUCAGAGAAUGAUGCUUCUUGGAAAUGGUUUUUUCAACAAUUAAAACUUUCUUUUGGAGAUCGAGAGGGAUUGGUUAUUAUUUCUGAUAGACAUAUAAGUAUUCCGAAAGGUGUUUUAGAUGUGUUUCCAUUGGUACAAUAGUGCGUUUGUGUAGAACAUCUUUUGAAGAGUGUCAAGUUGUCAUUUAAAGACUCUUUAAUUGAAAAGCUUUUUUGUCAAUGUGCGUACUCUUAUACAGUAGAUGAUUUUGAGUUGUAUAUGAGAUGAAUGGAGUCGAUAUACCCAUCUAUUAAAAGAUACCUUAUGAAAGUUGGUUUUGAGAGAUGGUCAAAUAAUGACAUUGUAAGUAUUUGUGAAAGCUUGAAUUCUAAGUUGAAAAUUGAUAGAGACUUACUGGUUGCAUCCUUGCUUGAGGCCAUUAGAGAGUUUCUUCAACCGUGCUUUUAUGAGAGAAGAAAAGCAGCCUCAUGUUCAAAGAGUGUUUUGAGUUUUUGGGCUGAAGGACUAAUAAGAAAGCUAGUUGAUGAAUCAUGAAGCUUUGAUAUACUGUAUUAAAGUGUAACGAUUAUUUAAUACACUGAUGAUAUACCAUAAUUUUUUUGUUCAGGUUAAUCCUGUGAGUGAAGUUGAAUUUCAAGUAGUUGAUGGAGGCAAGAAUUUUUUAGUAAAGUUGAAUUGUAAUAGCUGCAGUUGUCUUUUCUGGGAUCUAGAAGAAAUUCCAUGUGUUCAUGCUCUUAUUGUGAUUUGUAGCCUUAAUUUGGAUCCUUAUGCAUUUGUUUCACAGUAUUAUUAUGCUAGUGUAUUGUCUGCAACUUAUUGUGGAUUAGUUCGUCCGAUUGGCAAUCAUACUAAUUAGAGUGUUAUGGAGGUGAAUGACAAUGUAUUGCCUCCAGUAUAUAGAUGUUCAGCAGGAAGACCUCGAAAAAGAAGGAUUCCUUUUAUUGGUGAAAUUUCAAGAGCACAAAAUGCAGUUGUUGUAAGAGAGCCGAUCAUAAUAUUAGGACUUGUACAUUUGAACCCGUUUGAACAAUUUAAUUGUUUUGAAAUUUAGUAAUUAUCAAUGAUGUAGUAUUUGAACAAUUUACUUGUUUUGAAAUUUAGCAAUUAUAAAUAAUGUAUUAGCAAUUUUAUUUUAGAAUAUUUUCUUCUCUACUUCAUUUUUUUAUUAUUCUUUUUUGUUCUUAAUUGAGAUAUUUAUAUGAUUCAAGAUAGGUAUAUCACAUACGAAAGAUACUUAUAUGAUUCAAGAUAAAGUAUAUCACAUACAAAAGAUAUUUAUAUGAUUCAAGAUAAAGUAUCUCACAUACAGAAGAUACCUAUAUGAUUCAAGAUAAGGUAUAUCACAUAUGAAAACAAAUUUCAAAAGUGCAAACAGAUUCCAAAAGAAGAGUAAAAUAAAAGUUUAUCAAGGUAGCCAAUCAAAACUCGGUGGUUCAAAUGCAACAUGUGAUUAUUGUGCCUUCUUGGGAGAUUUAUUCUUUUUGGCCAAUUCCAAAUCAAUAGCUUUUGGUGUGAGUUUCAAUUUCCUUUUUGGCCGCUCACAUUGCACUUUGCACUUUUCAUCAUUGACACCAAGUUGUGAAGCUUUUCUUGUAAGUAUUUUGUUUUCAAUCACCUAAAAAAUACAAUUUUAUUUAUUAGUAUUCUACAAAAGAAAAUUAAAAUUCUAAAAUUAUUAUACUUAAAAAAUGAUUUUACCACUUGUUGGCCUUUAUCAUUAUUUUUCUUUGUCCUCCUUUCUUCAUUUUGUUUGUGUUUUUUUGUGUGUUAUCAUCCAAAAUUCAAUAUCAUAACAAUAAAUCAAUAUGUAUCAACAAGUUUAUGUACAUAGAACAAUAAGGUGUAUCAAUCAGUAAACUUAAGCUUAGAAACAUAUUGUUUAGUUAUAAUCUCUCUAAUUUUGAGGAUUUUUUCAACUACUUUGAGGUUUGUUUCCAAUAACUCCUUUCCAUGUAACUCUCUUUCAUUUGGCUGUUCUUCCGAUUCUCCCAUUUUUAAAUAAAAAAAUGAAUAUAGAUGAAUAAGUCCAAUGAUAUAUCUAAUAUUAUAUUUUAUCAAAGUGUAGAUAUACUAAAUUACUUAUAGUUGGGUCAUCGACUUCUUUUGAAACUUUAUUCAUUUGUUUUUUUUUCAUUGUCUUUUCCAUUCUUUAAAGAAUAAUAAGUAGAAAAUUUUAUUAAAACAAGCAUAACAAUAAAAUGAUAUACCUUAGUAUUAUAUGAAAGUAUAUUACAAGUUACUUACAUUUUUGUCUUCAUUUUUUGCAUUCAUUGGUUGACCUUUUGCAUUCACUUCUUUGAGUCUCUAUUUCUUCCUCAUUUUUUUUCAGCAUCCUCUUGAUUCUUUUAUGAUUUAUGAAAUUGUAUUAGCAUAAGUAAAUUGAAUAAUUAAUAUCCAUAAGAAAGAUGGAAUUAUUGUAAGUAAACUAAAUGUAUAUUACAUUGUUGAUGAACUUAUCAAUAUUCUUGAUUGUUUGUUCUAACUCUUCUGUAUUCUCUUCUUGUUCAAUUUCUUCUUCAUUAAUCUAUAAUAUCAAUAAUCAGUAUUACAAAAUUUAUUUCUUUAUGAUGUAUAUCAAUAUAUCAUUUAUAUAACUUUUAUGUUAUAUCGGUGAUGUUGAUAUACCUUAAACAACAAUAAAUUUAACUCAGUUCAAAAGAAAAACAAUACAUUUAGCUCUGUAUCAUCCAAGUUAUGAAUGUUCAUUCUUUUCCCAAGACGUUGCAAACUUAAAGUUUGUAAUGAUUUUCAUGGAAUGAUUCUUGUGAUUGUUUUUCUGUUGACAUUCUUUCAUUGAUUAUGGUGAUUAUGUUAUUUUAACAAUUUCAAUACCUCAUUUUUUCCAUUUUUCAUGGUAUUCUUCAAGCUUUCCAAGUUCUUCUUCACUUCUUGAAUUUCUUGUCUCAAUGAUUUUUUUGUCUCAUCAUUUACAAUUCCUUCUUCUUUAUCACCUUCGUCACUCUAAUCAUAUUCUGUAUUUUCACUUCUUUCUUUCUCAACUUCAUUUGGUGGGUCAUUUAGGAAGAAUUGAAAGUUUGGAGAGAUUAGCUCAUUGUUAGUUGGGGUGAAAGGGAUAACUGUAAAUUGCAUUUUAAAAACAAAAGUUAUAUGAGUUGAUACACUUCAUAUGAAGUUAACCAGGUACAUAAUCAAAGUGAUAUACCUGCAAUGUAGUAUAUAACUAAUUAGGACAUAGAAGAAAAAGAACUUAUAUCACUUGACUUGAAGUAAUUCGGUUGCAGAUAUGUCCAGACAGGUUGCUGUUCUAAUUUCCAAUUUAUGAUUCUUGGGCUUCGAUGUCCAAUUCUUGUGGCUAUCCCAUUUGGACUUUCAGAAAGCUUUGGGAUGAUUUCUAAUGCCCAACAAACCAAAAUGUGUGGAAAUCCUUGUAGUGAGAAAUUGACUGUCAAGUUUUCUAUAGCUUUUCUCAUAUACUCAACUGUUAAGUUAAAUGGCAACCUACCCCAUGGAAAAUUUAGCAAAGUUUCCUCUUCAUCUACCAUUUUAAGAUGUUUCCAAUCUACUACAUUAUGGAGUUAUUUACAAUUGAUGAAACAUUCUAAAAUAAGAAGCUUUGCUAGUUUAACCAUGAGUUGGUCACUAAGUUGAGCUAUACUAAAUGCUGAAAUGAUUUUGUUUCUAUCUAAUGUAUCAAUAAUACUGAAGCAGACAGUUCUUAAUUCACUAUUGAACUCCUCCUUGAUAUUUGAAGUUGUGGAUUGUGGGAAUGGUUGACAAUUUAGUCUACUAAUUAAAUGGAAUUCUCUCAAUCCAAAUUUUGCUAUAUUACCCUCUAGAUUGAAAAUCAAAGUGUCAUCAGUUGAUUGUUUAGACAUUCUUUUAAUCAAAUGAACUAACAAUUGUUCAGGACACUUUUUGAUUUGAAUAUCAAGAAGGUGCCCAAAUGGACCAUUCCUAAACAUUUUCAUUUGCUUUUCAGGCAACUUUUUGACAAUAGAAUCUAUUAUUGUCAACUUUGAAUAGUAAUCAACUUUGUUUGCAAGGUUCUCUUCAACAUUAACUUGAUUAAGUAAAUUGAAAAUGAAUCAUUCAAUCAAGUGUAUCAUCAAACCAUAGCAAGUAGUGUGUCUAGAGCACAUAAAGUGUAUCAUGCUUAGUGCAUCAAGUGUAUUUAACUAAUUGAGUGUAUCAACAGUUUAACAAGUGUAUCAACAUGAUACCAAGUGUUUCAGUACAUAAAGUGUAUCAUGCUCUUAGUGCAUCAAGUGUAUUUAACUGAUUGAGUGUAUCAACAAAAUAUCAAGUAUAUCAACAGUUUAACAAGUGUAUCUACAUCAUAUCAAGUGUUUCAAUACAUAAAGUGUAUUUACAUCAUAUCAAGUGUUUCAAUACAUAAAGUGUAUCAUGCUUAGUGCAUCAAGUGUAUCAACAGUUUAACAAGUGUAUCAACAUCAUAUCAAGUGUUUCAAACUAAUAAUAUGUGUAUGAGCAGUUUAUCAAUGAAACAAAUAGAGUGUAUCGAUUGUAUAUAAUGGUAUAUCAAUAAUUAUACCUCUUUCUUGGACGAUGACUUUAUUCUUCUUUUUUUGUCUUUUUCUAAUUUUUGAACUUUUACCCUUUUCAAACUUCAUUUUUCUUUUCGUCAUUUUAUCUUUUUCAAUAUUUCCCCUUUUUUGUUUGUAUUCAAAAAUAAAAAAAUAUCAAUUUCAAAAAGUUGUUUGUAUUCAACAACAAUAUAAAAUACUAGAAAAGUAAAUUAAAUAAUGUUUUGAGUUAAGUGAAUAAAAGUGUAUAGAAAUGUAUAAACUGUAAAGAAGUGUAUGAGUUAGAAAAAGAAAUCAAAUAAUGGUUGUAUAGAAGUGUAUAGAAGUCUCUCUGAAAUACCUUGCCAUUUGGUGUAUCAAGAAAAUGAUCUUUGUCAAGUUUUUCGUCCAAAAUGGUUUUUGGUGUGCCCUAAAUUUUGGGAAGAUGAAACAAUGCGAGAGAUAAAAAUGCGUGAGGGAAGAAAGGGUAGCUUUGUAAUUUCAUAUAUUUAAAAUGGGGGAUGAGCUUCCAAUUUGCUAUAUUUGCAAAUGUAUAAAUUAUGUGCUACAAGUCUAAUUUUUUAUAAUAAAUUUGUCGUAUCUGCAACUGUCCUUUUAAAUUAUUACAUCUAUAGGUACAAGGUGAUACACUUAUUAGAUUAAGAUUUAAAUUUAUAGAAAUUUAGAAGAUUGAUUUUUAUGAAUAUAACAAAUUGGUAAAAUAUUUAUAGUAUGUAACAAAACGAUUGAGCCCAUGAAAUUAGCCAAUUUUUCUAAAUAUCACACGUUUGCCUCUUUUUUUCAUUAUCUUUUUUCUCUUUUUCUUAUGUGAUUUUUUUCUUCCUUCCAUUACCUUUCUCUUCUUUUACAGUUGUUCUUUUAAUUUUUUUAAAUCUAUUAUUUGGUUUGGUAUUGUGGACCGAAAAUAAAAGAUUGUGAAAAAAAAUCGUUGGGAUAUAGAAUAAUAAAAUCUAAAUGAUUGUGUACUAAAAUAGUCAAAUUUAAACCAUCGUGUACUAUAAUAGUCAAAUAUUGUGUACAAAGAAUAUUUAAAAAAACCGUUUAACUUUUAAAUGAUUGUUUAAAAAUAGAGGAUCUCUCGACGUACAAAAUAUAGUGUCGGAAGAUCCUUGACAUCUUUCGACGACGUAUAUAAAGUGUCGAGAGAUGUCAAGCAUUUCUUGACGCUACAUUUUGUACACGAGAGAUCUUCUCUAGACUCAUUUUUUCCUAGUCUGAUCCCGACACAAAUUUAUGUGUCGAAAAAUCUUUUUACGAUGCCUUUUCAUACAUCUCCUCCUAUGCUUUUGUGCGUCGAGAGAUCUCCAUUUUCUUGUAGUGAAAUAUUUUACUGGUUUGUUAUAUUUUCGAAUAUAUAUAAAUUCUAAAUGACAAGAAUUAACAAUGAAGUAAAACGAAGAGAAAAGUUGAGAAGAGAGAAAGUAAAGAAUAACAAUUAAACUCAAUUUUGAUAUAUCUUAUAAAGGCACCACACACCUUUAUUUGUAGAACAUGCCAUAGUAUAAGUUACAAUAGAACGAAAAUAUUUAAGAUAUUUAAGAUUUAGCUCAUAUGGGUUAGAUAAAUAACGUUGCAUCUACACAGUCAACUAUGAGAAAACAUACACUUAGUUAUUGUUAUACUGUUUGUUGUAUCGUGAGUUAACAACAGAAAGAACAACUAUGAAAGCACAUAAAUGUACAGAGAACACAUCAAACUUUUAUAACCCGGUUCAAUGACAUAACAUCUACAUAUAUGGGAGACCUUAGAUCUAUGAUAAGAGAUUAUAUUGCUCGUGUAGUAAUUGACGAAUUAAAAUGUUAUGAAUUAAAGUACAAUACUCUAAACAUAGAUCGACGCGUUGUCCAUAAAAUGACUAAACUAUCAAAAUCUCAAUUGUACAUAACAUCAAUAGGGACACUUCCUGAAUCAAGAAAUCAUUUGCAAUCUUCUCAUAAAGUAUUCUUGAUUUUUCAAUAAUCCCUUGUCUUCGAUGUACAGUAUCAUAACUCAUAAGUCAAGAUCGAAAUAUCUCAGCAAUUUGAAACAUCUCACCGUCCCUUAGGGCACUCAUAAAAACACAGAUUCCAUUAGAAGAAGAGUAGAGUUAUAGAUUUAGUGUUAUGAAUAUGCUAAUUUGGGCUUCACUUUCCUUUCCUUUCUGUGUCUCUUAUUUCUUCCUCUUUGGGAGUGUUUUGAUGGGUGUAGCAACAAUAAUUAGUAGAAAAGAUGGUAACAAUAUUGCUCAUGAAGAUGAACAAUAUGCAUAUCCAUUAUCCUCAUAUUCAACUAAACCACCAUACAAAAUUCCGAGAGUGAUGAGUGUGUUGUUGCCAUUCAUUUUCUAAUUGCCCAACAGGACAAAAGGUGUUCAAUUUUAGAAAAUAAUUUCACUUCUUUUCAUAAUAUAUCACAAAUCUAACUAUCACAUUAUUUUAGAAAAUAAUUACAAACUCUUCCUCUCAAUUUUGUGCCUUUCAUUUUACUAAUUCUAACUAUAACACUAAUGAUAAUUAUGUGAUUUUAAAAUUUGUUAAAUAAAAAUUCAAAACAAAAUUGCAACUCACCUAACUUGUUAAAUUAAUUAACCAUUAAUAUCUAAAUAUUAAUUGCAUUUAAUUACCAUUACAUACAUUAAUUCUAAAAUCCUUUCUAGAUAUUAAUUACAUUUUAUAAUAACAGUUGUCUUUCCAAAAAAAAAUAAAUUAGCAAUUCGUCAAAAAAAAAAAAAAAAAACACAUACUUCCAAACAACUUUUUUUCAUUUUAAAAUUUAUUGUUCUAAUUAAUGUAUUUUAUUUUGUAUUUGUACUACGUAGCAAAUGUCGUAUUUGUACCCUGUAGAAAAUAGUUUAUGAAAAAAUAUACUUUAAUAAGAACUUAAUGAAAAAUAUAAUUAAAAAUAUCAUUAAAAACGUUUGAUUUAUUGUGUAUAUUAGAAUACUUAAUAUGUCUAUUAAACAAAUAAUUUAUUAGGAUAAUUUGUAUGAUAUUUAUAUAUUCUCUCAAGUUUGUUAAUAUUUAUUAAUAAAUACAUGAAGUUGGCUUUCAUCGUUUUUAUUUAAAAUAGAGAUUGUGAUAAGCUUUGUGAGUUGUAGUAUUUAUUUUCGUGGAAGAUAGAAUUGUGGGUGAGUGCGCAACGAAUUAUGUAUUAAGAAAGCCUUUUGAGGUACUUGUUUGAGAAGUUUGAAGGUUAUUUUGAUGGAGUCUUUGCCGUGAAGCCUAGAUUGAAUUCCUUAUUCACACAUCAAGUGGUUCAGGAGGAGUCUAAACGUUUAUCUUGUAAAAGUCAUAUAAUUCAAGAUAAGUUAUGUGUACUUAUGAUCCUCUUCAAUAUUUAUAAUUGAUCUUUUUCAAUCGGGUUAAAGAUUUUUUAAAUUUAGGUAGGAUUACACUUACUCUCGUAUGUCUUUUCAUACUAUUAUUCAUUUGAACAUUAAACUUAAGAGUGAUUUCUUUUUUAAAUCUUUUCUCAAAACUCAAAUAUUAGAAUAAGGUUGGUUUUGUAACUUAAAUUUAAAUACAAGGGUUAAGAAAUGUAUUUUUCCAUAUUAAUUAUCAUUUAAAAUAUAAAUAAUUUGUAAUUUUUUUCUAUUUAUAAACACUAAUUAAUAAACUUAAUAGAACUCCUUUUGUAAUUAAACAAAAUUAAAGUGCAGAGAAAAACAUAGAGCAGAGUAGAAUGGCAGUUUUUUCAACGCACUGUGUAUUAGUUUUUUGAAGUUUAAAGCUUAAUUAAGACUUUAACGGGCCUCCACAUUUAAUUCUCUUCAACGAAAAAUCACCAAACUUAAGUGUCUUAAAUGAAACUAUAAAAUUUUGAGUAUAACCCCCUCAACCCCCCUCCCUUUAAUACAAGUUUUCUUCAUAUUAAUGAGCAAAAAGUUCAUUAAGAGAAAGAAAAACUCAGUUUUAAAUUUAAUUUUGGACAUAUAAAUUAGAUCCCACACACCAAAACCAGAAAAGAAAAUUUCAAAAUGAUUUCAAACCACAUAGUUUGUAGAUCUCAAACGUUUUCAUUGAGCACCAACUUUCCUCUUCUCAACAACAUCAACUCAUCCUUUUCUUUUACAAAUCUUCUCCUCAAGCCUUUCAUUACUCGUGCGGUAUUUAUGAUGAAUCCACAAUUAUGAUUUUUUUUUCUUUUAAUUAUGAAAUUUAUUAGUAAAACAAACCACAAUUAUGAUUUUUUUUUUCUUCUUUUAAUUAUUUCUGGAACUAAUUUAUUUUUAAAAUUAAUACUUAGCAAUUGAAAAUUACAUCAUCUGAAUUAAAAUGGGAAAAGGAAGAGAAAGUUGAUAUAGAGAAAGACAGCAUCAACCAUAGCAUAGAGGUAAUUAACCUCUUGGAUUAUUAUUUAAAUUAAUUUGUAGUGAUAAUUAGUUCAAUUUUAUUCUUAAAUAUCCUAAACGCCGUCGUUUCUGCAGGAGUUUCUUCUAGGCUCUGAAGAAGAUGAAGCCAUGGUUCCAUCUCAAGAAUUUUGUGACAAAGCCCAUAUUCCCAACACUCAAAAGGUUCCUCCUAAUUACAAACAACUCACCAUUUUUUUCACUUUAAAACCUAUUUAAUAACGUUCAUUUUGUUUUGGGAAUUAUUAAGUACAUGGAUAUGUACAAAAGAUCCAUAGAAGAACCUUCAAAAUUUUGGUCUGAAAUUGCAUCAUCUGAGUUCUAUUGGAAAAAGGAGUGGAAUCACCAUCAUGCCUUCAAUGAAAAUCUUGAUAUUACCAAAGGCAAUAUUAAUAUUGAGGUAAUUAUGAUGUGUGUAAUUAUUCUCACAUUAUUAUUAUGAUUUAAUAACACUGGUUUGUUAUUGAUUAUUGAUUAAAUUUGGACAGUGGUUCAAGGGUGGGAUAACAAAUAUUUGCUACAAUUGCAUAGAUAGAAACAUUGAAGGUGGAUUGGGAGACAAAAUUGCAAUGUAUUGGGAAGGAAAUGAACCUGGUUUUCAUGCUUCUUUAACCUAUACCAAUCUCCUUCACCAAGUUUCCCAGGUAUUUUUUUUUUCUUUUUCUUUUUGUUCAUAUCUAAUGAAAAUGAUAUAUAAACAUAUAUUCAUUUAACUAAUGUUGAUUAGGUUGGUAAUUAUUUGAGAGACAUUGGAGUUAAAAAAGGAGAUACUGUUGUGAUUUACUUGCCUAUGAUUAUGGAACUUCCCAUUGCAAUGUUGGCUUGCGCUCGCAUUGGUGCCAUCCACUCUGUACGUAUAAUAUAUUUGCUGUAUUUUACGUUCAAAAACUACUUCCUACGUACACUUUCAAAACUUUAUAAUUUAAUCCUAGAUACAUCAUCGAUUUUACUUCAUAUUUUAUAUAUAUGUAUAGCAAAAUAUGUAACUAGUGGCUUGAUUAGCAAUCGAGGUCAUUCAAUUUCUACCUUCUAUUAAUGUAUAUUAUAUAAUAGUGUUGCCCUUGCUAAUAAGACUAAGAAUACAUAUGGUGUACGAUAUUAUUAUAAAGGUUGUAUUUGCUGGAUUUUCUUCUGAAUCACUUGCACAAAGAAUAAUUGAUUGCAAACCAAAAGUUUUGAUGACUUGCAAUGCUGCAAAGAGAGGUUCUAAAGCCAUCUUUCUUAAAGACAUUGUUGAUGCUGCUCUCAUUCAAUCAGCCAAUCAUGGCCAUUCUAUUGGUAUAUGUUUAUUUCAAUUUGAUCUACUUAUACAAACAAUUCUUUUCUUAAUACAUUAAAUUAAAAAAUAAUCAUAAGUUUUAAAUUUGAAAAUAGAGCACAAACAAAUGACCCAAUACAUAUAGGUUUAGAAAAUCUAAAAUAAUAUUUUGACAUUUGCUGGGCAGAUUCAUGUUUGGUUUAUGAAAAUAAAUCAACCUUGAAGAGAGAAAGCACUCCAUGGAAAGAAGGAAGAGAUAUAUGGUGGCAGGUUUGUGUAAAUUUUGAAAUUUAUUUCAAAUAAUUAGACUUUGUUUCAUACAGAUUUUAUUAAUUGUUUUUAGGAUGUUAUUCCCAAAUAUUCAAAGAGUUGUAAUGUGGAAUGGGUUGAUGCUGAGGAUCCUCUUUUUUUGCUUUACACAAGUGGGAGUGCUGGAAAACCUAAGGUUUUCUAUCUUUUUUACAUAUAUUUACUAUAUAACACCAAUUAUUACUUUAUAAUUUAAAGUGAAUUUGAAGUAAUAAAAUUAGGAAAUAUAUAUUUUGAUGGGGUGUUAAUUAUUUAAUUUUAUAUGUGAAAAUAGGGUGUAGUUCAUACUACAGGUGGAUAUAUGGUGUAUGUUGGAACCACUUUCAAAUAUGUCUUUGAUUAUAAACCUUCUGAUAUUUAUUGGUGAGUAACCUUAAUUUCUCUUAUUUUACUUUAUGUUUAAAUUUUACUUUCUUCAUUUAAAUUUUAUUUCAUUUUCUCUUAGUUUAUAGACUAAAUUAAGUAAUUUACAAGUUUAAUAAAUAUGAAAAAUUAAUUAUUAUUUUUUUUUUUUGAAGGUCCACGGCUGAUUGUGGUUGGGGUGCAGGACACGGCUACGUAACGUAUGGUCCACUGCUUAAUGCAGCCACGAUUGUUAUUCAUGAAGGGGUAUUUCUUUUACUUUUAGUUAAUAUAACAAUAACCAAAAUGAUCAUAGAAAAGUAUACGAAGAUAGUAUACAUACGUAUGUUUGUAUGUAUAGAGUUAAGAAGUUGGGUGUAAUAAUGAAGGAUGGAAUGGGGGUGUAGGUUGCAAAUUAUCCAAACUCAGGGAGGUGUUGGGAAAUAGUGGAUAAAUACAAAGUCUCCGUUUUCUUCACUGCUCCCACUUUGAUCCGCUCUCUCAUGCGUGAUGGCGAUCAGGUCAUUUUUUCCCUUUUUUUCUUUUCAUUCUAAAAUAGUAUUGCAAAAAGAUGAUGGUAGAAUUUAAAGAGCUUAAAUUUCUAAUAAUGUUAGAUAUAUACAAGUGUUAUUUUAAAGUAGUAAACAAUUUGCAUGGAAUUAAUAAUUAUGGAUGACAGCAGCAUGUUAGGCGUUACUCACGAGCAUCUCUACGGGUGCUUGGAAGUGCCGGCGAGCCCAUCAAUCCCGCAGCUUGGAGGUUUUAAAACAGUUCAACCAUUUCUUUUACUUUCUUUCUUUUUCCGGUUUAAAUCACAUUUUUCAUAAUUGAUAUGAUAUUUCGUACAUCAAUUCAUCCACUCUCAAUUUGUACUAAAUGUGACAUGUAUAUAACAGAUGGUUUUACAAGGUGGUUGGUGACUCUCGAUGUCCUAUUUCAGAUACGUGGUGGCAAACGGAGACCGGUGCUGCCAUGGUAACUUGUUAUGUUGUUGCUCUUGUAAUUGGGUUCCUACUUUAGAAAAGAUAUAUUGUUUGAUUAAUUGGAAUAUUAUUUGGAUUGUGAAUGUAGAUUACUCCAAUUCCAGGGGCAUGGCCACUCAAGCCUGGUUCUGCUACUUUCCCAUUUUUUGGAGUCAAGGUUCUUUCUCCUUAAACCACACCCCUUUUAUCAUUUCUAUUACUUUUGUAAGAUUUUGAAUAUUUUAGAAGAUAUACUCUUAUGAACUAAAACACAAAACAUACCUAAUUUGAAACUACAGCGAUACGGUAGCACUGUAUGUUUUUGGCACAUUUACAUCAAAGUUAAACAUGGAACCAAACCAACUUACGUUACAUGUGGAUGCAGGCAGUAAUAGUGGAUGAAGAGGGAAAGGAAAUAGAAGGAGAAGGCAAUGGGUAUUUAUGUAUAAAAGGGUCAUGGCCAGGAGCAUUGAGGACACUUUAUGGAGAUCGUGAAAGAUAUGAAACCACAUAUUUCAAGCCAUUUCCAGGAUAUUAUUUCACUGGCGAUGGUUGUAUCAGGUCACUUUUUAAUUCCAUGUUUUUCUUUUACCAUUUGAUUUCAUUUAGAUAGUAAUUAUGUAUGUUAAUCUUGGUGUUAUGUUUGAUGUUUAGGGAUAAAGACGGAUACUUCUGGAUUACUGGACGAGUCGACGAUGUUCUCAAUGUUAGGUAUAUAUAUACACAUUGAUGUUGGUUUGACAUUGAAAUAAGUUAGAUGGAUACUUCGAUUAAUUAAUUCCUUAAGUGUUAGAAUUGACUUUACAUGUGUUUUAAAUAUAUUUACACACUUAAAAUGUUAUUCCAAACACACUCGUUCUAAAGUAUUUAAUUUUAUGAUAUUUUGAUUUUAGACAGAAAUAUAGGAUACUUUGAAUUCACAACUUUUGUCUGAUUUUGCAUUUUUUACCUCAACCAAUGUGUUUAGUCCUGAAUUUAUCUUCGAUAUAUAUUCAUAUUUGUAUAUGGUAGAGUAGAUUCAAGUGUUACAUUUUGAAAUGAAUUCAAGCUUUCGUAAAAAUACUUAGAAGUUUUAAAACACAUAAAAUAUGGUCUAAAAACUUAAUAUUGUGCAGUGGACAUCGAAUUGGAACAGCAGAAGUGGAAUCUGCGUUAGUUUCACACCCUCAUUGUGCAGAAGCUGCAGUAAUUGGCAUUGAUCAUGAGGUCACAAAACCAUUUCUAUUUUGUUUCGAAUGUUGACCUAUGCCAUUUUUUUUUAUCUAUUUACUUUGUUGUAACGAAUUAACCAGCAAUGGUUCACUAGACACUCUUAAAAACAGGAACCUUUCUCUUGUGUUCAGGUUAAAGGGCAGAGUAUACGUGCAUUUGUCACGUUAGUCGAGGGAGUUCCUCAAAGUGAAGAGCUCCGAGAAAGCCUAAAACAAACAAUUCGAACACAGGUUAGAGAUCAGUUUCAGGAAUAUGGACUUCAAGAGGAUUGAAAAAGAGUAAUUUAAGAGUGAAAUAUUUUGUUUUUGCAUUUCCAGAUUGGAGCAUUUGCAGCACCUGAUAAAAUACAUUGGGCAAAUGAGUUGCCAAAAACAAGAAGUGGAAAGAUAUUGAGAAGAGUUUUGAGAAAAAUUGCAUCCAAACAGUUGGAUGAGAUUGGAGAUACCUCAACACUUGCAGAUCCUACAGUCCUAGAUCAACUUAUUGCACAAAUUAAUUCUUGAAACCUCAAAGAAUUAAAAAAAAAACUAACAAAAAAGCAAAAACAAAAAGAAUGAAGAAGUAACCUACAAAUAAAAAGCCUUCAAUGCAGUGGCCAACUCCGUUUAUGAAUCAACUUUUUGUUCUUUUGAAAAUUAGUUUGAUCUUGUACUUGGUCAAGGGCUUGCUUGGGAGGGAGAAAGAUAUAUAUCCAAUUGUCACCUACAUGUAAAAUUUUUUUGGCAGAGAAUUUUAUUGGAAUGGCAAGAUGUUUCUACAGUACAGAUCAUUUUAUCACAUUUUCCCUCAACGAAACACCCACUUGAAGUUUUGACCCACAACAAAAAUUAUAGAAUCACAAAAACAAAGAUCAAGAUAGACAAUAGUAUCCAAUGCAGUCAAAAUCUUUCUGAGAUUCAAGAAAGAAAUUUCUGGCUAAGAUUAAAACGACAUCCCUAUGCCUUAGAGAAGUUCAGACAUGUCUCAUAAUCCAAAAAAAUUUACGUGCCUUCAAUUUUUUUAACUAUGAGUGUCUUUGUAAUCCAAUCAUCUAUCUAUCCAUCUAUCUAUAUAUUGUUCUUGAGUUACUCUCUCUCUCUCUCUCUAUCUAUCUAUCUAUAUAUGGUUCUCAAGUUACUUUUCCACAGCCAUAGCAUCUCAAAAAAGCAUGUUUGAUAAAUUCAUAUUUAAUUAAUAGUUUAAACAAGACUUGAUUUAAAAAUGUUCUACUAAGUGAAGAAAUUGAACAAUCAGGAUAUUUGCUACAAUUUAAUUAAUAGGUUCUCAAACUUAUUCAUUAUAAGAAUGUAAAUAAAGAUACAUCCCUAAUAAAAUAAUCAUAACAAUCAUACCAGGAUAGACAAAAUGGAAGCUGAUGGUUUGAGCUAAAGCUUGGACUUGGGAAUUUGAGGUUCUCUAGACCAUGAAGGAGGGACGACUCUGUAAUCUUGAGUUGGCUCUUCAGUCUUUACUUUUUCCUUUUCCAUUUCCUUUUCUUCUUCAUCUUCGUCUAAGACAUCUUUCGAGAAUGCAUUUGGGUUUGCUUUUAUGCAGCUCUGCAAAGCCACAAAAGGAUGCACACAGUCUGAUCCCUUUGGAAAACAUCACAAUUCAACUGUUAGUAUGUACCACAGGUUUUGCAAAGAUUAUUUUCUCAAAAAAAAAAUAAAGAACCUCAUAAGUCAUAAAUUAACAGUUGUUUCAAAUUUACAAAUUUUGCUUAUUUUUUUUCUUUUGAGUUCACCACAACAUGUAGAGAUGUGAGGAUUCAAACAUUAUCGAGGAUCUGUGCUUUAAACCAAUUGGGCUAUACUCAAACUUCAUUCUUCUAGUAAAAAACCAAAAAAAUCAGAUGCUAUAAAUGUUAGUAAUUGAAUUUUUCAGUAAAAUAUGUAAUGGGAAAUCUAACAGGUAUAAUUAGUUGCAGUGUUAAACAAGAUUAGUUAUAGCCCUUAAUUAUACUUUUCAACCAAAAAAGCCUAAAUAUGUUGCACUGUUUCAUGUUUUCAACUGAUGCAUCUAUUAAAUUUCUAUAUUACAGAACUUAUAUACCAUGCCACUCACAAAUAAUUAGCUAUGUUGAGUUCCUGUUCUCUCACUGAUGUCAAAGACAUUUGGUAAGUUCCAACAAAUCAUAAUGAAAUUAAUAACUAUACAGAGACCAAUUGACUACAAUUACAGGGUAAGGAUUGAAAAAUAUAAUUUAACCAAAAAGCUUUCCCAUAAAUUCUUAUUUUUCCUUCAAAAGCUACAUAAAAUGUGGUGGUUCCUUCUUUUUCCUUACCUUUUCCUCUGCAGUACUCUUGAAGAAGCAGAGAAAAGCAUCAGAAAACUGGAUCCCGCAUGAACCUUUACGCAAGUCAGCUAUGCAGGGGCACUCCAACGCUCUGUUAGCUUUGGCAUCAAGAGACUGAAAGAAGCAUGGGUCAACUUCUUUGUUUCUACCCAAUUUCAAAAGGAAGCUUAUAUCUUUAAAGUGGACAAACCUCAUUUGUUUCAUUACCAUAAGCUUCAGCUUCUGCAAGAAUGAAAAUAUUGGUUAUAUUUAUGUCCUCAAAUCUAACACUAAAGAGAACUAGAACAACAAGUGCAAAUAAUAUUUCAAUUUAUGUGUGCAAAGAAUUGUUAAAGCACGCUAGAAAAAUAAUACCGUUCUGUUCUCUGAUUAAAUGGCUGCAUUAUUCAGUGUUUUCUAUUAUCUUUUGUGUUGCCAUCUUAGUAUUUCAUACGUGUGGUAGUUUGUUGCUUUUCUGUUCAGAGGUAUUUACAGUUUCACAUCAUAUGUAAUCUGUGAUAUACUCCUUAACUGAAGAAGAUCUCAAGACCUCAAUGGUUAGUCUGUAGAAAACCUCAGUUUUAUGUUGGUAUGCAGCCAACAAUGGCUAGUGUUCGCUCAAAUAAAUUCCCUGUCCAUGAAGAACUAUAGAAUAACUACAGUCAGAAGCAUGGUGCAGCGUGAAACAAGUAAUGUCUGGUGGUCUGGUGGUCUUCAUAAUAAAGUAAUGUCUGGAUGCCCUCCUAUAAGUAGUCUGGUGGUCUUCAUAAUAAAGUAAUGUCUCCAAAAUCAGAUCAAUACAUCCCAUAAUGGCAAAAGUUGCCUCCAAUUCUAAGACACUACAGACUUGAAACCUGAAGGACACCUCUGAGGAGCAAGAAAAUGACAGAUGAUCAUUGUGUUUAUCCCCCUCACACACUAAUGGCAACCAACAGACAGACCCACAAAAUUAACUAAUUCAAAAUAUACAAUACUGACUCCUAAAAAGAACAGCAUCCAAUUAACUUCUUCAGGGGGUGGUUUUACAAUUAAGUGACAGCUGAAAUUGUUUUCCAAGCCAUAGGAUAUGAAACAUAAGGCGCCAGAUGCAUAGAGUCCUCUUGGCAUCCAAUUAAAUAACAGCUGAUAUUGUUUUUCAAGUCAUAGGAUGCAAAAAUAAGGCGCCAGAUGCAUGAACUCCUUGCUUGGCAUCCUAUCUCAAGUGCUGAAGAAGACAAAUGCUUCAAUAAAGACCAUGGAGUUUUCAAGUCAAGGCGACUAAAAGAUGGUUGAUUAUCCUUACUCAGUUAAGACUAAAUUAAUGGAACCUGUCCGUGGCUAAAAAUCUAGUUCCAAUGAGGAUUUUCUAUUGCCAAGUCUGUGUUGGUCAGAUGACAAAUACACACUUGUAGCCAUAUUCAGAAUAAGCUUGCAAAAACAGGCUAAAAUUUCUCUUCUUGUACUCACAAACUUUUGGUAGCUUUAUGUUUUGUAUCAUCUUUUGUAAUUUGGACAUUAGUCUCAUUUCCUUAUUUCAAUGAAAAAUCAUGUUUUUGUUGGGCCUUUAUCCUUUUUUUAGGUUCAUUAGGGUUUUUAUUGGUUGGAACUUCCAGUUAUCUUGGUAGGGAUUUGAUAUCUUUAUUUCCGUCUCAGCAAAUAAUUUUUUUUCCACAGGGGAUCGUAAUGUCUUUCUAUGGGAUUGCCGGUCUUUUUUCCAAAAAACCCGAAGAUUGACCAGCUGCACUUAUUGGAGGUAGCAUGAUUAUUGGUCAUAUUCAUAACAAUAUUGCGGAAGGAGGAUUACAAAAUCAAACCUUCAAACCAAAUACUCUUUUCUUUCUCAUCUGGUCAGAAUAGACAUAACAAGCAAGGUUAACUUAGAGGAAACAAAAGCAAGAAGUAUGGUUGAGAGGGAGGAAACCAAGAUCAAGAAACCAUGAGCGUACACUGCAUGAGGCACACAUUUGCUCGACGAUAACAGCUCCUUUGCUCCAAUUGCCCCAUCUUACAGUGAAAGAUCCAAUAUUGUAUCAUUUUGUAAAGCUUGCCAAUUUGAUAUUUUCAUCAAUUUCUCUUCCCCAAUUCAAUUUCUAAUCAGAUAAACCAUUUGGUAUUUUACAUUGAGAUCUAUUGAAGCUUUCACUUGUUCAUUGUAACUGCAGCUCUUUUUAUUUAUUUAUUUUCAUUUGUCCUUGAAAGAGAACUAAGAGGCUACACUUCCCUACAAACAAUUCAAACCUCUUACUGAAACCAAACUUGAAACAAGAAUCCUAGCCCUUCAACUUGGUGGUAGACAAGAGUUGCCACUGCUUUAAUUUGCUGAACAGUGGAAGAAUAAGAAAUCCAAAAAGUUUAUCUCAUCUCUUCUAUCCCACUUUUAAAAGGAGAGCUGGGAUAAAGCAUCACCAUCUUGUUGAAACUGGAUCGAUUCUCCUAGCUCAAGCCCAUGUGCAACAUUAAUUGGCAGAGAAUUUCACAAUUUAUUUGAUAAAUAGGCUCCUCACACCAGUUAUUAAGGCCAAACUCCUUUUUAACUUUUGCACAACUCUCUUCCCAAUUCUUAUUUUCUGAAAACCUUUGCUAAAGUAACCUUUACCUCAAACACAAUCAAUCAACCAAGUUCCAAUAUCGAACUUCCGGGUAUGUCUUUGUAGAAACUUACCAAAACCCGUUCUUCUAAUUCUAUCCUUUCGCUGCUCCCCUUUCCAAUUCGAAUGACAAUAACUAACCCACUUCCAAGAACCCUUCUUCUUCUUCAGCAACGAUCCUUACUCCAUAGUCACCCAUGCAGUCAAUUGCUUAUAACCUUGCAAAGUAUCAUAGGUCCUAGAACCUCAAUAAACAAUGCCGUAAAUGAUGAAUAUAAUCCCUUCACCGAAGCAGGCCAUACUGCAGACUAAUUUCUAUCGUUGCCCAAACAUGUAAUGAAGAAUAAAAACAGAUACUACAAACAGAAAUUAAAUUUAACAAAAUUCACAAUAGUCCUUUAACUCUCUUAGCACCCGAACUUUCAUUUUCUUGAGCAUGAAUCAUUCUUAUAUGAAGAGGAGCGCUUCAUUCAGUAUCAGAAACAUUUUUAGAGACACGAAGAAAUAAGACAGAAUGCGACAAACCUGCAAUUAGAGACUCCAUGGAUGGAGGACCGGAGACGGGACUUGCAGAUUGAUUCAGGCUUGGUGGUAGAUCGUUCGGAGGCGAAACGGCGGCGACGCUUUCAGCUUGACCCAUCCUUCAAAGAACUCAAAUUGGAAUCGGUAUAAAAGUCGGCGGUUGUUGAGAUUGAAGGUUUGAACUUUGCAGAGUGGACUCAACAAAAGGGAUCUUUUUAUCUCUUUUAUUUUAUUUUUAUUGUGUUUAAUUAGUAAAUAUUUACUAUCAAAUUUAGUAGUUAAUAAAUAUGUACUAAAAAUAAAUUUAUUACUUGAUUUAUAUUGUAAAUGAAAUGUGAUGAAUAUUCUGUAUACAACAAAGUUUAAAUACAUAACUUUACUGCUAUAACAAUUGUGAAUUCUAAUUUUUUAUUUAGUGCAAGAGAAGUGAGCUCUUUUCACAUUUUGAAAAUGAAAUUUAGGCCAAAAAAGAAUGAAAUGGUUUGUAUUUUACUUAUCCAAUGAAAUGUUACGUAUCAUACGUAUCAUUUUGUAAUUUUGUAAUGGUGAUGUUAUGAUAUAGGUAAGAGGUAAGGAGUUUGCUUAUGUUCUCAUUUCGUGGAUAUUUCAUUAUGGCUCUAAGUGUAUGACUCAUUUUGGUGAUGAACUAUCUUAUUACAUGUUGAAAACUUGUUGUAUUGAUAGUUCACUUAUGCGCUUUAAAACAAUAACAAUAAUGAUGUAUAAUGUGCAUACACGUUUUUCUCUUUAACAACCAAGUGCAAGCUUUAAGAAAUGUUUCAUGGGUAAACUAGGCUCGAACGCAGAGACUUAGUGACUUAUCAAAUUGAAUGUCUAGUUCUAUCUACCAUAUUGUCAACUAUUGACUAUUAUGUGUCAUGUCACCAACAAUUUAGUACCAUUAAUCACCAUAUCCGUUGUUAAUGAUAUUCUAUGAUACAUUCUUGGUAAAAACUUCAACGAGCACAACUGCAAAAUUGGAGAAGGACGAGAAAGGUAAAAACAUAGAUAUUAAAGUUUAUAAAGGUAUGGUUGAAUCUUUGCUUUACUUAACUGCAAGUAGACCUGAUAUCAUGUUUAGUGUGUGUGCAUGUGUGCUCAAUUUCAAGCACGUCAUAAAGAAUCACACUUACAUGUGAAAAGAAUUUUUAAAUAUUUGCUUGAGAUUGCCAACUUAGGUUUACGGUAUCCUAAGAAUGCAUCUCUAAAAUCUUAUUGCUUAUUAUGAUACUGAUUUUGCUGGUAGUUUAACUUAUAGAAAGAGCACUAGUGGAACUUAUCAUUUCUCUAGGAAGCUCACUAGUAUGAUGGUAUAAUAAAAGAACAAAAUUAUGUUCCUUUAUUUACUACUGGGAUCAAUUAAUACAUUGUUGCCGCAAGCUAUUGUUCUCAAGUUUCAUAGAUACAACAAACACAUAACGAGAUUUUGGUUUAAAUUUUGAACAAGUGUGCCUAUCUUUUGUGAUAACAUCAGUUCAAUAAAUUUAACCAAAAAUCCUAUUCAACACUCUAAGACAAAAGUACAUAUAUAUAUAUUAGACAAAUUUCUAAUUAAUUAUAUUCCUACAGAAAAUCAAGUAGCAGGUAUUCUCACCAGAAGCAUUUUGUAAGAAGAGACUUGCACUUGGGAUCAUUUGCAUUUGAUUGCUUAACUGUGGUUGAUAGGAGAAACAUUUUUGCAUUUUAAAGUAUUAUUCAAUUAAGGGAGAGCAUUGAAAUUUAUUUACUAAAUUUUUGUGUGUGCAUGCAUGAGUUUAGAAAUUAACGGGAGCUAAAACUUACUUAUUACACGUUUUACAUUAUAACAAAAAGGGAAAAAUAUGUUUGAGGUUAUAGAUGUGAGAUCUUGAUCGCGUUCUGAACUACGUGAUAAGAUUGCACGACAAGAAUUAGUUGUGUGAUAAGACUGUGUGAGAUGAAAACUUACAAAAUUAUCUGCAGAGUGAAGGGUUAUUUUGAGGCUUGUAUAUUUUCAGUUUGAAGAAACUUUUUAUACUUUUCUUAAAUUUACUUUGUUAUCAAAUAUCAAUGAAGUAUUGUUAUUUCAAAAUGAAUUCUUUUUUUUUUUGCAUUAAGUUUGAUGUGUUUGUGUUUAUUCUACUUACUAGGCGUUCUGCAUGCUAUUCCUCAGAGAGAUUCGUGUUAAAUGUCUAGGCAGUCAUGCUUCCACAUGGUCGGAUGAAGAGAUCUUGAGACGAGGUGUGACAUAGGAGUUAUUGAAUAGUUUAUCAUCAUAAAAAAGGGGGAGAUUGUUAGCUUUAGAGCUUCAAUCAAACAAAAGUAUUUUGAUGAUAACAAACUCAAGUAGUGGCACUAAUGAUUUUUAUUGUUUGCAAGUACUUAUUUUGUAGAGUUCAAGAAAGCAAUUUCAAUGAGAUUGAAAAUUAAUUUUGAUGUGGUGGAUGACAUGACAAUGACGUGGCAAACAUGGAUCACUCAUAAGAUGACAUGUGGCAGACUUGGAAGAGAGAUGAUGGACAAUGGAUAAUGGACAAAUCGAACACUAUCACUAUUUAUCCAAAAUAGAAGACUUAUUGAUUCUAAUUUUCACAAUAAAACACUAUUUUCAUCUUUGAUAAACAACCCUAGACUAAUUCACACUUUCUCUACCUACAAAAUAAUCUAUCUCUCAUCCUUUGAUGAAGUAAAAAAGAUGUCUAUCUAGAUAGAAAAUGAUACAACACUAUACUAUUAUUGUCUAUUAUAAUAACAUACUAUUAUAAUAUUAGGACUAUUAUAAGUCACUCUUUGCUCCAAAAACGUACGCCUCCUAAAUAUUUGACUUAAGUUUUAAGUUUUCUCUCCCUAAAUGAUAAGCCGUUAAGGCCAACUAAGGAAAGAUGAGACUCGUUGUUGUGCGAGAAAGCUAAGUAAAACAUUUAAGUUUAAUUGUUAUAGUUUCGUAUGUAAAGUGAAAUUUAUAGAAGUGUUGAUUCAAAGAUAAUAAGAAAGGAUGUUUGAUUUUAUUUCCACUGUGUGGUGAUUUCUAAAGGUCAAGUUAAGAUGUGUCAAGUGCGGCAGAACAUGACAUCAAGCUUCCAAACGAAUAGUGAUCACUGGACAAUCUUGUAGCCCAAAAUAAAACAACAAGUUUGUAUCAAUUUAAUUUCAGCAAUCAAAUUGUACUAUCUUGUCACCGUUGUCCAUAUGAAUUAGUUUUUGUGUGAUAUCAUGUUGUAAUGACAUAAUAAAACAAUUUUAGAGUUCCAUUCUUUCUGAUUAUAUAUAUAUAACAAAGUUAAAGGAAAUUAUAAAAUUAUUGAAUAAUCAUAUCAUUUGAGGAAAUAUUUCGUAUCACAAAUUCAAUUUUUAAGCUAAAGUGCUUCAUAGUUGGAAAGAGAAUUGUGUUUCUGAAGUUGACUCAACAAUCAUAGAUAUAUAAAGAAAAAACUGUGCUUUUGUCAGUAAUAAUGACAUCAUGAUUUUUAUUGACUUUCAUAUUGAUUCAAUACAUUAAAAUUUUGUAAUUUAUAAAAGUAUCAUUAUCUUAAAGGUAACCCAAAAGUGAUCCAAAGAAAUUAAUGCAUGUAAUUAACAAUUAACCAUAAAUUUUUGUUAAUGAAUUGUAGUGAUUACAAUGAUAUCAGUGCAUACUAAUAAAAUAAAAUUGAAAAUAUUGGGUCCAAGUUUUUUCCUAUUCAAAAUGGCAUUUUAGUUGUAGAUCCAAGAAAAGUAUAUGCAUUUCCAACAAUAAAGAGAAAAUCUGGGAAAAUGUGAAAUAAUUCAAAGAAAUCAAUGGCCAAAUAUAUAUAUAUAUGUAUAUAUAUUUCCGUACUAAUCAAAAGUGUGAGACCGAAUUUUUUCAUUCGUUGAGGUUUUAGUUUUGUAGAAAUUUGAUGAAAAUCAAUUUAUUCUUUUAAAAAAUUAUAAAUAUAAAAAUAAAAAACAAUAAAUCUAUAUUAAUAAAUAAACAUGAAAUUGAUUGACAAGUUUUCUUGUGGUUUUUUCUCUAAAGAUUUUUUUUUUUUUUUUUUUUUUUAAUUUAGUCAAAAACUGGUUAAGUUAUUGUAUUUGUUAGGAGCAUUUUCUAAGAUAGCAAAAUAAAUUAAAAUAUUUACAAAUUAUAACAAAAUUUUGAAUUCUUUCACCAUAGCAUAUGAAUGAGUAUGAUAGAACUUAUUCUCAGUUGUAAAUAUUUUCUAAAAUCUACUAUUUUAAAAUUUUUUCUAUUUUUAUCCUGAAUUUUUGUUACUUAAAUACUUAUUUUAAUUUAUGUAAUUUAAAAAUUAACUAUUUUGGUCAUUUGGAAAAUAAAAUGUAAAUGAAAAUUAAAGGCAAAAUACUUUUGUUUUCUAGUUAAAAGUUGAUGACUAAAGGGAACAUUCCGUAAUUACAUAGUAAAAAUGAAUAGAGAACAAAAAAAUAAAAAAGUGUUUAGCCAUACAUUUUCAAAUAGAUAAAUUGUCUGAAGCAACUCCAUUGUCUAGAUUAAAUUAAAAUUUUCAAAUGAAUAGCAAACAAAUUGAAACAAAGUAUAUCAAACAUGAAACAAAACUUGCCUAUAUAACUGCACCAAAUUCAUACUUUGAUGGAAACAAAAUGUCUAAUCCUUGGUCGUAAAAUAGUGCAAUUUAUUGACAUAAAUUUGUAACAUCAAAUUUGUGAUAUAUUGUAAAAAUCAAUAAACACAUUAAUAAUAUUAAGAAGAAAAACAACUCUAUAAUUAUCAACAAGAAUUUAAAUAAACUAACAAUUUCGAGUAUACUCACCACCAAAUUUGUAGUUGGAAUUCUCUUAUUUCUAAUGAUGGUAGGAGAUAAAUUUCUAAUUAGUGUAAGAGAUAAAUGGUCUUUUUGAAUCGGACGUUUGUUUUACUUAAAAUAAAUAAAAAAAUUAAAUAAAAUUUAAAAAUGAAAAAUAAAAAUAAAAUUCUAUUCUUUGAUUGUACUCCGAGAAAUGGAGCAGAGGAUUCGAGGAGGAAGAAGAAGAAGAAUGUGAGGUUGAACUGCGGAGGAAUAUUGAAUGCGAACAGGUUACGAAUCAUCUCUCUCAAUCCAAUCCAUUUCUUGAAUUUGCGAUUCCUCCUUCUAUACAGUUGUUUCGAAUUACACAAAUUGGACCAAUAAUGUCUGGAAUACAAGAGAUGGUGGCCAAGAAAGUUAAGGUCACCAUGAUUGAGAGCUUGAUAAAGAACCAACCAAACACAUUCAGAUCCAUUUUUCAGCGUAAGAAAUCCAAGAAUGAAGAAGAUUCAUCCCCUUCCGGUUCUCCUAAAUCCAUCCCUCAACUCUCUCCCUUCGCUAAUUCUGUUGUCGCUCGCUGUUCCAAGUAUUUCUCCUCUCCUUUUCUCAUGAUCUUCAUUUUUCUUUUUUUUGUUUUCCUCGAAUGCUUUCUUCUUCUUUUAUCAUGUAUAUUUUUGGUUGCAUACGAAUUGCCAUUUCUUCUUCUUCUUCUUUUUUUUACUUCAAACUCUGAUGCGUAUUUGUGAUUUAAAGUGGGAUGAUUAGCUGUUGAUUCUGUGUAAAUCACUGAGUCUCUAGUACUGCAGAAGAACUUAUGUAUCCACAAUCAAUCACUUCACCUCAUGCUCCAUCUUCAUUUACUGUGGCAUUAUUGCACAGAAUCUAGUUUCUUUGCCUUUUGAAAUUUAUAUUGCAGUCGGUUAUAUGCUUUGUUUAUUUUGUUUGUUUUUUGUGUGGCUAAUGAUGAUUUAUGCCUUAAAUAAUUAGGUUAAUCUGCUUUGUUUUAGAGCAACAAAAAAGAGUUUAUCUUUCCUUCAUAAAUAGAGGAUUUCACAAAUUUUAGUGUCUGUAACGAUAUGUUGCAUAUGUCAUAUGGAAGACAUAAUUUUGAUUUGGCAUUUGUAAUGCAAUCCUUAGAACUGAACGUUUGCUUCGGUUUUUAUGUUAUUGUUAUUUCAUGCAUCUUAAGGUUAAGGCAGACACAUUUUUAUUAUGCAGGAUUCUUCAAAUGCCCACUGAAGAAAUGCAACAACUUUUUGAUUCAGAGUUACCUGGAAUUAAUAAGGAACCUGAAACUUAUUCUAGAAGUUUGUUGGAAUUUAUCUCAUACCAAACACUUUAUUCUAUGAGUAGACGUCCAGAUUAUUUAAGUGACAAGGAAUUUCGUCGAUUGGCUUAUGACAUGAUGCUUGCUUGGGAGUGCCCUGGUAGUGAAAGCGAACCACUACCGCAAGUGAGACAGUCUACCAUUAUACUCCAUUGAUAUUUAGUAAGAUAGAGUGAUAUUAUCACUUAAAUGCAUCUUUCUCUUUUCUCAUGAGGGUAGGGGUGGGGGUUGGGUUGGGUUGUGGAGGGGUGGAAUUCCGAUAUUAUAGGCCUCAUUUGAUAACCACUUUGUCUGUAGUUUUCUGUUUUUAAAAUUAAGCUUGCUUACUCACAAUUUUUGGUAAGCAUUUUCUCUUCCUUAAACACAUUUAAAUUCUAAGCCAAAGUUUGAAAACAAAAUCAAAUUUUAAAACAUUACAUGUUUUAUUUUUCAAAAUUUGGCAUGCUUUUCUAAAAGGUAGGCGUAAUAGAGCAAGAAAACUAUAGGUAGAAGUAGUGUUUACAAGCUUAACUUUUAAAAUCAGAAAAUUAAUAACUAGAUGGUUAUCAAUUAGGGUCUUAGCUUUUAGGUUUUUAUUGUUCAUUUACAAAGAUAGUAGGAAAAGAGGGCAAGAAGGAAUUGAUUGUGUUUCUAAAUCCUCUUUCCAACUGUAGGAAACUGCUUCUUGCAGUAAUGAGGAAGUAGAGGAUAAGGAAGAGUGGUCACUGUUUUAUUCAAAUUCUACAAACAUGGCUGUUCAGGUUAAUAAUUUUCUGGUUUUCAUAUCUGCAACUUGAUAGGCACAUUAUGUUAUCAUUAUGUCUAGGAUGGGUACUUCUAAAGCCUUUUUAUUUUUUAACCAGCAUUGACUAACCUUUUGAAGUACUGGUUUUUAAAGCUUUUAUAUUAUGGUGAUCAGUUUGAUGACAAGAAAACUGUUGGACCAGAAGCUUUUGCACGGAUAGCUCCUGCUUGCAUUGCUCUAGCAGAUAUCAUAACUGUUCACAAUCUUUUUGAUUCACUGACAAGUUCAUCAGGUCAUCGACUCCAUUUUCUUGUCUUCGACAAAUAUAUAAGAAGUCUUGAUAAGUAAGAACUUGCUUCAUUAGUGUUGACAAUUGUGUGAUAUUUAUUAAAUGUGAUUGAAAUUGUUCCUCCAACUUUUAUAUGUUUAAUAUGGAAGCUGUUACAUGUGUGCUUUACAGUUUUUGUUCUACUCAAACCAGAAAAUGAAAUGUUUAUCAAAAUGACACCUUAACUUUCUGGAUCAUGUAUUUUUCAAGUUUGUUCUUCCAAGAUUGGUCUUUUAAUUUUUAAUGAAAGUGGAUUUUGAUUUAGUUUUGGAUUCAUUUUUCUUAUUUAAUGUGGGAUGCCUUUGUCUCACAUUGGCUAGAACAAGACGCCAAUGUGUUACUUAGUGGCUUGGCUCUCCCACUCUAAUAGCUGGCUUUUGAGGUGUGGUUCUCCAAGGUGUUAAGUAUCUAAGAAUUUAUUUUAAAAAUCAGUGGAUAUCAAAUGGUCAAUGAAGAAGUCUAAAUAUGGGACCCAUCUGUUUUUGGAUCAUGGGCUUUUCUAUUCCAGAGUUGAUUCGUUUAUGGACUAGCAUCACUAUUGGAGAAAACUUAUUACGAUGUCUGUUUGCAGGGUUAUUAAGGCAACUAAAAAUGCAUUGCACCCCUCAACUGGAAAUCUUCAUCUUUCUGAAGGAGAAAUUGCCCUUGAAGUUGAUGGUACAGUACCUACUCAACCAGUUCUUCAGCAUAUUGGCAUUUCUGCAUGGCCUGGUGAGUCUUGUUCCUACAGAUGUAAUCCAAGAUUGAGUGAUUACCUCAGUUUAGAUUGUAAAGAUUGAAAUUUAAGGCCCAAGUUUUCUUCUUUCGAUUGUAGUUUUUCAACCAUUAAAAUUUAAGCUUCCUUCCUUUUCUGGUCAAAUAUAGAUGACUAAAACACAAUGAGUUAUAAAUGUUUUAUUGACUAAGAACGGGGAUAUUUUUCCCUCUUUGGAGAUUUCAAAUAGGUUGUAGAUUAUGAGCUUCUUUUAUGGAUUAUGGAUUUUAAAGUUGUGUAGGAAAUGUGUUCUUUCUUAUUUGGUUAGUAACAGAUAAAGUUGGUGUUUUCAUUGGAGGAGAAAAGUGAUAAGUCGUUGUUUUACUUCCAUAUUUUAUUAAUAAGAUUGCAGUGAAAACCAUGGAAUCAAGUGCAGUGGUUAGAACAAUCAUUGUUUGAUAUCCUCUAUUCUCCAUUCAACCUUAGUUGCAGAAAAAAGUGAAUGAGUUUGUUUUAAAAGUUGAAAUUUUCAUUUUGUCUAAUGAAUCUUUCAUUCGAAAAUGAAAGUUCAGUUUGAAUUAAAAUAGUCAGAAAUGAUAACAGUAAAGAGAGUACUUUCUCUAAAAGGAAUGAGAAGGUGCAUUCUGAUUCUGUUGGAGUAAAGAAGAGAGGUUGAUUUGUCUUUUAAGAUGGCUAGGGAGUUCCAAUAGAAUCUUGAAGGUGAACCGAUCAAAUAGUAGUGGAAGAUAUGAAGACCAAGGUGUCACAGUAAAGUGAAAGGUAUCAAUCUUUAUUGAAGAAGAAAAGGAUCGACAAGUACAAAUCCUAGAGUACAAUCAUAGACGAUUGUCUCUAACCUCCUAUCUCUCACUCUUGAGAAGAUAUCAAAGACUAACUCCCCCUUAACAAUGACUCAGAGUAUAUAUACUGCUCUUAACCGUGGUCCCCACUCUUUACCAUCUCUUUCCAAAUUACCCUUAUCCCUUCUCCUAUAUUGAUGCACAAUUGGUGGCCUAGCAUAAAGCUCUUCAAUUGGGCCAAAAACUUUGGCUGGUCCAUAACUCACACUAAAAUUUCUCCUAAAACUACUCGAAGUUAGGCUGAAAACAUCAGAAAACCAUCAAUGAGAGCCAUUGCUCAGUUGUAACUCCACUGACAUAACGAAAUCCCCCUGGGGAAAAAUCUGAUCUUUUGCCUGAGAAAGAUGCUUUUGGAUAUCUGUCUCUACAAUAGGAGUCUGAAAGGAUAAACUUAGAAGGGUUGUGUGAUGUAGUAUUCACUUGAUUGUUCUGAGGUGUAAUAUUGCUUACGUUUGAUUGAUCUGGUAUGCAGGGAGGUUGACACUGACCAGUCAUGCCUUGUACUUUGAGUCAUUGGGCGUUGGUUUGUAUGACAAGGCUGUUAGAUAUGAUCUGGCAGCCGAUACAAAGCAGAGAAUAAAACCUGAACUUACAGGACCGUUGGGUGCUCGUCUCUUCGAUAAAGCUGUUAUGUACAAGUCAACAUCUGUGUAUGUUAUCUCUUGAAUGAUAAUAAGUAUAUGUAUAUAUAUUUAUAAACUUUCAUCCCUGGAUUUUAUUAUUUGUUUUGCCUUCCUUUGAGGGUAUUUUUCUAUGAAUUUACUUUGUGGUGAAACUCUUUAAUGAUCCUUUACAGGAUAGAUCCUGUGUUUUUAGAGUUUCCUGAAUUCAAAGGCAGUUCUCGGCGGGAUUAUUGGCUAGAUAUCUGUCUUGAGGUCCUGCGAGCGCACAAGUUUAUCAGGAAACACAAUCUUAGUGAAAUUCAGAAAUCAGAAGUACUUGCAAGGGCAGUUUUUGGAAUUUUCAGAAUUCGUGCAAUUAGAGAAGCUUUUCAUGUUUUCUCAUCGCAUUACAGAACAUUACUCACUUUUAAUCUGGCAGAAAGUCUUCCUGGGGGAGAUUCAAUUUUGGAAACUCUCUUGGAUCGAUUGCUGUUAAUAAAUGGUAUGCAACGUGAUGCUUCUGGGAGCCCACCUGCCAAGCAACAACGACAAUCGUCUCCAAAUUUUCUUCUAGCACUAAGUCAACUUGGAUUCACCUUACAGAAAGAGAUAGGUUAUGAAGGUGAUGCAGUUUUAAUUGGAGAUGUUUGGGUGGGUGAGAGAAAUCCCUUGGAGAUUGUGGUGAGACAAUCCAUAUCAGAUUCAGGCAGGGCUGAAGCUGCACAAGCUACUGUUGACCAAGUGAAAGUGGAGGGUAUUGAUACAAAUCUUGCAGUAAUGAAGGUAAAAGAUUGAGUUUCUUGAGAAAGUACUCCUUUUAUGAGAUACUUGGAAGAUAUACAAGCAGCCUAGUCAAAACUUAGUACUAAUUAACUCACGGAUCUGUAUAUCUUCUUGACCAGUAACUGUUAUCAUGAAUGGCAUGCUUCACUGUCUUUUCUUCUAUCUUUUUACAACUUGAGGAAAUCUGAAAAAUUGAAUUCCCAUUUCUCUCUUAUCCAAAAAAACCCACAUUCUUGGUGAGUGAACCAAAUCGAUAAGUCUAAUACCGGAUAGAUAGUAAGUUUUUACUUGCUUGUUGUGGAUUUUUUGAGAGAGGAAGUCUUUUGGAGCUGAGCCUUUCUCUCUCUGUCCAGGAACUGUUGUUUCCGUUUCUGGAAUUGGCUAGACGUAUUCAGAUUUUGGCCUCAUGGGAAGACAAUUUCAAAUCUACAGUUUUUCUACUGCUGUUCUGCUUUGCUAUUAUAAGGUAAGUAGCUACUUAUUAUCUGGACUCUGGAGCUUGCAUGUUUGGAUCAAAAUUGAGCAUUUAUCCUGGUCCUUAUUAACUCACAAAAACUAUGUUCCAAAACAAAGUUUUUAAGUCGUAUAAAUAGUAUUUUAUGCUGAACUUACAGUUUUUACUUUUACCUAUUAUUUUAAGUCUGUGAGUUCAUAUUCUGUCAAAAAACUUUUACGUCGAUAUAAUUUCAGCACUUUCGAGCAUGAGUGAUAAUGGAAGUAUGAAUUAGUACGAUAAUAGUUUGUCGGGCACAUAAUUAUAAAUCUUUAUCAAUGCUGGUCUCUUAUCCACACAAAAGGGUAAUUGAAAAUUUCAAAUAACUUGGAUUUAAAACACCAAGAAGCAACAGCAAGCAAAACAAAAUCCCGAAGGUCGGAAGAGAAUCCUUGUUCGGAGUUCAAGAUUCUGCCAUUGUGGUAUUGAUUCUGAACCCCCUUUUCAUUUCAACUAUGAAAAGUUAUGUUCCAAUCCUGAAACUGCCUUUUUUUCCCUAACAUGUGACCUCCAGUGAAUUUAUGUGGGGAGAGGAUAUGCAGUUGAAAAAUGUCCUGGAGCUUCUUGUACCAAUGGCUGUCCAUAAAGUGACAAUAAAAAAAGGGAUAGUUUGCCGUUUGCAAACAUUUUUAGCUUUUGCAUAGAAUGCACCAAUUGGGGUUUAGUACAUUGUUGGGCUUCCUCUUCAGAGUAUUAUCAUUUUUGUUCAGGGCCCCCAAAUUCUUUUAAUAAGCAAAGCAAUGAAAAUUGCACUGUAUGUGAAGUUAACUUGUAAAGUGUAAUUAAUGGAAAUAUUACUUUUCUGAGAGUAGAUAAGAUGUUCAAAAUGGUUCAGCAACGUUACUUAUUUUAGUAUUUUGGCUAAAUGAUAAGCUUCUAUUGUAUGGCUAAUUAAUGUUUAUAAAAUUUAUUUCUUCGUUUAGCUAUGGCUGCGUUCUGGUUUAACUUAUGAUUAUACUCUAAACUACAUUCCAUUUGUCAAAAUUUUAAUGCCAAGUGAUAUUGGCUAGAGAUGACUUGAUUUUGUAUGGAAAUGCAGGAAUUGGAUAAGGUUUAUUUUGCCUUGCGUUCUAGUAUUCCUUGCGGUUGUUAUGCUCUUCCGCAGGAAGUUUGGCAAAAGCAAGCCAUUAGAACCUUUCAGGAUCACAUCACCCCCUAAUCGAAAUGCUGUGGAACAGCUGCUGACCUUGCAAGAAGUCAUCACUCAAGUUGAAGCAUUGAUUCAAGAUGGGAAUAUUUUUCUCCUAAAAAUAAGAGCUCUCUUAUUUGCAGUACUUCCACAGGUAUGUAUAUUAUAAAUAUUUUCUUGGGCACUCAUUAUCUGAUUAUGGUUGUUUCCUUCAUCUUCUUCUCCAGAAAGUACUUGAGAGGAGAUUGAAAACUUCUACAUAUUAAUCCCUUUCUUUUGGCUGUGCUUCUAAUUUGUUUGUUUGUCUCUUUCUCUAUUUGUUAUUUUUUUUCUGGCAAUGACUGGACUCGGGAGUCCUUUCUUGCGCUUAUCUUUUGUUGGCUUCUGUAUGUGGUGCCGAAUAUGUCAACCCCAGUUGUAGUGCUUUUUUUUUUUUAAAAAAAAAUUAUGAACUGACCCUUCGUUACAGAAUUGGCUUAUAAAAAACACAACUCAAAGAGGAACUAGAAAAAUUAUAAACUGGGAAGCUUCUUUUGGAAAGCUGGGGUGUAUGAUUUGAUGUGGGGUUUACAAGGAUAGAGAAAUAAUAGAAUUUUUAGAGGGAUUGAGAGAGAUUCUAUGGAUGUUUGGUCUCUAAUAUGUUUAAAUGGCCAUCUUUGAGGGUUAGCUACGAGUUCCUUUUGUAAUUAUUCGUUUGGUCGUAUUCUACUUGAUUGGAGACCCUUCCUUUAUGGCUAUAUCUUUAGUGUCAUUUAUUUAUUGAUAUUAUUAUUAUGUUUUUAAAUGUCCCUUUAGUCUUUUACUUUUUCUCCGUGAAAGUUGUAUUUUUUUCAAAAGAAGAAAAAAAGAUAACCAACAACUAAGGAUAACUACAAAGAGAGAUUAAACUGAGAUCGUGCCUCUUCCUAAUGGCUCUCCAACCCUCAGAAUCCUCUCAUAUUCCUCUCGAGACUUCACUCCAAGUUAAUAUAGGAACACAAAUUUUAUCAUAAAAAGUUGGAUGGAAUGUCAAUGAAAUUCUGGGUUAGGAAAAAAAGUAAAAAGAAACUCCACCUCGCAGGUCAAAGCAUCUACUCCUUCCUUUGAGCCCAGAUUCACAUUCCAACCCCACAUUCGUUGUGCUUGGAAAGAGUACUUCCAUCAUAAGACAUCAUUCGCUAUUUUUGAAGUGUUUUACUUUUUCUCUCCUUCCUGUAAGCUCAAGGAAUCUUAUGGCCUUAAGCAUUUUUGUAUUGUAAUGUACAUCGUUCCUUAUGAAUCCAUGACCCAUGUGCAGAAACUACAAUUAUAUUCCCACGUUCCUAUCCCUAAAAAAUGUUCAUCUUCGUUGCAGGCGACGGACAUGGUUGCUCUACUGCUUGUUUUUGCAGCAUUAGUAUUUGCAUUUCUGCCAUUUAAGUACAUAAUCAUGCUAGUAUUAGUCGAGGCGUAUACGAGAGAAAUGCCGUACAGGAAGGAAACAAGCAACAAAUGGAUUAGACGGGCAAGAGAAUGGUGGAUUAGAAUACCAGCUGCUCCUGUUCAGCUUGUCAAACCUGAUGAUAAGAAAAAGAAAUCAUAGAAUCAAGUCGAUUCCUAUCCUCCACCCUCUUUGCAUAUCUGUCCCCUCACCUUAAGGUACUCAUCUGUGUAUGUAUAUAUAAUAUAUAAUAUUAUACAAUAUGCUCUAAUGUCUCGAGAAAUCUACAUUUCCUUAAAGGUUACCGUUGCAAUUUAUAUAUUAUAUUUGUUUGGACACAUGCACAAUGCACAUACACGAAUGUGCUUUUUACUAAGUUCAACCAGGGAAAUGAUUUCAAUCUCUGAUCUUUUUGGUGAGGACGAGUUAAGCUCGUAUUACCAUUGAAAAAAACUUGGGUCUUGUGCUUUUCAUCCCCUAACUAGACAAAAAAUAAAAUUUAAUUUUUGUUGUGUGUGAUGAAGUUAUGAGAUCUAUCUCACCUAAUAAAUCAUUCUCUUUUACUACGAUUAUAUAAUAAUUAGAAGUUAGAAAUAAAUUUGUUGUUUCAUAUUUUUUAUUAUUGUAAAUCUUUUGUUGUACGUGUUUGUUUGUUUGUUUAAUUAGUUGGAGUGGUUGGAAUUGCUGUGGAAACAGCACACAUAUAUAAUUUUAAUAAAGAAAAAUGAUGACGUGAAAAAGCAUAUCUAAAAAGGUAUUUUAGUAAAUGACUCAAUUACAGUGUCGUUUUUUAAAUAUACCAAAAUGAAUUAGAGAGAAAACUAGUUUGCCUUGUGAAAAGUUGUUCAAAUAAUUAUUUCUAUCCAUUUUGAGUAAGAUCUAUAUCAAGAUUUAGUUACAAAAAUUGUUUGGAGUCUUUUAGCUACAUCUCGAUUUUCGUCAUACUGAUAUUUUGUGUAAUAUUUUAGAAUCUUAUGCCAAAUCUUUUCUUUCCAAACUUUCUUCAAAUUUUGUGAAUAUAAAUUUUCAAAUCUCUAGCAAAGUUUCUAUUUUCACAAAAUUACAUGAAAUUUCAAAUUUUCAAAUCGGAAAAUAUUUUCAAAUUUAGGAAAAGAUCAAAUUUUCCAAAAAAUUAAAUUAGAUUUGGUAUAUAUAUAGAAUUUCAGUCUUAAAUUUGUUCGAGAUUUUAUUGAAAAAAUUCAAACAUAUCAAAUUUUUAUGUUAAAUAGGUUUGAGAUUUCACACACAAAGUUCAAAUAUAUAAAAUCUUAGUGUUAUUUUGUUUGAGAUUAACACUGAGAUUUUCAUAGUUUUUUAAAUCAAGGAGAUUGCGGUGACCUGGAUGUUUGCACAUUAAUUUGAUCAAAUUUGGAUUCAUGAAAGUUCAAUUUGGGAUUUGAAAUUUAAAAACCUUUUAAAAGAGGAUAAAGUUUAAAAGAAAUUGUAAAAAAUUGAUUUAAGAUUUGAUAUGGAUAGUAAAAUUUUGAGAAGAUUUGGAACAAAUAUAUAAACUUUUGAAACAAUAUAUAAUCAUUUACCCAUAUUUCAAUGGAAAAAGCAGAUCAAUUGAUUAGCUCAAAAAAUUUAAAUCUCCUUGACGGUACCAAGAACAACUAUUUAGUUUUUUGAGAUAGAAUCUUAAAUGUGUUAUUUCUAAUAAUUUCUUGUAUUAUUUCUAUUCUUGCCUAUUUGUGAUAGAUAUAAGUAACAACAAACCGUUUAUUAUAUUUGUAAAUAUUUUUUUUCAUUUUAAACCAUUGUUUUUUUUUUUUUUCAAUUAGUAUUUUGAAAGGGCCUUUGAGCAUGGAUGUAUUUGAAAUGUUAUUUUCUUAAUAAAAAGUUUACAAUUUAAAAGAUGAUGCAAAAUUCAAAUUACCUAUUUAAUAAAGAUUUGUAAUCAUUUUGUUUUUGAAAUUAAAUAUUUUUUUAAUUUCUUAUAAUAAUUUUCAUCUGUUUAGAUUUUAAAAGUUAACUAUAUUUCUAAAUAUAUAUAUAUAUAUAUAUAUAUAUAAAUGGAAGUAGAAGGUAAGUGGUGUUUAUAUGUACAAAAUUACAUUUACAGUUUUCUUUCAUAAGAAAGACAAUCUCAGUUUAUCAUUGUCAAACUUAAAUAAAUAAACAAGAACUAAUUGAAUUGAAUUUUUAGCCAAAAUUUGCUAAAAGAAAUAUUUAGAAACAUAUAUAUAUAUAUAUAUAUAUAUAUAUAUAUAUAUAUAUAUAUAUAUAUAUAUAUAUAUAUAUAUAUAUAUAUAUAUUCAAAACUUAGAUUGAUAAAACAACAGUAUGUACAAACAUGAAAUCAAUAUAUAAAACUUGGUUUUAUUUUUCCCACUUCAAAUUGUGAAAAUAAAAAAUAAAAAAUAAAAACUUAUUAUAUAAAAGAUUAAUUUACAUAAAUGUUACAAAACUUAUAAAUAUUUACGGUUCGUAUAACAGAAAAAAAAAAAAAAAACUCAUGAAGCUCGAUUAUAUUUUCAUAAAUUUCAUAUAUGCUCUUGUGGGUUUUGAAUAUUGUGAGAUGAGUUGUGUACUUAUUCACCUGAUUUAUUUAUCUUGUUUGCGAUUUAUUGAUUUCCUCUUUCAUAUUUUCUUUCUAUGGCAUUUAGAGUAUAAGAUUCGAUCGUUUAAAUCUCCUAUUUCAUAGUCAUCAUAUCAUUGUUACUUUCUAAACGUUCGUGUACCAAAACUUAAAUGAUCGUGCAUAUUGUAUAAUGUGAUUGUUAGAUUUGAAAAUUUUUACAAUCAUUUACAUUGGACUACACGAUCGCUUAGGUCAACACGAUCGUUUACCAUGAUCAACAUGAUUGUUUAAAGUAUAUUAUUUCGUUACACGAUCAAUUUUCCUAACAUAAACGAUCAUGUAUGCGGGUUCAAUGAUCGUUUAGAUUAUAUUAUAUGAUCUUUUAUGUCUGAAGCUUUUUCACCAUCGUUUAGAGUUUAUUAUCUGAUCGUUUAAAUCUGAAGCAUUUUUUUCCAUUGUUUAAAAUAAACUACACGAUCGUGUAUCAUGAUCUAAAUCAUAGUCUAGACUAGUACACAAUCAUUUAGAAGAAAAGUACCCACAUGCAUGUAGCCGAUUAAUUGCGUGUUGAUUAGAACAUUUUGUGGUAUUUCAGAUUGUGAGCUUGUACACUUUUUUUCCAUUUUUUAAAAUUGUUCAAUACGAUGUAAAUAUUUUACCAAACUAUUUUAUCCAACCUAAACUUUUAAAUUGGUCUAAUUUAAUCGCUUUCUUAAAUUAGAAUAACUUUUACAAAGAAAGAUUAUAUUUUUAUAGACUAGGCUACCAAAUAAAUUAGCCACACUGCAAAAUAAUCUAAAGUUUAAAAUUUGAAUUAUAGAAUAAAUUAAUUUUGCAUAGGAUAACUCAAAAGUUACUUUUCUUUUUUUCAAGAAUUUGGUCAUUUACUAUUUUGGUCCCUUGGUUGUUCCCAUUCUACUUUCCUAACUUUGAAUGUUUUGGUUCUAUCAAGUUUUGGGUCUUUUAUUUGUUCUCUUUCUUUUUAGCUAACCAAUUGCAUAAUUGAUUGAGGCCAUGUGUUUGUUUACUUCUUCUAUUGUUUCAAUUAUUUGAUUUUACUCGAUUUUCAUUUAUUUGUCCCAACAUUCUAUUUUUUUUUGUUAUGGCAAUUUUGAAGUUUAGAAACUAAAAUAGAAUUAAAUUCAAUCUAGAUGAUGAAGUUAUGACUUAAACUCGAUAAUUAUAUAGAUCUAACAAAACCAAAAAUUAUUUAUGGUUUGUCUAACAAAAAAUAAAAGAAUAAAAGCUCGUGAAUCGACCAUUUUACUUUCAUAAAUUAUAGAUUCGUCCUUGAAUAUUGUUAGAGAAUUCUUCACUUUUUUUUUCUUUCUCCUUUGCAAUUUAUUAUCGUUUUUUUUGCUAUUUCUUCAUCUCCUCUUCUAUUUUUUUUUUUCUAUUUUAAAACAAUUUAGUAUUCUCUUUAAAUCUCUUAUUUCAAAACAUCAAUUUCAAAGGAUUCUUUGAAGCUAUUUCACAACUGUUUCAAUAUUCAUUCUUUAUCUUUCUCAUAUUUAAGAAUAUCAAGAUUGUUUAAAUAUCAUUUUGACAUCAUCUAAACAAUUGUUUACCAUGGUUUACAUGAUAUUAAAGUUCUUUUCUCAUCGUUUUAAAAAAACUACAUAAAUCGUGUUGGUAUGAUCUAAACGAUUGCUUACCAUAGUUGAAUACAAUCGUUUAGCAUAGUCAACACCAUCGUUAGAUUUGAAGUUUUUAACCAUCAUUUACAUUGGAUUACAAGCUCACUUACCAUAAUUAACAUGAUCAUCAUUUGACAUGACCAAUAGGAUAGUUUAAAUUUGAAGCAUUUAUUCAUUCGUUAAAAAAGAACUACACGAUCAUGUAUCACAAUGGUAGUACACAAUCGUUUAGAAGAAGGUUACUCGUGUGCAUGUGACCGAUUAAUCACAUGCUAAUUAGUGUAAUUUUCGUGUUUUGACUGUGAGCAUUUCUGUUUUUAGAAUGGUUAAUAUUUGGAAUAAUUACAAAUUUAGCACUUAGAUUCAAAAUAAUUAAGUAUAUAAUGACAUUUUAAAUUUUUUGCAAAUAAAGUAAAAUUUGUCGAAUUAUAUGGAAGUCGAUCACCAAUAAAGGAGGUUGUAUUUGUUGUUAAAUGUUGGUAUAUCUUUAUUUAUUAUUCGUAAAAGGGGCGUAAAUUAGAAUGAGUGUUAAUAUUUUUUUGAAAAAAGUGAUUAAAUUUAAAUAAUAAUGAAUAAUUGAUUUAUGAGGUGUGGAUGAAAUAAACGGAGUUGGAGCUUCGUGCGUUUUUUGUUCUAUAUAAAGAAUUAUGAGAAGGAGGUGUAAGGACAUAUCCAAAAUCAUUACGUUUCUUUCUACCUCUUCUUCCGGCGGCCGUCUCCCAUUCAUUUCCACUGGCAAUUUCUCUUUCACUCUCCACGCCACCAUGCCCUCGUCUUCCUCCCAUGCAUCCUCGCCGGAGACUCACCGUCUUGAACCUCUCUUAGGCUCUAUUCGUCCUUUCCUCCGUGGCGAGCUUGAAAAGGUAAACCCGAUUCUUCCAUCUCUUAUCUCCGUCCUCCGCUCCGUCGGCGCCGGCGAAUGCUGGCACAAGCACGGCACCUUCCUCGAUCACCUCGUUGAUAUCUACCGUAUUCUCAAAAUCUGGAAAGCGCAAGAACCGGUUUGUUUGUGCGGUCUAUUUCACUCCGCUUAUUCCAAUUCCUAUGUCAAUCUCGCCAUUUUUGAUCCUUCCACCGGUCGUGAUGUUGUCCGUGGUCAUGUCGGUGAGGCGGCGGAGAGAUUGAUUCAUUUGUUCUGUAUCGUCCCUCGGCAAUCGCUGAUUCAUGACGAUCUUCUUUUCCAUUACUCCGAUUCAGAACUCGUAGAUCACCUCAAAUUUUCCAACACAUCGCUCAAGAACGCCCUGGAAAACGGACAUUUCAACGAGGAUGAAACCUGGAGGAAGAAGCUACAGUCGAUUCUUCCUGCCAAUGGCGUAACCGUAAAACACAUCAAAACCGGAGAAGACGUGACGGUUUCAAGGCGAGUAGUUGCGAUUUUCCUCAUGAUGACAAUAGCCGAUUUCAGCGAUCAACUCUUCGGAUUUCAAGAUUCAUUGUUUGAAAACACCAAUGGCCGUCUCGAAUUCCCAGGUAACAAUUACAAAUCUCUUUGGCCUGGAAACGGAAAGCCUGGACUAUGGAUGAACUCCGCAUCAAGAAUGGGAGCAAUAUACACCCUAAUCGCAAGAGAGGAAUCCAUUCUAAUCGCACAAAGAAAAAGAAACAACGAAUUAGGGGUGAAAACAGAGAGAGACGAGGAUUUAGAGCUUGUAAUUCCUCCAAUUUUCGAGAACUGUACAAGAGUUCUUGAUGCAGAUGAUCAAAUUACAGCAAGAGAUUUGUACUGGGAAGGUGUUUGUGAAAAGUCGGAUAGAAGUGAGGAGUUGUUAUUGAAAUGUGUGAUGAAGAAUCCGUUUAUUGGGGAGGCGCAUGUGGCAUUGGGGCAGUUAUAUCUGGGUGAAGGGCGGUUUGAGGAGGCUGAAAAGGAGGCUGAGGAAGGGGUGAGGUUGAUGCUGACAUGGGGAAGUGCUUGGGACAAGAGGAUGCCAUGGGAGGGAUGGAUUGCUUGGGGGAGAGUUCUGUUGAUGAAGGCUAAAGAGAAGACAUGGCCCAACACAUCAUGGGGAAUCCUCAACUUGGGGCUAGUAAAGUAAGUCAAGUUCUCCUCUCUGUAUUUGUGCAGUGUCCAUUUGUUUGCAUUUCAUGUAACUUAGGUGUGUCAAUCAAUCCCUAAGCUUAGUUUCAACUGAUUAAAUCAUAUGUGGGAUUGAUUAGAAAGUGUUGGAGAAUUUUGUUACUCCAAGUGUAAUUGUAAAGAAGUUUUUGUGAACGUUCUAAACUUAUUUAAAGUAGGCUGUCUUGCUUCUGUCCCACCAAAACCAAAAUUGAAAUGAUAUCAAAGUUUUUUUUACAAGAAAUUAUGUAUAAUCCUUAAAUAAUAUAGGUAUCUUCUUAUAAAGAAAUUAUGUAGUUAAGUAUCCCAUUGUUUUAUUCAUAGUAGAGACACUAAGAUGUUUAGUUGCAGCUGUAAUUCUAGUGUCCGGGUGGAAUUGGAAAGUUAAAAAGAAAAAUUACACCAUAUACCACAAAAUUAGAGAAAAUAAAUAUGACCUAUAGCCUUAGGGAACAAUAUUCGCAUAAAUAGCAUUUUAAAAAAUAUACCAUAUCACUAUAUGGUACAUUUUUUUAAAAUGCCAAUUUUGUCUUUUAGUAUCUUUACUCUUAUACCAUUACUGAUGAACUUCUAUCAAUGACAUCAUGACUAAUAUGUCAAUGUGUUUUUCAUGACAUAGAAGAAUAUCAUUGAUAGUAGCUGUAAAAAAAAUCAAUUGAUAGCCUAGUUGGACUUUAUCAAUUCAAAAUUGAUAUGUUUACCAAGGGGAUAUCACUUAUAAAAAAUAUCUUCUAAUAAUAUCACUUAUAGUUGCUAUUAGUAAUAUUCUUCUAAUGCAAUCAUUGCUAGAUAAUGUUAGUGAUAUCAUUUUACGUUGAUAACAAUAUAGAAAAAUUACUUAUAGUAGUUAUUAGGAAUCUCAAUAGAUAGUAGAAUAUAUGAGAGAUGGCAACUAAUCUCACAUUUCUUAAAUGAAAAGCUAUUAUUGAUAGUAGUUAUCAUCAGUAACAACUAAGUAUGACAACUAAUACCAUAUUUUUCAAAUUAAAAGUUAUCCUACGCUUCAGUGGCCAUCAUUGAUAAAAGUUAUGAUGAUACUGUUAUCAAUUAUAUCAAUUAAUAACAUAUUUAUCAAAUUUAAAACUAUUAGUGAUAACAUCAAUGAUACUGUUAUCAAUUAUAUCAAUUGAUAACAUAUUUAUCAAAUUAAAAACUAUUAGUGAUAACAUCUAUUAGUGAUAGAAAUGUCUAACAACUAUCAAUUGCUAUCAACGACAGCUUUCAAUUUAAGAAAAACUAAAAAAAUAUUCGUAAUGAUGACAAAUUAUCAAUGAUAAUAGCUAUCGGUGAUAACAACCAAUCGUGAAAUAAUCGAGAAGAAGUGUGAAAUAAUCUUUUCUCAAAUCGAAAGCUAUCAAUAAUAACAUAUAUCACUGAUAGUGAUUAUUAGUGAUAGAUGUUAUUAGUGAUACCGACCAAGUCGUAAUUUGCCAUACUAGAAAGGUAUAAUUCAUAUUCAUCAAAAUCUACGUUUAUAAUUAUAACCAAAAUAUUCAAAUUCGUAACAUACAAAAAAAAAAAAAAAAAAGCAUUGUAUUCAUUCAAGGUUUGAAAUAAUCAUGAAUGCUUAUAAGUUCCAACAAAGUCUUUAACUAUUCGAACAAGUAAAUUCUUAAUUCAAAUAAAAUGACUUCAUAUAUAUAAUCCUAAAACUUUGAUAGCCUAAAAAAAAAUGUCCAAAUUGUAGCAAUACCAAAAUAAUCCCACAUAUACGUGUUGUUCCAAUGUUUUCUCCACACAUCAAUCACCUAACAAAAAAAUAAAAAGUUAUAUUAUUAUCUAACUCUAACAACAAAUUAGUGAAAGAACUAAAUAAAUACCUAAUUUUCAAAGUAAAUAAAAUUUCUUAUAUAGUUUGACUUUAUUCAUUGACCAUGCUAUUGUAGUACCCACAACAUCGUCAACAACAAUAAUGUCAAAAAUAGGCUUCCAUAAGAAGGAAUUUGGUAUUUUCACUGUAUCAACCUACACACGAACUGCGUUGGAGCCAAGAGGUACAUGGUGGACAAGAAUUAAUGGAUCAUUGGAGGAUCAUCUACCUUCGGCAAUGACUUCUUCUGAAUCAAUCCAAUCUAGUAGCAAACACUUAUGGGGAGUGUUGGUAGUAACACUCUUUUUCAACAAUAAUAUGGUUAGAAAAAUCUCAAACAGUAAUAAUUUAAAACAAUAAAGGAACAAAAAAGUUACAAAUGAAUUUAUUGGUGAAGAACUUAAGAUUGGAGUAGGAGUAAAAGUAGGAAUAUCGGUCGAUGAUGGUACUCUAACAGGAUUAUUCGAAUUUUGUUCAAUUGUUUUUUCCUAUAUAAACAACAAUGUCAAAAUGUGCUAUAAAACAUAGUUUAAGAACCUUUAAGAGUGUUAUGACAAAUUUACCUUGUCCUUUAGUAAGGAAGCUACCACACCUUUAAGCUCAUCAACAUUUGACAUUAAGUUGUUACAUUUUCUUUCAAGAGAUGCAAUGAUUUUAUCUUUUCGAAUUGAUGUAGCCACCUUUGAUCGAGUCACACCAAAUACUAACCCUCUUGAAACAAGUAAGUUUAAACAAGCAAGUAAUUUAGAAUUAGAGAAAGUCAUAACAUUUAAAAACUAUUUCAACUAAAUUUCACUACUCAAAAGGCAACAACUUAAAAAGAGAUUGAAACAAGCGGCGUCUAAGAAUAGUUCAUCAAACAAGCCAUUUAGUUCAAGAAAUCAAUACUCAGUUGGAAAUAAUCCAACUACAAAUAAAUACUCAACAGUGGGGGAAGGGGAAGGGGAAGGGGAAGGGGGAGAAGGCAUUAGAGAAAGUCACAACAUUUAAAAACUACUUCAACCAAAUCUCACUACUCAAAAGAAAAAACCAAACAAGAGAUCAAAACAAGUGGCGUAAAGCAUAGUUCAUCAAACAAGUUAUCUAGUUAAAGAAAUGAAUACUCAAAUAGCAAUUAUCCAACUACAAAUUAAUACUCAACAGUAAACAACGCAUGGAACAUAAGAAAGAUCAUUGGAGGGGGAGCAUAGUUCAUCAAACAAGCCCAGUUAGUUGAAGAAAUCAAUAUUCUUUGGCAACAACUCUACAAAAUAAAAACAUAAAUAAAAAAUAUAAAAGAUAAAACAACCAGAGUCUUUCUUCACAUGUGCCUCUGUCCAAACAUCUAGUCGGGUAAUCAGAGUUGAAGAAGAAAAGUUUUUCUGCAUUGAAACACAAUAGUUAGUUAUAUAUUAGCUAUAUGUGCUAAAUAUAAUAAUUUUAUUAACUACAUAAAAUUAUACCAAAUUUUUAGCUAGUCGAGCAUAGCCUCUAUGACUACAUGUGUGAUGAAGGUGUUAUUUUUUUCUUCAUAUCUUUAAACUUCUUGCUUUUCUUUUUUUUUUCCUAAACUUCAUACUCAACGAGAUAUCGAUAAAGGUUAAGUCUAAACUUGUUUCCAUACCUUGAACCAAAUAAAUAAAUGCCAUCAAGUUUCAUACCACAAACAUACCUUGAAUGUUGCAACGGUUUUAUGCUUGACAAAGUCAUUCCAAUCAUGCAUUGAAGAAAUGUUAUCUUGCUUGAGUUUAUUCAAUUAUCGUCAUUUGAAGCUUCCCCAAUCUUACUCACUAAGUGGGAUUUGCUUGCUCUCCACAAUCCACCCAUCUUUUAGAAUAAAUAUUUCUUUUCCAUUCAUCAACAUUAUAUCAUGCAUAAAGAAUAAAAUCAUUUAGGUAGUGAUCAUAUAUGAAAGCUCAAAUUGUACUCAUUAUACAAAUAUAUAAUUAUAAAUUACAUACUUGAAUAGAAUGCCACAAUAACUAUUUUUGUCGGGUUGAAAGUUUCUUUCAAGUUUCAACAUUCAAUGGCACUACUUCUUUGACCAGUGAACCCAAAAAUAAAAAAUAGGGUUAUUAAUAUUUAGAAGAAAAUAAUUUUCUUCAAUAAAUUAACCAAGAAAAAAAGUCAAUGCUUUUGCUCUUUGCAAAAGGAAAAUAGUUUCUCUCUAAACAUUUUUUCCAUAUCAAUUGGUUCCCACAAACCAAUCUCAUCUCAAAGGAUGAGAAGGUCUUCGACGGGUGGUAUCCAAUUUGGAGAUUUACUUUGUAGAUUUAGAGACAUAAACAAGUAAGUUUUUAUUUCUCUAAUCUAUAAUUAGAAAACAUGCUCAGCCUUUGAGUCUUAGUAAGAAGACUAGUUUCUUAAUUAUUUUUGUCAAUGUACUGGUAUUUUGGGAUUUCCAAAUUAAAUUGAGAAAUAGUUCUGUAAAAUCUUUCGCUGCCAUGAGCUUUUAUCCCUUCACUCUCUCAACCAAAUAGGAAAGUGUUCCGAGUGAACCUUCAUUAGGAGAUUGUCAUCAUUUGCAAGUCUUUUAUUUGAUAGGAUCGAUUUGUUUCUAUGCAUUCUAAAAUAUUUGAUCUAUCACUAAUUAAAAUUCUAAUAUAAUCUUCAAAAGAUGAUAAACAAUGCACAAAUUAUGCAUCACUCACUCUAUGUAUGGUUCAACUACUUGUGUGUUAAACAAGACAUAUUGACGUGCAAGGUUGAGUACUUUAUCAGAUAAUGUAAUUUCCUUUCCAAUAGAUAUAAGACAACCUUCGAGAAUGAUAUCAUUAUUAAAUUCUUCGUUCCUACGUUGUUUAUCAUCAAGUCUUGUUGAACCUUGAACACAAUUCUUAUAAAAAUAGGAUGCAUUCUUUAGCUAAAUAACGCUAUGCAAUGCACCCUUUUGGACGUGACUGAUUCCUAACAAACCCUUUUAGAGUCUUUAUGUACCUAAGGUUAAUAUCAUAACUAUUAUAAGUUAGCUAAGAUAUUUAGUUGUAUGCUACCCAUAAUGUAUGAUAUGAAAAUCAUAUACAUUUCGAAUGGAUACAUCCAACGAAAUUGAACGAGUCCACACAAACGAACUUCACGACCCAUGUGAAAAAUGACCAAAUGAGUCAUGAUGCCAAAGAAUGAAGGAGGAAAAACCUCUAAAAAAGGCACAGUGUUUCAAUUACCUCUUCAAUAUUGAACAUACUUUCUCGAUCAAUUACACGUGGAAAGAAUCCACAUAUUCGUGUUAUUGAAUGUCUUGGGCCCUUUGGAAGCAUUCCCCUAAUGACAACUGGUAGCAGUUGUUGCAUUAACACAUGAUAGUCAUGAGAUUUUAAUCCCAUUACAUUGCUUUUCCAUUGAAACACAGCUCGAAAUGUUUGAACUAUAACCAUGAGGUACUUUCAACUCGUACAACCUCUUGUAAAACAAUUGUUUAUCUAAUUUAGACAAAGUGUGCAAAGUUGGAGGAAGGUAUACUCGACUCCCGCGUCCUUUUGGGUGUAAGUCGUGUCGUAUAUUCAUGUCUUGCAAAUCGUUACGAGCAUUGUAUCCAUCUUUUGAUUUUCCAUGAAUAUAUAGCAAUGUACCUAUUAUGCUCUCACAUACAUUUUUCUCAACAUGCAUGACAUCUAAGCUAAGUUGUGGUGUAAUACAAGUUCCUACAUUAGCGUAAAAGCAUAUCAGUGCAUUACCUAAUGUAAAUCGGAAGACUAGCCAAUUAAACGACAUUAGUAACAAAAUGUACGUACCUUUCAAUAUGGUAAGUCAAACAAGAUUGAUAAUUUUUUCACAUUUAUUUCAACUCUUUUUGUCUUUUUCAUUUUUUCUUAUCAACUUUUCCAAAUAAAUUUUGAGAAUCUUUAAGUUGGGUAUCAAUUGCAUUCCCAUUUGCAAUCCUAGGAGCUUGUCGGUCUUCAACUUUGCCAUCAAACCAUGACUUCUUUCUUCUACACGAAUGAGAUGAAGGCAAAAAAUGUCUAUGACCCAUAUACACUAAUUUCUUACUAUGGUACAACCACUGAGAAUGUGUGGGCUUCCCACAAAUUGAACAUGCCACCAUGCCCUUUGUUGUACACCCAACAAGAUUCCAUAAACAGGAAAGUCAUUGAUCGUCCACAUAAGCACAACUCUCAAAUUGAAGUUUGAUUUGCUAACUACAUUGUAAACUUCCACAUCGUCCCAUAACAAUUUCAAGUCAUCAAUUAAUGGUUGCAAAAAAAUGUCAAUGUCAUUGCCAAAAUGUUUAGGACUAGGAAUCAUUAAAGUUAGCAUCAUAUUUUCUUUUGACAUGCAUAACCAAGGAGGUAGAGACUGACCAACAACUAUACCUACUAAAGGUUAGAGAAUGGGUUGAAACCAUUGGUUGCAAGACCGAUUCUCAAGUUUAUGGAUCAUUCAAAAAGUCUGGCCACUUUGCAUCAAUUGAGUCCCAUGAAAUACAAUCGACCGGAUGACACAUCUUCUCAUCAGAACUUUUAUGGCUCAUAUGCCAUGUUAGAAAUUCAGCUACAUCCUACGUUUGGAACAUUCAUUUCAGUGAUGUAACCAAUGGAAAAUAUCUUAACAUUUUUGUUGAAACACCUUGUUUCAUUCUUUUUGUGCGCUUAUCCACCUUCCAUCGAGAAUGUCCACAAAUUGGACGCGUCUCUAAAUCUUUAUUAUCUUUCAUAAACAAGCAACAAUCAUUUUCACAAGCACGAAUCUUUUCAUAUCCUAAAUCAAAUACUUUUAAGAACUUCUUUACUUCAUAAGUAGAUUUUAGGAUAUGCAAUAACUUUAAAAGGCAUGUGAAACUUUUAUCGGUCCAAGCAUUAGUAGUAUUUAUCUUAUAUAAAGAUACCACAACUGACAUUCUUGUAUAUUUUGUACAACGAGGGUACAAAGAAGUAUUUUCAUCUACAACCUUUUGAUUAACAUCACUAUUUACUAAUGGUUCAUCAGCUUUUACGUCGCUCGUGAAAGAAGUACUACAAAAGGUUUGGCCAUCAAAUAUACACUCUACCGGUACUUCUUCACCAUGAUGGUACCAAAACCUAUAAGUAGGAUCCAUACCUUUCAUAAUCAAAUGUUCAUAUACAACAUCAAAGGUUUGAUUAUUCAUGUUCCUACAUGUCUUGCAUGAAUAUGAAAUUUUGUCUACUCCACCCGACAUGUUCUCUAUGCGUUUCACAAAGUUCCACGCUCCACUCAGAUAUUCGUUAGUUUCUCUAUUAAAAAGAUCAAAGUUUGCAAUUAAAAUAACUAACUAUAUUAAUCUAUUUUAGUUUCAUAAAAAUUUGACAUUCCCUUACCUGUUCAAAUGAACCCAAUCUUUUUGAAACAUUAUAUCUUCAAAUUAUUGCUACAAGAAUGUGAAAUGUAAUUGAGAACCAACUCUACCCAAAUUGAAGUCCAUAAUACUAGUAUACGGAGGUAACAACAACAAAGUACAAUUAUGAGAAGUAUAUUUCAGUGUUAGUCAUAAUAAAUCCAGACCAUCACACAUUUUAUGAAUACUAGGAGAAAAAAUGACAAUUAUAACAUAUUAUAAGAACUUAACAUAAUUCAAGCAAUGUGAGGAAAAAAAAAAAAAGAAACCAAGUACAAUUCAAGCCUGAACAAGGAAAAUUGAAAGGCGAUAAAAGAGAAAAGAGUGUUAAGGAUUUGACUAAGUAUUUACUUUGUAUGCAAGCGUGAGCUAUAAGAGUUUAUGCAUGGUAAGGAUGUGGCAAAAGAACAUCUACCCUUUAAACUCCACUCUUUUUGCUAGUUAACCUAAGAGAUUAGGUUUGAAAGGUUUUUAAAAAAACUGAAUAAAUCAUAUCUUAAGAAUGGGCCAAGAACAAGAGCAUUGAAGCUCAAACUGUUGGAAGAAAUUGGAAGUUAAAAGUAAAGGAUGUAAAAAUCCAUUAGAAAACUAAAAUUCUACAUCUUUAGUUUAAACUAAAUAAAAAUUCAAUACACUGUAUAUAAAAAAAAAUAUAGCAGAAAGGGAAACCUAUACAAAACCUAUACAAGAUGUACUCGUUAUAUCAAAGAGAGUUAUACUGUCUUUUUCUUUUGCUUUCUUUUCUCUUUUUUUUUUUUUUUUUUUGUUCUUUUCUAUUAAAUAAUUUAAAAUUCUGAUUGGUUAUAAAUUUUCAAAUGAUACAAGGCUACCAUUAAUGCCCCUUAUAAUAAGAUUCACAAAGAAAAUUAGAAACCAAUCAAACAUAAUUUUCAAUGACUCAAUUCCAUGCAUAAAAUGUUCAAACAAAAAAUAUAAGCAAUGAAGUACUGCAAGGAAUAAGAGUGUAAGACCCGUUUUUAAUUUGAGUAUAAGAAGUAAAAUUCGGCUAAGUAUUAAAGAAGUUGGCAUUUGAACAAAUCCGCUGAAAUGAUUAAGCGAUAAAAUCUUUUAUGGUUAAGUAUAAGUUUUGCGAUUGAGAAGUUAAUUAGUGGGGAUGUUUUGAGAAAAGAAGAGUUUGCAGUAGAAUUUAUAAGUCUAAAUGCCCUCAAAAGAAAAUCUUCGCGUAAGUUAAGAUGUGAAGUUUUGACUAAAACGACUAGGCAUUUGGAUAGUAUUUGCGAUAAGAACCGAGGGUUUCGCGAUGAAGCCUUGAAGUUUAAGUUCGCGAUAAGUGUUCUAAGCGAGUAAAAGUUGGUUAGUUCGGGAGGAAGAUUUUUUGUAGUAAAAGUAUAACUUCGUGAUAAGGUUAUUCGAGAGAAGUGUUAAGUGGUUAAAGUUAUUUGCGGUAUGGGGUUAGCCUAGAAGUAAGGUCUGACGAAGAAAAUGUCAAAUCUGAUUUGACAGAGAUUAACGUGUAAGAAUAAGGAGUUAAGCAUGACUGAGUUGAAUAUUAGAUUUACACGUGUAACGUUUUAAGCAGAAGCUGGAAAACUGAUAAGAGUUUAAGCAUGAUUAAGAUAGUUUAAGGAUCUAUAAAUAUAGGACUUGGACAUUAAGUAAGCACAAAAGAUUUCAUUUAAAAAAAAGAGCUAAAAUGUUGUUGUUUUGCUUUGACGAGAAGAAGAAAAAUAAAGUGUUAAGUACGACGAUUUGUUCCGCGAGAAGGCUCCACGAGAAGAGAAGGAAGAGGAGGAUUUUUGGUAAAAUGUGGUGAGUGGUUUUCUUUUUAAAAGUUUUGUGGUUCUGCUUUAUUAUUUUGAAAAAAGAAUUCAAAUGAAAAGUGUUUCAAAAGAGAUUUCUAUGUAAAGUCUAUAUGUUUUCAAUCAUGAUUUAUAAUGUUAAAGCUUUAUUUGAUGAUUAUGAUUUUCAAACCCUUAGUUGUUUCUUUGAGAUGAUGCUAACUUUUAUGUGCACAUAUAGAGUCAAGGCCACCAUGGGGUGUACAGGCUACAUGAUGAUAAGUAGCUGACUUAUGCGUUGAAAGAAGCGAAUAAAGCUUAGCGGCCUAAGCAUUAAGGACGAAUCUGUAUGUUCUCGGAUGUUGUUAAUAUAGUAGUCUAAACGUGAGGUAAUGAGACCAAAUGUAGAGGACGAUUCGGGGUCCUUGGUGAAAAGAAUAAUUAACUAAUAGACCUGGUGGGUGGUUAAUUAGUGGAAUAAGACUUGUGUUUGUUUGAGAUGAUUUAUGUUAUGCGAAAAAGACAAGUGAUGCAAAUUGAUGUUUAAGCGAAAUGUAUAUUGAUAUGAUUUGCAAAUGAUUUAAUUCUAAUGUGAAAAUGAUUACAUGCGUUUUGACAUGUUUUGCUAAAUAAAGUGUUUAAUCGAUAAACUGAUUUGUGUUGGUAUUUAUGAUUUGACAAAAAUGAUUUAUCAAAGGGCAUUGCAAAAAUGAUUUCAUAAAACCUCACUAAGUCAUUUAAACUUAUGUUUUAAAAAUCUCAUCUUUCAAAAUCAAACGUUUAGGCCAAGUAGAGAAAAAGGUUGAAUAACUUGCGGCGAGAUGACUCCAGACGUUUUGAAAAUAGUUAAACAUUAUUUUUUGGCCAAAGUGUUUAUGUAUCAAACGCCUAUUAUUAAUAAAGUAUAAGUUUUGGUUUGUAUUUAUUAUACUUGGCAUUUAGGUUGACCAUUGUUGCGUUUUGAGUUUUGUUGAUAGUUUAAAAGGAGUUGAGAAUAAGAUUUUGUGAUAAGAAAAUUUAAAUUUCAAAGUUGUAACAAACUCGCAUCCUAUUCCUACUAAUUCAGUGUUAGCGUCGCAGUACGGUUUGGGGUGUGACAAAGAGGGAGGGGGUGUUUAGAAACAAAGUUUGGAGCCUAAGAUUUUAUAUAUAUUUUAUUAACACAGGAGCUUUUCGUGUCCCAUAUUUUUUAAGUCCCCUCAAUCAUAUCCAAUUCAGAACCACUCUAAAUGUGAAGCGCCUUUGAUUUAAAUCUCAAAACAUAGCAUAAAGCAUAAACUACUACAUCACAUAUACUUCUAUAUAGAUUGGUAUGUAUAUAAACAAUCAAUACAAUAAUUGAAGACCUACUUAUGCUUCUUCCCAAAUGAAAAUGCAUAUAUACAUAACGUACCACCAAUUCAUAAUAUUAUAACAAACAUAAGGAAGUAACGUAAAAGUCCAUCAUAACUAGUGUAACGACCCAACUAUUUAUACUAAGGUGAAGUCAUUAUCACUAACAUAAAUAAAGACUUUUUAUUUAAAAUAAAAGAAAAUACCAAAUUUUUUAGGAAACUCUUCAAAUAUGCAUUUAUAAAAUAUAAGGAAAGUAUGUAAAAAAAAUAUAAUAACAAAUAAAAUACUAGUUCGAGUCUCGUUUGAAAUAGAUAGAAAAUAUCUAAAGUACUCAUGAUUUUUGAAAUAAAUUUCUGUAAAUCAAUACUGAAAACAUAAAUACGGAAGAAAACAUAAAUGGUUCCCUAUGGCGAACUACGAUCACUUCUUGGCAUUUGCCAACUUGCCUCUACCUCUACUUUUGCCUGAAAAAUUAAACAUAGAAAAGCGUUUGUAUAAAUUUAUACUUAGUAAGGGACUCACUAUUAGUCUCUGUUAACUUUCUCGUUAGAGUCCUGUAAGUAUUGUUUAUGUAUCAAAGUAUCACAUAACUAUUGUGCUCCCAAACGCACGCUAUUCAGUGAUCUUGUAGAGAUACAUCUGGGCUCUCAGUGAACUCGAAGGAAACACCCUAAAAGAGAGUCGAACAGUAAAUAUGAAAUAAAACAUCUGAAGAAAAAAAAUAGUUGGAGCAAUGUCUUAAAUGCCCAUAUCUAAGUUAAAAACUUGAAUCCUAAAUAUAAUUGUUCAAUAAACCUCAAAUAUCCUAUAAUUAAAUAAAACAUCCCACACACAAUUAAAAUCUAUGAAAAAUCUAAUUUUCCCAAAAAAACUAAAAAAUAACACAUAUCACCAUCGAAGCUCCACCUAAGCUCUGCAACUGUUUCACAUCUCCUUCAAAUCGUGCAAGCAUUGAAACCUUUCCAUUAAUUUCACGUUUUGAAACCCUAUAAAAUUUUGAAAGGUCUUCUGAUUGCAUCUUUAAUAUCUUUUGUUACCUAUCUUCCACGUUUGUUUCAUCGAAAAGAGUUCUUGCAUAAUGACUUCAAAAUCAGCUUCAAAACCUUCAAGUUCUUCAUACAUGCCCUAACUUCGUCCCUUAACUUCGUUCGCUUCAAAAUAUUCCAUCAUUUGCAGAAAAGGAUGCGUCCCAUUCAAAACCUUUGUCAUUUUUCAUACAUUCUACUCAAAUCUGUGAAUUUUUCAAGUUUUUCGUACAUUCGAGAUUCAUUUGAGCUCUUAAUCGACCAAAAUGUGAGCUUCUUCAAUGGAUUUUCGUCUGUGCACUUCUUCUUUUGUUCCUUUUAACUAUGAUUCUUAAGGAUUUUUUUUUUAAACACUAUUAUAAUUCUUCAUUUUGGCAUGUACAAUAAUUAUAACUUGAAAUCGUUUAAUUUUUGAAAAGUUGCCAUUGUUGUGAUCUUUGCUACUUUGGAAGGUUCGAAAGAGAAAUGUAAUUUGUAUAAUAAUUUUUUCUUCAUUAGGUGUAGAGAAACGUAAAUAUGUAUUAUGUAUUAUUUAAUAAAUUUUUUAUAAAUAUUUUGGAAUAUAAGUUUUUAAUUUUUAAAUUAUAACAAUUUGAAUUUUAAAUUUUAAAUACAAAUUAUUAUCGAGAAUUUAUUUUUGCCAUUCUUUUAGAGAUAUGAUCUAAGAUUUGAAUUCAAAUUGAUUUAAAUCCUAAAAAUCCAAAAUCUGGUAAAAAUUAAACAUAUGUAUUAUGAUUUAUAAAAAUAAACAUAUCUAUUAUGAAUUAUAGAAAUAAAUUGUUAACUAAUUGAUUUAAAUCCAAAGAAUCCAAAAAACUAAUAGAAAUUACAACCAUAUUUUUAGGGAAUGUUGGUCAAUUUUCUCGAGCAAUAAAAUAUCAUAUUUAGUUAAGAUUUACCAAAGCUUAGUGUUAUUUACAAAUAUAGUGUAUUUAUCUCUAUGACUGCAAAUACACUGUUUCUAUAAGAAGUGAAUUUUCGUAUAUAAAAGAGUAUAAUCAGGUACAAAAGAGUAAAAAAAGAUCGCAUCCGACAAUUUUUCUAUAAAUCUUAAUCUUGUCGAGAUUUACUAUUUUUCAGUUUGUUAUUUACUAUUUUGCUAUUUACAUGGUUAUAUCAUAUGGGACAACAGUAAGUGAAGAAUCUAGUUCAUGACGAAAGAGACAAGUGAACAAAAUGAAUGAUCAAUAAAUAAUAAAAAGAGAAAAAAAGAGUAAGAAAAAGGGAAAGGUAUAUAACAUUCGAUAAUUGUAUAACAUUUUUAUAGAUUUUCGCUAUCAAUUUUUCUUUUUAUAACAUAGGUCAAGACUACUAACAAAUAAGAAAAGACAAAAGAAGAUAGAAGAUAAAAGACAGAAAGGCAAAGCAUCGAUGAAACAAGAAAAUGCUAAGUUAUGUCUGAUAUGGUACUACCAUUUAGAUGAUAUAAGGGUAAUUACACUGUAUUUAUGAAUUCUGUUGCAUAUGAUGCAAUCCGUUUUGGAAUAGACUGAAACUCGUUUAUCAGAAUUACAGUGUAUUUGUAUUAUGGUUGGAGUGUUAUACAUUAUGGAGUAUGAUACUUUGAAGUUUGAUAACUUAGAGAUUUAGUCUAAAAUUAGGUUGUAUUUGUCAAUUUGGUUCUAUAUGAUGCAAUCAAUUCUGAAAAUAAACUGAAAUUCAUUUAUCAGAAUUAGUGAAUAACCGUAAAAAAUAAACUUUUAAUGAAAAUAAAUGCAAAUAUUAAUGUUACCAAAAAAACACAAUGCCUCAAAAUAACUAUUCUAUACAACAAUUGGCAUUAGAAAAUAAUUUUUUAAAAUAAAAAUAAACUAAAAUAAGUGGAUAAUCAUAAUUAGCACGAUUUUAGGGAUGAUCUUUUUUUAGAUUCAAAUUGUUAUUAAAAAUAUGUUUCAUGUAUUAUUUAAUAAAAAAUUUAUAAAUAUUUUGAAAUAUAAAGAAUCUGAAAUGUUUUAUAAAUAUUUUGAAAUAUAAAGAAUCUGAAAUGUUGAAUUUAUUUUUGUCAUUAUUUUAAGGAUAUGAGGUAAGAUUAGGAUAUGAGGUAAGAUUUGAAUUCAAAUUGAUGAUUUUAGUGAAUGAUAUAAAAUCUAAAUUCAAAUUGCUAUUAAAAAUAUGUAUUAUAUAUUAUUUAAUUUUUUUUAUAAAUUGUUUGAAACAUAAAAGAAUGCUAAAAUGUAGAAUUUAUCUUUGCCUACUAUUUUAAGGUUUGAUGUAAAAUUUGAAUUCAAAUCAUUAUUAAAUGUAUUUAUUAUGAAAUACAAAUAAAUUAUUAAUUAAUUAAUUUAAAUCUUAAGAAACCAAAAAUCUGGUAGAAACUACCAUAUUUUUAGAAGACGGUGACGCAAUCUUCCCAAAUAAAAAAAUAACAUAUUUAGUUAAGAUUUACCAAAGUUGAAUGUUGUUUCCAAAUACAUGUAUUCGUAAGUCUAUGAUAUCCUGUUUCAUUUUUCGAACUAUUCAAAUACUCGGUAAAAAAAAUGAAUUGUCCAAGGGGUAUAAUCGACUAUAGAAAGUAGCUUCUAAUCGAACAAAUUAAUUUGUCGAGAAAGUAAAUUCUAAUAUACAAUUUAAACAACCUAAUUUUUUGUGUAACUGAUUUUAUGAGUGAUUUCAUCUAGAAUUUUGUGAGAAAAUUCUAUUGAUCUUUAAAUUGAUUUUAUUUUUCUUAAAAAAUAACAUACCCUAAGAAUCUAAUCUUUUACUCAAAUAAUCUUAUUUUUGGUAAGGAAACAACUAAUUAAACAGUUUUAAUUAGUUGUUCUAUGGACUUUGAAAAAUGAAAACAUCACUGUCCUGAAAUCUUGAGAUGGAUUAAGGAUGUGAUUCAUUAUGUUUUAGAAUCCAUAAGAGCAUUUUUGAAAUUGAAUAGCAUCACAUCUCAUUCAUAUUAUCCAAGGUUAUUGUGUAUCUAAUUCAACCUUCUAUUUUAAAUGAUUGUUUGAUCAUACAUGUUAAGCAAAAAGUUAAAUUUUAAGGUCUAAUAUUAAUUAGAAUCCAUAUUUUAGAUUUGUGUUUAAAACUGAACCAUGUAACUCCCAUCUUCUUCAUCUUUUCCCCCCUUCAUUCCUUGAAUGUGUUCUUCCUCCAAACAAAGAAAUCUCCUUUUUGUUGCUUACCCUCUUUUACAAGUUGUUAGUACGUGGGCAAUAGAAGAAACCCUCACAAUCAACACCUCUCUAUCUUUCCUUCACAAUCCAUAAAGUUUUACUCUCCCUCUCCCCUCAAAAUAUGAAACAAAAAUAAAUAGAAGUUAAAAUAGUCACCCACUUUAAUGUACAAUCAUCAAUAUCAUAUUCAAAUCAAUUAAUAAAUAUAUUUUCAAAAAUAGCAAAAUAUUAUUAAAACUAGUUACUAUAUUUAAUAUUUUCUUUUACAUUUUGUAAAUACUUUUAAUGUUUUGCAAUUUCUUAUUAAAAAAAGACUACAGUAAUAAGAACCCAGGUUCGAAAUAUCAUGAAAAUAUCAUAGUUCCAAUUUUAUGAAAACAUUGACAUCCAUGAAAGAUUUAAAAAUUCUAUGAAAAUGGAUGAAAAUUGUUGUAAUUAAUUCAUGAAACAAUUUGAUUGUCGCUUAACUAGACUAUAUUUAACCAUUUUAAUCAUCAUUUUUAUAAAGGAAGACAACUUUUAGAUAUAUAGUACAAAAACCAUGCAAUAGGAAAUUGUUUUUCUUUCUCUUAACAAAAGAAAAAUAUUAACUGCAAAAUUGAAGGAAAUGACAUGUGUGUAUACAAAAUAUUUAUAAAUUACAUGUUAACACCAAUAAAAAUGACCUUGGAGGCAUCUAAUCUAAGUCUUCAUAAUUCUCAUAGAAACUACAACAUUACUUCCCUCUCAUCCUCUAUUGGUGGAUACAUCUCAUUGGUCGAUGAUCUUCUUCAAGAUGGAUAAUAACCAUUUGGUGUAAAGUUAGACAAAUUGUUAUGGUCAAAUUUUUAAAGACCAUCAAAAUCUAAGAAUAAUUAUCUUCAGCAUAGUUUUGUAGUGUAUGAUUAUUAAUUAUUGCUUAAGCUCAUCCUUUCCAUAAUUGAAAUUAAGAAAUUCUCAUAUCCAUUAUAGAGAAAGCAGCAGUCUAGAAAUAAAUGGAAGUGGAUAAAAUAAUAUAUAACCAUUUUCACUAUUUUCUUGCAAAAUGUUCAGAUGAUAACUCUCUGUCUGAUGGUUCCUACUUCAACCCUUACCAAAACUUUUUAGAGUUGCAAACUUAUAGUUUCUUUACAACAUACCCUCAUCUCAUGUAUAGAAAUUUUGCAAUAAAUUAGAGGUGAAAGUUAGGAUGAGAAUAAAACAGAACUGUGCUUCUAAUCCAACUACUUGAUACCAAGAUUUAAUGAAUAUUAUAUAUAGACACAAGGGUAAGGGGACAGAACAAAUUAUGACCUGAGUGAAGUCUUAGCCAUUCUCGGAGUAUCGAUAUCAUCAUAACACAUAUACACGAUCAGAUCCUGCACACUGGCAUAUAUUUUGGACAGAUAGCUACACAGCUUGUGUCCUGCAAUAAGAAAGUUCAUUGAAAGAAGUGGCUAGGUUAUUGGAAAAAACAAGGUGAGUUUUCAGUUUUCACUUGGCUUACCUUGAAACUAUUCUCUUGAGUGGCUUCCAUCAGCUUGUUCCUACUUACUAACAAAAUGUAUAUACCUUUUCUUGGUAUUGCAUAUCAUGAUUUGAGUUCUUCCAUGUCAAAAGCUUCUUGAUCAGAGACCGUUGAAAAUGAGCCUAUAUUUCAGGCUUUUAAAAUAACAAGCCUGAUGAAUGGAUGUUAUAUGCAUGUACCAACCAUGUGAAUAAGAAAAUCAUUGUAAAAUCUGCUGUAAAAAGAGCUAGUAUUUGAUUAGGGCUGGGAAGGAAGCAUGAAGUUCCACCAAACACUCAAAGAUCCAAUUUAGCAGUUGUUCUCUGGGUAGCUCUAAGAGAAGACCAGCCUGCCAAAGGUGAAAGGGAAGACAGAAACCACAUAGAAAAGGAAAAACUAUAAGAUACUAAUUUGAAUUUUAUGGGUUGGAAACAGAACUGAUCAAAUGUUUCAGUUUUGGGAGCAUUGAGAAGUUAGUGUGGCUCCUGAUACAAUGUAUCACAAGAAAAGAAGGUCUGCCUGAAACAAAGAUGCUUACAAAUUUACAUCACGAAAUUUAUGCAUAAGAAAUUUAAAUAUAUAUAUGUGAGUUAACUCAGUCUGUUGCCGCAUUUUUUUUUCCUUUUUUUUCUUUGAUAUUUCAUAACAAAAAAUGUUCAGACUAAAAGAAAUUCAUUUGGUUUUUUCCAUUUCACAUCUCCUGACAAGCAUUUCCCAGCUGGGGGAGUGAAGGCAAAAGAUGCAAGAUUAACUUCAAUAAGAUAGAGAUAGGUAGACAUUUAAUAAGCUCACCUUGAUCUGAUGCUCCUCAAAAGACAAACAAUUCCGAUGCACCUCUGAUGUCAUCGAAUCUGAUAUCAACUUGAAAACUUUCUUGUUCAUGUUAGUUUCCAUGCAAACAGUCUUUCCAGAAGCAUAUAUCCGAGAAAUUCCUAGAUCCGCUGCCAUUCUUCUCACAUAAAGCUUCUUCAGGAGAAUCUCCAUGGAAUACGGCUCUUUUCCAUGAUGACGGCGUAAAUUCUCAGUAAAUUGCAUUAAAGUCCAAAUGUCUGUCUCAGCUGCUCUCUCAGCUCCAUUAAGUAUUUUCAUGGGAUUCUCCAAAUAAUUAAUGUACUCAGAAGGCAAAUGAGGAUUAAUAUCGAUAUCAAUCUGUAAGAAAGUGAUAAAGAUCCGACAAUUUAAAAUACAGAACCAGAAAAUUAUAUGAAUAAUGAAUAAAAAAAUAUGGAAAGAACCCCCAAGUAUCUAGAAGAAUAAGAAACCCAAGUAGUUAGAGGAACUUGAACCUUCCUAUUGAGUAAAUGGCUUGUGUUCAUCUCUCACUCUCUCUACUUAUACAAGUCCUAAUAGAAAACCUGUUUGCUCGACUAUCAUACCUUUACUAUCCUAAUCUCCAACUGGUGGUAUUUCUGACAAUAUUUUUUCUCAAGUGGUAUUCCUAACACAAUACUUUUUCUUUCUUCCAUAUAAUAAGCAAACAAAAUCUUUAUACUCUAUAAGCUUCAACUUCAAAUUUUAUCUUCAAUCUUUAGAAGGCAAGUUGUAUUUCACAAAGCAAUCAAUGUUGAACUGAAUCAGUAGAAACAAAGUAGCAAGUCCGUAUUUUGCAUGUUAAAGACCCAACUCUUUCCAUCAACAAAAAAUAGGUGACGUAUAACCAGGAAGUAAUCAAAUUUAGAAGCUUAAACUCAUUAAUCAACUUCAUUUUCUUUUCCUUCCUUUUUCUUAUUUCUUUUCCUUUUUCCCCCUUCCACAACAAGAGAGUUUAAGAUCACUGAACAUCAGCAAACACAGAUCCAGAAAGUACCUUCACUGACUGGUAUGGGACAGAGACUACCCUGUGUUCGUCCACCUGCAAAUCAUGGGAAACAAUCCAUCCCGAAUUAUUGAAAUAAGCAAUCAACCCCAUGCUUCAAAAGUUACAUAAUUAAUCAAACAGUAGAUUGCACGCGUGCACACAUCAUGGUGUGCUGAAGAUAAAGGAAACAGGAAAAUGGAACAAUGACAACAAGAAGGAUGCAAAGAAAAACAAAACAUUAUGUUUUGGAAAUGGGGAUGGAAUCUCAGCAAAUUAACAAUUUAAGCAUUAUUUGUAGUUUUCAUUAUUAUUUUCUAUGCCAGAGUCAAGAAGUAAAUAAAAACUUCUAAUAGGAUGACUACAGAGUCAAAGCCAAUGUGAUAACUGAUUCAUAUAGACUUAUGAGCACAAACGCUGACCUCCCAAAAUAUAAAUUAGGAGAUGGUGAAUUAUUACAAACCUUGGAUAAGCUGUCGAAAAGCAUUUCAAAGAAUAGAUCAAUGCCCACAUUUCCAACAUCACCAGUUUGUUGCUCGCCAAAGAUGGUACCAAAUCCUCGUAUGCCCAUGUCUCUCUCAGCAAGUUGAAAACCUUGCCCAAGUUCACGGCACUCUUCAAGAGCAGCAAGCCUUUCCUAAAUUAUGGAAAAGAAGGGCAACAAACAUAUAAAGCAUUAGAAAGUUAUACGAUGGUAAAAUCCCCAAGCAAUUGUCCAAAAUAUAUUUUAUUAACGGCCCGAGCCUCCAUAUCGUUUCCAAUAGCAAAAACCAGAUGGCAAUAAAACUACAAACCAGUGCAUCGUCAGAUAGCAGAGACUUGUCUGGGUAAAAUAAGUAUGCAUAUGCUUCCUUGUCAGCCCGGCCCACUCGUCCACGCAGCUAUCAGAAAAAAACAUAAGGAAAAGAGUCAAAAAUAGUAAAAUAAUAGAACGUUGAAGAAAAGGGCAAAGUUCAUAAAGAUAAAAAGCAAUAAACAUAGGACAUGUUUGGAAUGAGUUUCUAAAUUCUAAGAGCUUUAAAACACAUAAUUUGUACUUAAAAUACUUUUUUAAGCACCAAGUCAUUCCAAACAAGCCCAUGUUACAUGACCAUUUCAAUUUUCUGUUCCAUCCCUGAAAGGUAACAUGUCCAAGGGGAAUAUAAAAGGAUCCACACAAGACAAAGACAUGAUUGCCAUGACAAAAAGAAAGAAUUUCCCUCUUUACAACAUUCAAUUGUAUCAUCUCUUAACCUUCAUUUACAAAUAGACAUUCCAAAUGCACAUUCCUAAUAAAGAUUCUGACUGGUACUUUUUGAACCACAUUGUUCUUAAAAAUUUGAACAAAACUAAAAUGAAAAAGAGAAGGCAAGACCUGAUAUAAUUGGGCUAACCCAAAUUGUUGAACAUCCUGAACAAUGAUGGUGUUUGCAUUUUGAAUAUCCAAACCACUUUCAACAAUAUUUGUGCAAAUAAGAAUCUUAAUAUCACCAAGUGCAAAAUUUUCCAUGGUUUCUUCAAGUUGCUUUGAAUAUUGCUGCAAACAAUAGAUAAGUGAAAUGAAAUAACAAUAAAUGUACAAUACGCAGCUAUGACUUAUUUAGGACUGAACGAUGAAGGUAGUCCAGUGGGGAACUAGGUUUCCUUGAUGAUAUUUCUAAUACAAUAGAUUUAGACUUUAAACUUGGUUUUUGAAGUCUGGUUGUCCUCCAAAAAGGAAAAUUUCCAUAACCAGUAAUGGGAAACCGAGAGUCUGCACAAAACAAUGUGGAGUGAUCUUGUUGAAUCUCUUAAUGAACCAGGAGUCAUUCCCAUGAAAAAGUAAUAUCCAACAGUAAGUGUGCCAGAAAGUAAUUUAUUCAAACGAAAUCUUUAUUUCCUUAAAGGGUGUUUCGGGCAUUGAAUUGGUUAUUAUAGUCAGUAAGUAUUAUAGCCGGCUAUAAUAAAAUUAUAUUGCAAACACAAACUAUUUUAGUCUGGUUUACAAUAUGUUGUGGUUGGAGCAUAGACUAUUUUAGUUUGGAUAAAAAAUAGUAAACAUUACAACAAAGAAGAGAGGAAGAGUAAAUAAUAGUAAACAUUAACAAAAAGGAAUUUGAAUUAGUAAUAUUGUACAUAAUUAUAGACUCUAAUAGUUGGAAAUACCAGCUAUUAGAAUUGGAGACCCAAUCCCGUACAUGGAGUGUAGCCCACACCACCCUCUUGAAGUUGGGGUCUCAAGCACCCCCUAAAUUUCAAUAAACUAAAGCACAGCAAGUUUUCAUUGUUGUUCCAUAUUCUAGCUUAUCAGACAAUGUAGAUUAUUCUAGAAAGAAUUGCUAAAGCUUAAGUUUUGUGAGACAGCAACUAGUUCAAGGGCCUCAUAAUUGACAAAAGGGCAAAUACCUUUCCAUGAGCAAGUGCUAUUUCAAUAUCUGGAAAGCUCGCCUCAAGAAAUUCCUUCACUUCUUCAAGUCCUGUGAUUCAAGUAUGAUAGAAAAUCGCCUGAAAUUCUUAUUAAUGGAUGUAACAAGGGAGAGAAGAAGUAUACCUAAUGCUAUCUCAACUAUAAUGUAUACCACAGCAAAGUAAAUCAAACUUCAGGAAUUACAUGUUGGUCAUUAUACUCAGGAAAAAUAAACCCAAAAUAUUUGGAUAUUAAUACUUCCCUGCCUUUUCCUCUAGGCUUAUACCAGUAGUCAAAAAAAGGGCAUGUGAUGACCCAAGAAUGUAUUUGGGAGAGAGUAGAUCCCAAAGAAUAUUGUUAGUUAGGGGGCUUGGUUUUGCUGAGUAAAUAUUACUGUUUUGGCUGGAGGGUGGGUAUCUUUUGGCUGUUAUUUGUAGAUGGGACUCUCUUAUGAGUUUUGGGAGAGGAAGUGAAGGUCUUGGAUUCUUCCCUACUGCUAUAAAUAAAAUUGAGGGCAAGGCCAAUCAAUCUUUUAGCCUCCUUUAUACCUUGUUUCCAAUUAAAAUUUUCUUUUUUCCUAUCAGAGACUAUAUAUACGAGUAAAUUAUUCCUAGGAAGGGCGGGCUGGGAACUGUAUUUCUGCAGAUUCAUCCAAAAGGGGAAAUUUAUUGAAUCACUUCACUCCUGUGUUCAUUCAAUGUGGUUCACUAACAUAUUAGCUGUAUUUGUCCUCCUUUUCUUACACUUCCUCCUUAAUUAGUGGGUCAGAUUAAAUACUAGUUAGAUAGUUAAUUUUAAAGGGUGCACCUCGUGAUCCUUAGUUCUUUACUUCUUUAUUUGAGUUGGUGCUAUUUGUAUAACUCUCUUUUCUUACAUUUCACUCCUUGUUCAUUCAAUGUGGUUCAUGUUAGACCACCCAUAAUCCAUCAGUACAGUAGGAGAAGGAAUAAUAAAGAAAAGAAGCGGAAGAAUGAGUUAGUUAGAAAUGUAACUGCAUAAGGGGGGACCACAAUGAGAAGGAAGGAAAUAUAAAUAGAAAGUGGAAGAGAGAGAGAGUUAGCUUUUUGGUGAGAAAGCGAAGAAGGAAACAAUGAUCGACACAAGUUCAAAGAAGUUGAUAUGCCAGUAUUCAAUGGUGACGAUCCAGAUUCAUGGCUUUCCGCGUGGACAGGUACUUUCAAAUACAUAGAUUAACUGAUUCCGAAAAGCUUAUUGUAGCCACAAUUAGUUUUGAAGGCCCGACUCUCAACUGGUAUCGAUCUCUAGAGGAGAGAUAUAAGUUUACCGAUUGGUUAAACUUGAAGGAACGGUUAUUGAUCCGAUUUCAGUCGAUUUCCAAAGGAUCUCUAUAAGGCCGAUUUUUGCGAAUUCAGCAGGAAUCAAGCAUAGACGAAUAUCGAAACCUUUUCGAUAAGUUGGUUGCACCCCUAGUGGAUAUUCAGGCGAAAAUCGUUGAAGAAACAUUUAUGGAACGGUUGUCACCAUGGAUUAAGGCAUAAGUGAAAUUUUGUCGCCCGGUGGGAUUAUCUCAGAUGAUGAAGUAUGCGCAAAUGGAGGAAAAUCGGAAAAUUCUACCCCUCCACUAAUGCCAAAACUAAUACAGUUAUAAACGGCAAUGAGAACAAAGGAAAUAUCAUUUUCCGAUGAGGACAAUUACAUUAAGAGGAUCACCGGCAGGAGAAAUUAAGAAAGAAGGCCCAUCCAAGCGAUUAUCUGAUGCUACGUUUCAGGCCAAGAGAGAGAGGACUUUGUUUCAAAUGUGAUGAAAAGUAUUAUUCGGGGCAUAAAUGUAAGGUGAAGGAAACAUGCGAGUUACGAAUGUUUGUGGUAAGGGUGGAUAAUGUGGAAGAAGAGAUUAUAGAGGAAGAUGAGUAUGAACAAAAGGAGUUGCGCGCUAUUGAAUUGAAGGGUGACAUUGAGGUAGUAGUGGAACUGUGUAUUAAUUCAGUGGUGGGGCAGACGAAUCCUGGUACGAUAAAAAUAAGGGGAAUGAUUCAAGGGAAGGAGGUUAUCAUGCUGGUAGACUGUGGAGCCACGCAUAACUUCAUAUCAGAAAAGUUAGUGACAAUGUUGAAACUACCUACAAGAGAUACUUCUAAUUAUGGAGUAAUCCUUGGGUCCAGAACCGCCAUUAAGGGAAAAGGAGUAUGUGAGAAUGUGGAAGUUAUUCUCAAUGGAUGGGCAGUAACUGAGAACUUUCUGCCAUUGGAGCUUGGAGGGGUAGAUGUAAUACUUGGCAUGCAAUGGUUAUACUCUUUCGGAGUAACUGAGAUGGAUUGGAAAAAUCUCAUUAUGUCCUUUUCUCAAGAAAACAGUAAAGUGAUAAUCAAGAGGGAUCCAAGCUUGACAAAGGCCUAAGUUAGUCUGAAGAGCUUAAAAAACCCUAGACUGAUUCUGACCAGGGUUAUUUAGUUGAAUGCAGACUUUGGAAGCAAGAGUCACAGAGGUUGACUUACAAGAAGAGGGAGGAACAAAUGCAGUACCUGAACUCACAGUGCUUAUACAGUAUAAGGAUGUGUUUGAGUGGCCUGAAGAAUUACCUCCAAAUAGGGCCAUUGAGCAUCAUAUACACCUAAAAGGAGGCACGGAUCCGGUGAAUGUCAGGCCCUAUAGGUACGCCUUUCAGCAGAAGGAAAAAAUGGGGAAACUAGUAGAUGAAAUGCUCUCCUCUGGAAUUAUCCACUCCAGCACAAGCCAUAUUCAAGUCCAGUACUUCGGGUGAAGAAGAAAGAUGGAAGCUGAAGGUUCUGUGUUGACUAUUGAGCACCCAACAACAUCACUAUUCCAGAUAAGUUUCCAAUUCCCGUUGUUGAAGAACUUUUUGAUGAGUUGAACGGAGCAAAUUUAUUUUCUAAAAUUGACUUAAAGGCUGGUUAUCAUCAAAUUAGGAUGUGUAACCAAGAUAUAGAAAAAACAACCUUUAGGACACAUGAAGGGCAUUAUGAAUUUCUAGUGAUGCCGUUUGGACUUACAAAUGCACCUGCUGUAUUUAUCCUCCUUUUCUUACACUUCCUCCCUAAUUAGUGGGUCAGAUUAAAUAUUAAUUAGAUAGUUAAUUUUAAAGGGUGCACCUCUUGAUCCUUAGUUUUUUACUUCUUUAUUUGAGUCGGUCCUCUUUGUACAACUCUCUCGUAUUUUGUGCAAUAGUCUUGUUUUAUUAUAAUUAAUAAUAUUUUGAAUGGUCUCCUUUUCAAAAAAAAGCUUUCAACCACACCAGACAAAAGUUAACUUUGGGAAUUUAUACUCUAAAAAAGGAAAUAUUGAAUGAAUUGAUCGUAAAUUAUAAGAUUUUGCGAUUUCUUCUUCUUCUAAGGAAGAUAUACUCCAUAUGUACUUGAUGCAUAUGGGGCAUUUGAUUAGGAGCCCAACAGCUCAAACUCAUUGAGAGACUCCCCCAACUUAUCAAUCUACUGCUUGAAACCAAAGUUGAAGAUGAAGGAGACAAUUUUGUGCCCUGAGAAAGAGGCCUCAUACAGCUCUUACCAUAGUGCUGUGCUGAUCUUAUGACGUGAUUCCACCUGAAAAUCAUUAAUCAUCCAACAUCUUUAGCAUUCCCACACUGGCUGCUACAACUAAAGCUUUUGCCUUUUAAUUCAUUUGUGAUCAGGAUGAUUAACAGAAAAUUAAGAUCUAGUCUCCAAAUUAGAAGGUGAAAGAAUAGUUAGCUCUGUGCACAGCAUACAACUCCAUUUCUUGCAUCAUACUACUGGGAUACAAAUUCUUUAAUUCAAAUCUCUAUUUUUCCAUGUGCACACAAUCCCAGAUUCAAGCCUCUAAACUUAGGGAGAAAUCAACAGAAUCUAUCACUUCGAAUACAAGGAACGAUUCCCUCUUGUGCAGUUGGUAGUGUCUGUAGUCUCCAAAUUAAUUAGCAUCUUCUUGGAGAAAAAUUCAUGCCAACUGCAUGGAGAUGUGAGCUCUUCAACUUCCUAAUAUCAAACUCCUCACCCCCGAUUCGCCAACUUAUCAAUUUGCAGUAAUAAUUUGAACAAUAAUGAUGCCACAAUAAUAGAACGCCUCUUACAUUCCGUCCUUUUUUGGUGGUUGUGAUUAACAAAGAUUCUAAAUAAGCUGAAUAGGGAGCUUUCUUACUAUUGAAGCAUUCUUUGUAUGUUACCAUCCUCUUGGAAGACCUUACCAGAAAUUUUGUGACUAUUCUCAAUCCAUGGUCAAUGCCAGUUCAAAAUUCUCCUCCAGGUUUAAGUAAGUAAGAGAAAAGAGAGAUGCAAUAAUAAAAUAGAAGAACUGCAAGAAGGUCAAGUAGACAAGAGGGCAGCCAAAGGAGCAAAAAGAUUCUCUAAUGGUUCAUCUGCAUCUUAUUUUCCCAUUCCUUCUCUCUUCGGUAUUAAUAAAGUUGAUUUUAUCAAAAUGCAUGCAUAUGUACAAGUAUGAUAAAAAGUAGAGCCAUGAAGGAAUGGAGAAAGUAAACCAAUUCUUGAGAGUACAGUACAACGAAAAUCUUAAAGAAAAAGUACAAUGAUUACCUUUAAUUCGAGGUAAAACAUAAAAAACUUGGCCUCCACGUUCCAGCUCAUAUUUAAUAGCUGAUUUCACUUUUUCUUUACUGAAUGAUGAGAGAUGGGUUUUUAUUGGGACUCUUUCUGGAGGUGGAGUUGUAAUCAAGCUAAAGCAUGGAAAGAAAGCAAAGGUUCAGUUUCGAUAACUCAUAAUAGAGGACCAUGGAGAUAAGUCUACUGAAAGGGAAAGUCAAAACAGAUAAAUCAGCAGGAACAAAAAGUUAAUGACAAGGAAUGAGAUAAUAUCAGAAGACAAUUAGAAAAUGAAACAAUUUGUUACUUCCACUAUCUAGUAUGCCUAUGACCAAAAUUAAUGAUCAACAGUCACAAAAGAUGAUUAAUAUUGUUCAAUCUAUCAUUGGCUUAAUUUCUAAGGAUGUCAAAUAUUGCUCAAUCUAUCAUUGAGUCAAAUGUAACAACAAUAUGGUUGAGCUUCCCUAACUUAUAUAACAAACAAAGUAGAAAGGGUUAACAGAAUUAUUACAAAAUCCAGUUAAUGCUUGAAUAUCUUCUUCUUCACCCAUGAAUUAAGUGUGUUGAGUUAAUUACCUAGCAUCACGAAAUCCAGUCAAUGCUAAAUAUAGGGUCCGGGGUAUUGGUGUUGCGGAGAGAGUGAGAACAUCAACUGAAGUUUUAAAGGAUGCAAUUUUCUCCUUCUGUUUGACACCAAACCUCUGGGAAGAAAAAAAGGAAUAUAAAGUUACUCUCAACUCAAAUCAGGAUGAUUAAUAGCAAAUUAAGAAGGGAUGCCAAAAGAAAUAGAACCUGUUCCUCAUCAACAACUAGAAGCCCUAAAUUACUAUAUACAACACGAUCUCCAAGGAGUGAAUGAGUCCCAACAAUAAUAUUCAAUUGACCUUCUUUGAUCAUUUCAAGAUGCUUUUCUUUCUCUGCUUUUGUCUGCAUGAUGUAAUAUCCAGUUAGCUUAGACAUUCAAUUGUCGUGCUCUUUCAGAGUGAGUUCAGAUUAACCAAAAAAAUUGCAAUAAGUGGCUGCAUUGAUGUUGAGUCUACUGAUUCUAAUGGUUGAAGAAAUUCAAAUUACUUCUUUAUAGUUGUUCAAGCCCGUGUGACUAACAACGUAUGCCUUGUUAUCUUACUAGACUUAUAUGUGUGUUUCUUCACAUAAUAAAUAUUUAUCAAACAAUACCUGGAACCUGCUCAACAAUCCAAUCUGGACAUCAGGAAAUGAAGAAAACCUUUGUGUGAUAACUUCAAAAUGUUGUUUGGCAAGGACUAUUGUUGGUGCUAGAACCAUAGCUUGCUUUCCUGCCGAGACCACACAGAAGAUUGCACGCAAUGCAACUUCAGUUUUACCAAAGCCAACAUCUCCACAAAUCAAUCUGUCCAUCGGAGUUUCCCUCCCAGUCAAAUCUUUCUCUACAUCUCUGAAAGCCUGCAUGACAAGAAAAAACAUCACAAGAUGAAGAUACAAGAAUAUUGUAACUCUUCAAAGCAAUAUUGUAAUAAUCUUUUAAGUACUUGAGCACCUUGAAGAACCACACCCCAAAAACUAACUAUUGGGAUGGAAGAACCAAACCACUUAAGUACCACAUUGGUCGUCCCAUUUUAACCAAUGUGGGACCGAAGUAUCUCAUGCUACCUAAGUUCCUACAAUACCCCCUUCCCAGAAAGUUGACAUCCUGGCGACUACUCCAAUGGUACUUCACUCGGCCAGAACCCUCCACCGGUUCCACUCCGGAACUUCGACGACCAGCUCUAAUACCAUUGUUUAAGCACAUUAGAGAACAACACCCAAAAGCCAGCUCUUGGGGUGGAAGAGCCAAGUCACUUAUGUACCACAAUGGUCAUCCCAUUUGAAAUAAUGUGGGACAAAGGCAUCCCAUACUACCUUGUGGUUCCUAAGGUAAUCUUGAAGUAUCUAAGGACUAAUUUGAGGUAGGAUAGGUAGAUGUGUAAAUAUAUAAAAGCAUGCUCACACAAACCUAUUAUGCUUAUUGUUAUAAACAUAAAUGUAACAGAGCAGCAAACCUAUUCUGCUUGUGGUUAUGUACUGGUACAGACAGUAAAAUAUAAGCAACUGAUUCAGACCCAUGUUAAAGCAUGCACAGUCAUUACUCCAAAAAUAAAUGGUAGGAUGAUUGAUUGUCAUGUAUAAAAAAAAAAAAAGGAUAAUCAUGACAUUGUGAUACUGGAUUUUGGCCAUUUACAUUGUUUGAUGAAAUUUCUAAAAUUUCCUAUACUUUCUACACAUUAUAAUAUGAAAUUCAUUUUGUGUAAAGUACAGGUGUCCUUGUUUAUAUGUAAACCAAACAUAAUGAGCAAUGUCACAUGACCAAUCAUUUGUCAAAACAACUCAAAGAUUAAGAUUAUGUUCUAUGCAAUGGGUAAUGUUGCGAACAUUAUUGAAACUAUUAGUUUUAAAUUCAACUAAAAUUAAGAUUACAAUUUAAGGACAAAAGAUUAGGCUGAUGAAAAUGUAAAUGCAUAUAGUAACAUCUCAAUUCAAAACCAUACAUGAAACUUUGGUUUCAUUCAGCUCCCUUACGGAAGAUGGAUAAAUUCCUAGAAAUUUCUGCCCUCCCUCACCAUCUAUCCAAGGAAUUGAAGGGCAGAAGCCUUUUUGAGUGAAAGUACCUCCUUUUGGUCCACUGUAGGCUCGUAAGGAAACUGGGCAGAAAAUUCUUCCAUAGCCGAACACUUCGGAUAGGGAGACCUUCUCUGUUUCAACCUAUGUAGAUACAAUUCCAUCAAGUCAACAACCAUUUUCUGAAUCGCAAUUUUUCCCUUAGUCUUUCUUUUUUCCCAUGUGGUAGUAUCAUUUAAUUUGCUCAAUGUGCGAGGUCUUUUGUUUUCAUUUGGCCUGAAAAGGUGAUAACAUGUUAAAUAAAUGGAACGUGGAUGCAUAAACAGAAAUACAGCAAAGCAUAUAAGAAUUGGGACGUAUAAUCCCCAACCCUAAGUAGACCCUAGUUGUAGAAAACUGCUGAGAAUAAUUUUUCUUCCCCUUUUCAUCUAUAUUCUAUACUCUGUAGGUUUCUAGCAUUCAUUACGUAAAAUAUAAAGCACCACCAGUGGACCAAUAAAUUCAGCUUAAGUAAUAGUAAUACCUUCAAAAUCUUGGUAAAUUUAGAUUCAUUCAUUCCUGGUCUAUAAUGGAGUAUCAGAAAGAUGUUAAAGAGAACAACUGCUUCCAAAUAUAUCUGGAUUGACACUGCUGAAGUAUGGAUCUAGAUAUCUUAGAAGUCAUUGAAAUAUCGGGCAUCCUAAAGGCAUGAAAGAGUGAACUACUUCGCUAAAAAAACUGCAUAUCGGCAAAUGUUCAUGUCAUACUUAUGUACAGCUCAAUUGAAAUGACCCUAUGAUAUAUUGUUGUCAAGAAACUAAAUUUUAAUAUUCUAUAUAAGUGAUCAAAUCAAGUUUGAACACAUUCUCCCAAAAAAACUACUGUCUUUCACAUAUCCCAAUGAUGGGUUGGUUUAAUUACAGUAAUUGUCAAGUCUAAAACAGCAAUAAGGAGCUAGACUUUUAAUAAUAGAUUUAUAAUAAUACAAUGUGUUUCUGAAAAACUGCAGUAAGCAAAAGCUACAGCAUUGAGAAACUAGAAAAACCCGAUAUCCCAGAUAUUACAUUAGUAAAAGAAAAAUCCCUAUUAAAAGAUACAUUAGUAAAAGAAAAACACAACUACAGUUUACUAAUUAUAGUGCCAACAUAUCAAUCGUAAACAGCAGCAAUUUACGAAAGACCACCAUGAACAGAAUGCAUAAGUGAGUAAAUAAAUAAACAAACAAACGUACAGACUAUAGCGAUACAGCAUUCGAGACGCCUGCUUAACAGGAAGCUUCGCCAUCCCAUCAGCGUACUCGAUGAAGACAUACUCAAUAGCCUCCGUAGAACCUUUCUGAACAUCAAACUUAAUCCCAACAAAUCGGCCAAUACCAACCUUCUUAUGCACAACAUAAUCCCCAGAACGAAGCGUAUAAGGAUCAACCUUAUAAUUAAACCCAUCGCUCUCUUUCCUUUGUCUAUCCCCUUUCAACUUCUGCAAACCCCUUUGCUGCUGCUCCUUCACCAUCUGAAUGUACCGGUCCGCCUCCUCGGAGUCCAUAGCGGUUCUCGAGGAAUCCCUCUUCCCGUGAAAUCGGAGAAUUCUCUCAUUGAGGAGCGAGAUAGAGUCUCGUUCAAGCUCAAUUUGGUCUCUCCUCCUCGAGGAUUUGGCGGUACCGGGAACUAUAACAUCUUCGGCAUAGACAACAUUAGUAAUGGAAACACAUCGGUUAGGAAAAUGGCGGAAGGUAGAGUUGCGAUUGAAGAGUCCCCAUCCCCGUAGGGUGGGAAAUGAGCAGAGUUUGAAGGGUAGUACAGGUGGGGAAGAGGAAACAUCUGGGGCAGGUGAAAGAAGGAAAGCCAUUGAAGAAUAAGGUAAGAGAGUAGAAGAAGAGGAGUGAGUAGUAAGGAGGUUAAGGAAGUGAAAACGAUGAUGGAGAUGGAAAUUCCGCCAUUGAAGAAGUGGAAGAGAGGUUUGAGGAUAAUAGUGGGGGAGGUUUUGGAGGGGUUUUUGGAUUUGUACGUGGAAGCAAGCCAGCCAAAUUUUGGUUUUAGAUAUUUAUAAAUCGGGUCGGGUCGGGUGAGUGUAGGGAUAUUUUUCAAUAUGUUAAUAAUUCACUGAGAAUUUGUACUCAAUCUAUUAAAUGAAGGAUGAAAAUUUUAAUAAAUGUUGUGAACCACCAUGGUUCGAAAUUUCGUUAUUUGAGUAUAAAAAUUUAUGUUAGUAAUUUCUUCUGUCUAUAUUAAUAUCAUUCUUCAGAAUAUUUAUUGUGCAAAUUUUUAAUAAUUGUUUAUAAUUGAAAAUUAAUCAAACUUGACCUAAAAUGUCUAUAUUAGUACAAUGUUAAAAAAAUCAAUGUGUGCCACACCAUGGACGUCGUCGUCGAUUUUUAAUUGGUUAUCGUCAUUGACUUUGCACUCUUUGUUGCUAUAGCUCCUUUGAUUCUCUUGUUAUUGUUGUUCAUCUGGAUUGCUCGGGUACUAUUGCAUGCUACUGUAAAUUUAGUCUUUUUUUACACAUGCAAAUUUUGAUUUCUUGAUGGUCAUGGCAAAUGAUCAUCUAGAAAACAUUUUUCUUGAUACAAUAUUUAUCUUGACGUUCAUGUACGUCAAGAAAAGUCCCUUUAUUUUGUUAAAAAAAUACAAAAAAUAAAAAUAAAAAUUAUGGAUUCUUGAUGUCUUGAUGUAAACAUGGAUAAUAUAUUAGUUGGUUGGCAAUGUUUAUUAAGUUAGCAAGGUUUUCUUGAUGGAUGAGGCCCAUCAAGAGAUUAUUUUUCUUGAUUUGUUCAAAUUAUAGGAUGAACUCCUAUGUUUUAGAUGAUAUUUUAACUCAAGCGUUGGAGAACAUUGAGGACGUGUAAGAGGUGUAGGCAGAUUGAUUACAUCUUCGUUCUAUUUUCAUAAACACAUUUAGUCAGGGACUAGAAAAACUCAUAUUACUUUUGUUGUAGAUACCAAUUGGAAAAAGGAGAAAUCACAAAUCAAAAUACAAUCAAAUGGCUAAAAAGACGCUUAAGUUCAAGUCUUUGAAAAGUUCUAGAUAAACAAGUUUAGAUGCACACUAUGAGUGCCAUUAGAACAUUAAUGAGAAACAUCUGAUCUCAAUGUUCAUUCAUCACACGCAAAAAAUCGAUCUGGUAAACAUUAUGUUUAAAUCAAUUUUUUAUAUUGUGUUCCAUGAUUUAUUCGAGAUUGAUGAUAAAUUGAGCAUGUGAACGUAACUUUUUAGGGGAGACCAUGUAGUCUUGUUGUUGAAAAGGUUGAUAGCAUUGUUGCAGCAAGAACUAUGUUCGAAAGAAAAAGUGCAAAUGAAGUAGUUUAUGGAGUACAACUUGGAGCGAAAGAUGUGUGGAUUCUCGUUGAACUUUCAAGUGAUAGUCGUUCUCUGCUGCCCAUACCCACUGUUGGAAGUAUUUAUUUUGUAUAUACGAUGCAAUUAGUUCACAUGUUCUAUAGCCAAAGCAUCUUAUAGUUAUAGAAAGAACAAGAAAAUGUAAAGUUUUAAUUUCGAAAUAUGAAUUUGUGCAUUAGCAUGUUUUCAUUUUAAUUUUUAACAUUCUUUUAGUAGACAUCUAAUAGAAAAUCUUAUGAGUUAGAAUCUUUGAAAGGAACAAAAUCGAAAAUGAAGGAAUUAAAACUGCCAACGACAAUAAGGUUUGUGUUGGGGCAUGUAGAGAAGGAAAUAAAAGAUGAAUAUCUUACUAUCUCAGUCGACACUUUGGAAAUUUUUUAGUAUAGAUUCAAUGUAAACGAAAUUUUUUUGGUAUAGAUUCAAUGUAAACGUGAUGAAAGACAUCAUUACACAACUUUAUCUGAUCGGAGAAUUCGUCCUUUUAGUGAUCUUGAGUUACAUGAUGUAAGUGCAACUUUAUAAAUUUAUUUUAAUUAUUUUUUUAGAUGUAUAUUUCUAAUCUUAGAAGUGUUCUUUUUUAUUUUUGUUAAUGUCACAAGUUUAUACAAAUAUGACCAAAGUAUUAUAGAGGAAUAUAUAUUCAUGAAUUCUAGACAAAUUUCGUUUAAUUGCAGGUAAGUUAGAAAACAAGUAUGGUUAUUUUUCUUAUGUUUUUUUAAUAAUAAAUAUUUUUAUUAACUUGAUUGAAAUAUAUAACUCUUAUAUAGUUUAUAUAGAUAUCAUUGGAUAUUAUUUAUUAUCCUAUUAUGGACAAAUAUGUUGUAUGCACUCGAUUCAUUAAGACAUGGUGUACCAGACGAAUUGAAAUUUAUGGUCAACACACAUAAGUAUAUUUUUUAUUAUGUAAAUUGCAUCUUGUUAUAUUUUUUUAUUUUUUUUAAUUGAGAGCCUUAAGAAUGCUUUAUAAUGAAACAAACACAAGAGCUCGACCUCUUGCUUGGGUUUCUGUUAAGGUAUGAGUACUUAAAUUCCAUUUUCCAAAUAAAUGAUAAUAUGUUGUUCGAUUUAAAUAUUUGUUUUUAUUUUAACACGUGUUUUGAAAUAUAUGUGUGCUUGUAGGCAGUACAAAAUGUGAGUCUAUGUUAUGAAGUUUAUGCAAGACAUAGUAAGGCAAAAGUGUGUCACAAUUAUUGGAUGUGGUAUGCAUUUUCUUGCAUUAUCUCUUAUAACUAUCAUUCUUACACUUAGGACAACUUAAUUAUUAAAUUACACUGAUUUUCGUUUGCAGCUAACGAGACAAGCACCUUACACUUAAUCUGAAUUGGAUGUAGUGAGAGAUGAUUAUUGUGACUUUCUACGACGCUACAUAUGAUACAUGUUCUUUUUAUUGCAAUGAACUAGUAGUUUUUACAUUUAUAAGUUCACUACUACUAAUUUUGAUUUCUUGAAUGUCAUGAAAAAAGACCAUUAAAAAAGUAUGCAAUAUUUAUCUUGACGUUCAUGUGUGUCAUUAAAAGGUGCCUUAUUUUGUUGAACAAUAGGCAAAAACGUCAAGAAGUAUGAGUUCUCAGGUUGUGGUUUCGUUCACAGGCAAACACUGUCAAGAAAACCCUUUCUCGAUGGGCAACAGAGAUCAAGAUUACCAUAUUUCUUGACAGUCUGAAAUCCUCGAGAAAACCCUUUCUCGAUGGACAAUACAUAUCAAGAAUAUCAUAUUACUUAACGGGCAUUGUCAAUCAAGUAAUCGUUAAUUUUAAAUUUUGGCACUAGUUUUCUUGAUGGGUAUAGCUUAUCAAGAAAUAUAUUUAAGAGCUUUAACUACCAAGGCCUAAAAUGGUAUACCAUAUUACAAGCUGGACCAUAAUAUCUCAAAUUUUUCACAAAUGUCCUUAAUGGGCUUAUAUAUUACACAAAUAUAGGGUUAAAUUUAUCAAUGUACCCAUUGUUAUUAGAAAUUAGAUCUUUUUUUAAAAAAUAAAAAUAAAACAUUUUUACACAAAGGUGGGAUACGGUUUUGGUAAUUUGAAAUAUUGGACGAAAACCUUCCUUAUUCGAAAACGUUAUUUACUUCAUUCCAAUUUCUUCACUAAAGAAGCAGGCUAUCAUAAUAUUUGUGAAAUUCUACGUAGUGAAGAAGAAGCUUUUCGACAGAUGACUGAAGCAGAGAAGUUAGAAAAUUUUUCGACAGAAAUUUUCGGUUAGUAUGAAUUUAUAUUUCUUAUACGAUUAGGGUAUAUUGAGUACGUAGAUUGUGACUUCAAAUAAAUUAGGGUUUCUUAUGUUUAAAAGUACUAAAAUUUUGGUUGCUUGAUGAUAUGCUUUAAUUAUUAACUGUUGUGUUAAUCAUUUUACAGUCAUUUGACAUGUUAAUUUAAUUAUUUGCAACUUUUUUUUUAUUGAGCAUUCUACUUUCCAUUCUGUAUUAAUUUCUUUUUUAUUAUUGGGCAUCCAUUCUGUGUUAAUUUCUUUUUUAUUAUUAGGCAUCCAUUCUGUGUUAAUUUUCUUUUUAGUAUGGGCAUCCAUUCUGUGUUAAUUUCUUUUUAAUUAAUUAGCAUCCUGUAUUUGUAUUUGAUAAUAUUCAUUCUUCAUUAGCACCCACUUUACCGUCUGUGUUGAUUAUUUAUAUCCAUAUGGCAUCCUAUGCAUAAUUAAUUAAUUAGCAUCCUGUAUUUAGUAAUACUCAUUCUUCAUUGGCAUCCAUUUUACAGUAUGUGUUAAUUACUUAUCCUUAUGGCAUCCUAUGCAUAAUUAAUUAAUUAGCAUCUUGUAUUUGGUAAUACUCAUUCUUCAUUGACACCUAUUUUACAGUAUUUGUAAAUUACUUUAUCCAUAUGGCAUACUGCGUUAAUAAUUACUGCUAUCCAUAUAGUAUCCAUGUUAAUAAUUAUCCAUGUUAAUAAUUAUCAAUGAUAUAUAAUUAACAUUCUGUAUUUGGCAACACCCAUUAUUCAUUUGGCCUAUUAAUUAAUUAGCAAUUUGUAUGUGGCGUUUUUCACUCACUCAUUCUAAUUAUUUGCAUGAUGUAUUAAUUAAUUAAUCAGUAUGCAUCUGGCUAUAAUUAUUUGAUAUUCAUUUUGGUGUGAUUAUUUAUUUGCAUAUUGUGUUAAACCUACUUUGGCAUUCAACUGUUAAUUAUUAUUUGAUAUCCAUUUGACAUACUCGUUUAAUUAUGCAUUAAUCAAUUAUUUUGCAUCAUUUUGAAUUAAUUAAUUAUUUUGUAUGUGUUGUAUUAAUUAAUUAUCUUGCAUCCUACAUUAAUAUCUUUUACAUUUUGUAUAUUGCUUAUAUUAUCAAUGUAUUUAUUUUAUCUCAACAUAUUACGCUUAAGUAUUUUUCAAAUUUCAUAAUGUUUUGUCAUUGUUAUUAUUCAUUUUUCAAUUUAAAUAUAAAAAUGUAAAUUAGAGAAAAAGUAUUAUUUUUUUAUGAAUUUUAUAAUUUAAAAUCCAUGAAUACAUGAAAUUUUUCCGUUUAAAAUUAAAUUAAUAGAUUAUUUUUAAAUAAACACAUUUCAUAUUUUAAAUAAAACGGAGUAGUGUUUUCUAUGAAUUUAUUAAUUCUAUAUACAUGAAAUUUCUUAUUAAACAUCUAUGAUAGAGAUUAAAAUAUCAAGUUUUGGUAUCUUAAUAUUCUUAAGGUGAAUAAAAAUCUUUUGAAACAAAAAUAAACUUCAUUUUUCUAAUGGCUCCUAUGCCACCCAUAAUAAUCAAUUCAUGCUUAGGUUUUUACUUUCUUCGAUAUGAAUUGAUAAACAUGAGACAUUUAAACAAAAUCUAAAUAAAAACUUUGUUUUGUGAACCCCUAUAUUUAAUUUAAAAGAUAAAAUUGGGUAACCAUUUUGUGGGUGUUGUAGGGUGCUAACAGUUUCCCUACAUAACUGACCCCUGAACUUAAAUAUCUAAAUUUACGUAAAUCAUUUUUUUUGUGACCAAUCACACCUUAAUAUGAUUGGUGGCGGCUCCAAAAUUAUUUAUUAAAAAAUUAAAUAAACGGGGAGGUCGGCCGCUCCGCGUCGCGAUCACGUCGCGACAGUUUUAUUUAAAUUAUAAAUAUGUGCGUUGCGACGUGAUCGCGACGCGGAGCGGCCGAUAUCCUCGUUAAUUUGAUUUUUAAAAAUAAAUAGGUUUUGAGUUGCCACCAACCAUGUUAAGGUGUGAUUAGUCAUCCAAAAAAUAAAAAGAUGGUCUACUUAAAUUCAUGAGAUUUAAGUUCGGAAGUUAGUUAUGUGUAGGAAAAGUGUUAGCACCCUACAACACCGAUAAAAUGGUUAUCCAAUUUUAUCUUUUAAACUAAAUUAAAAUAGUUCACAAAACAAAGUUUUUAUUUAGUUUUUUAAAAAUGUCUCAUGCUUAUCAAUUCACGUUCGAAGAAAAUAAAACCUAAUCAUGAGUUGAUAAUUAUGGGUAACAUAAGAGCCAUUAAAAAAAUAAAGUUUUUUUUAUUCAAAAGAUGAUAUUUUUUUUUAUUUAUUCACCUCAACAAUAUUAAAAUACCAAACUUUGAUAUUUUAAUCUUAAUCUCAGAUGUCUAAUGAAAAAUUUCAUGUAUAUAAGAAUUAAUAAAUUCAUAGAAAACAUUACUAGUCUCAUUUUAAAUAUGAAAUUGUUUAUAAUUUGAAAGACAAUUUAUUAAUUAAAUUUCAAAUGGAGAAAUUUCAUGUAUUUAUGAAAUUUAAAUUAUAAAACUCAAACAAACAAUAUUUCUUCUCCGUUUUAAAUUUUUAUAUUCAAAUUGAAAAAUAAAUAAUAAUAAUAAUAACGACAAAAUAGGGUGAAAUUUAAGAAAUACAGGUUGUGAAAUAAAUAAAGUAAUACGAUAAGAUAAAAUAAUACAGUAAGAUUAAAAUAAAAUAAUACAAAGAUAAAAUAAAUAUAAGCAAACAAAUAAAUAAAAGAGAAACAAAACAGGAUGCAAAAAAAGAAAUAACAUGUCAAGUAAAUAUUAACGCUCGUGAAGGGGAAGAUGGUGCACGUACUUCUUUUUUUCCUUUUCCAAAAUAACAAUUAAAUCAUAUUCUCUUUCUUCGUUAAUCAUCCAUCAAAUGAAACUUUUCAUUCCUCCUUUUUUUUUUUUAUCUUCUCUAAAAACCAUACUUUAAUUAAAUAUAUAAUUUCCUCAACCUUGGUAACCUUAAAUAUAAAAACAAACACAAACACGUAAUUAACCAUAAUCCUUAAAUAGUUAUAACAUCUUAAUAUAAUUACUUUCAUUCCACAGCACCAAAACCAAAAUCUAUCAUAACUUUAAUUCAAUUUAGAAUAAUUAAAUUUUAAAAAAAAAUCUUAAAUAUUGGGGUGUUACAUUUUAACUCAACGUCAUCCAUAUUGGUUAAAAGCAAAACUCUUUCUGAAAAAAACAUUUUUCACUACGAACGGACCUUUAUAAUUAGGAAUCCAUUUUCCUCGAUGAUUCUUUUGAAAUAGAAGUAUCCUUUUUAACACCAAAUCCCCUUCUUGAAAACUUUGAGGGUGCACUUUCUUAUUGUAUGCUUGCAUUAGUAUUCUUUGGCAAAGUUGUCCAUGACUUGAUUCUGCCAAUCGUUUUUCUUCAACGAAAUUCAACUGCUCAUGAUGACCUCGUAUCCAUUUACCUUCAUCUAACUUAUCUUCCAUGAGAACUCUCAACGAAUGUAUCUCAACUUCUAAAGGUAGGACAACUUUCAUACCAUAAACCAAAGAAAAUUGUGUUGCCCCCAUUGAAGUACGAACUAAUGUGUGAUAUCCAUGCAUCGCAAACGGUAAAAUUUCAUGUCAAUCUUUGUAUGUUGUUGUCAUCUUCUCAAUUAUUCUUUUAGUAAUUUUGUUGGCUGUCUUAACUGCCUCAUUCAUCAUGGGACGGUAUGGAGUUGAAUUUCUGAGAUUGAUCUUGAAUUGCUUACAAAGUUCGUUUAUCAUUUUGUUAUUAAGGUUCUUAGUAUUAUCCGUAAUAAUACCCUCUAGGAGACCAUAACGACAUAUCCAUUAUGUCUUAACCCAAGAUGACGAGACCGACCCAUAGCUUUCACCCAUCUCCGAUCUCAAUCUUCGCGUCUUAGAUCUGAGACAUCUGUUCCAUCCAUCUCCAAUCUCAAAUUUUGAUCCCUCCUCCGCCGAUACAUUAACUUUCAAUUAGUUACUUGAUAGUUUUUAAAUAAAUAUUGACCGUAGCAUAGUUCUAUUUCAAUAGUUUAUGUCAUCUAUGAAACAAGGUCAAGGCCAACCCAACGAUUCAAGAACCCAUAUGGUUAUAACCCAAAUGCAAUUGAUCCAUUUACAAGAUGUUCCUUAUGCUUUGUAUUUUUAAAUGGUAGAAUUCAAAAUCUAUGCAUUUUGUUUCUUUUUCUCUAUUUGGAUACAAGUCUUGAAUUUUUUAAUAAUUCAGAAUAUAUUUGUUAAUGUCGUUGUUUUUAAGUUUAUUAAAAAAAUGUUAAUAUUAUUCUUUAAAAAAUUAGAGAUAGGUUCAUUGAAAAUCAAUUACUCAAAUUAGCAAGCUUAAUAGUUAAGAUAGUGGCUACAAGAACAAAAUUCAAAAUUUCUCAAAGUACAGAAAAGUAGAAAGAACAUCUUUGAUUUUGUCUUGUUGCAGUGUUCUUGAUCUUGAAAGGACAAUUUAAUAUUAUACUAAAGAUGUUUCAUACCGAACAAAUAUGAGAAUUCUUUGAGUUGACCUAUCUCUUUGUUAUCUCUUUGUAUGGUACAGAAUUAUAUAUUGGUUUUGUUGAGAUAGUAGCAUGUUGGCAGUGGCAUAAAAUGUUGAAAUACCAUAAAUAUUGAGUUGAUAAUAGCAUAAUUCUAUUUUGAAUUUUUUGAGAUAGUAGCAUAAAUAUUGAAAUAUUGACAGUAUAAUUGACAAUAGCAUAAUUAUAUUGAGCUUGUGAGUUCAUUAUUGGUUGUCUUGUUGUGAUUUUGCUGAGUUUGUGAUUUCAUUGUUUAUUGUCUUGUCGUGAUUCUGUUGCGUUUGUGAUUUUAUUGUUGGUUGUGUUGUUGUGAUUUUGUUGUGGGUGAUUGGGUGAUCUGACCUUAGUUUUUUAUAUUGUUUAAAAAAUGGAGACAAGUAGUAGACAACAUAGGGAGACUAGCCCUAGUCAUAGUCCUAGUCCUAUCCCUUCCAACAAUAAUGUUGUGAGUUCAAGUAAACCACCACUACCAGAUAAGAAGAGAGCUAGAGUCAUUACGAAGACAACUUCCACUGUAUGUGUAACACCCCGAUCUUUAAGGUAUCUUAUAUAUUUUUAAAACAAAAUUUGCAUUUUAGUUUGAAGAUUGAUUUAUUUUUAAAGAAAAGAAGUUAAGGGAGGAAGGGAAUUUAAAUGUUAUGAUAAUAAUAAUAAUAAUAAUAAUAAUAUAUAUAUAUAUAUAUAUAUUAAUGUGAUUGACUCAAAGCUACAUUUAUUAAAAUGUUAUCAACGACCUUCGAACUUAAGUGAGAUAGGUUGACUGUUAGAAUGUUGAGUGAAAGAACUUUAUAUUUUGAAGUAACUGAAAAAUGUCAUAAAUUACCGUAAAGAUGGUUAGAAUGGAUUGAGGGGAAAAAUUGUUAGUUUUAUUGGGAGGUAUGCCUUGUAGGUGUCCUACGGGAUCACCAAUUUCUAUGCGACCUUCAGGAGCAUUAGACUGAUAUGUGUUUCUGCAGAACACUAGACUGAAAUGUACGUCCCUCGGGGCGUUAGACUGAAAUGUGCAUCCUACGGGAUCACAAGACUGCGACUGUACAGGGUGUCCCAAUAGAAUGUUAACAAUUUAUUUCCCCCUGACGGGACCAGUAGAGGGUCUCUUACUGGGUACUUUUAUACUCACCCUCCUUAUGUUUAAUUUUUCAGGCAAAGGUAAUAAAGGCGGUAAACCGGCGAGGGGCAGGAAGGAAGCGUGACCGCCACAGGGGACACUUUAAAAUUUUGCUUCCGCUUAGUGAUUUAUAGUAUUAUUUGUAUUCGAACGUGAGACUGUUUAGAAAAUUUUGAGGUUUUAAAGUAUUCAAAGAUUGAAACUUUUUUAGUUUUAAAUUUUCAUGUGAAUUUUAGUAAUCUAAAACUGGGGCCCAAACAAACAAAAUAAAUUUUGUUCUUUGAGGUUUUAAAUUUUAAUUAAACUCGGUCUUUUGUCAAAAUUAACGAUUUUGACAUAGUUAGAAAAGUCGGGUCGUUACAGUAUGGGAUCACUUCACAAAGUUGGAAGAUAAUAGUUCUAGGUGCACAUGCAAUUAUUGUCAUAAAGAGUAUUGUUGUGAUACUACCUCAUGUGGAACUAGCACAUUAUGGAAGCACUUAAAAAAUCAAUGUAAAAGGUACCCAUAUAAGGAAGUAGAAACGGGACAAUCUAUUUUGAUCCUUCAACCUUCCACUGGUGGAAAAAGUGGUAGUAAUUUUGUGACUACUACUUUUAGUCAACAAUUAUGUAGGGAAGCAUGUGCUAAGCUGAUAAUUGUUGAUGAGUUGUCAUUCAAGUUUAUCGAGAAUGAGGGAUUUAGACAUUUUUGUAAAGUGGUUUGUCCUAAGUUUGACCCUCCUUGAUGAAAAGAAGAGAUUGAAAUCAUUCUUAGUUAGCAAUUCUCAAAGGGUAUGUUUGACAACUGACACAUGGACUUCUUUGCAAAAUGUUAACUACAUCGUACUCACAGCACACUUCAUUGAUUCAGAUUGGAUUUUGCAUAAAAAGAUUUUGAAUUUUUGUCAAGUUGCUAACCACAAGGGUGAUACUAUUGGAAAGCUCAUUGAGAGUUGUUUAGUGGAAUAGGGGAUUGAUAAAGUCUUUUCUAUAAUUGUUGAUAAUGCAAGUUCGAAUGAAGGAGCAAUUUCGUACAUUAAGAAAAGACUUAGAAGUUGGAAAAUCUUAAUUUUAGAAGGAGAAUUGUUACACAUGAAAUGUUAUGCUCACAUAAUUAAUUUGAUUGCAUGUGUUUGUAAUGUUGUACGUUAUGUUAGAUCAUCCUCUAAAAGCUUAUUGACAAAGUUUAAAACUUGUGUGGAGCUAGAGAAAAUUGAUUGCAAAGCUCUUGUUUGUUUGGAUGUUCCAACAAGAAGGAAUUCUACAUAUCUUAUGCGUGAUCAUGCACUUAUAUUUGAAAAAGCUUUUCAAAUAUUAGAGGAAGAAGAGUUGGAUUAUCAAGACUAUUUUUCAAUGAACAUGGGAAGAAGAGGAAUGGGCCACCAAGUAAUUCUGAUUGGAAAAAUGUUGAAGAUUUUGUCAUGUCUUUUAAAGUGUUAUAUAAUGUCACUAUAUAAUAAGAUUAGUGGUUCUUUAUAUGUGACUGUCAAUUCUAUUUUUCAUGAGAUGUGGAGGAUUAAUGAUCUUUUAAUUGGUUGGAGCAAUGAACAUAAUUCUAUUUUACGUAAUAUGGUUAUAAAUAUGAAGUCAAAGCAUAACAAGUAUUGGGGUUCAGUUAAGAAGAUUAACAAGCUUGUAUUUCUAGUUGUGAUGCUUAACCCUCGAUAUAAAUUGGACUAUGUUGGCUUUUGUUUUGAAAGUAUAAACGAUGAUGUUAUGGUUAAAGUUCUUGUUGAUGAAAUUGAAGCUUACUUGAUGUGAUUGUACAAUUGUUAUAAAUCACAAGUUGAUGGCUCUGACUUUCGUAAUGAUUUGAGUGGUCAAGAUGUUGUUUGUGAAUAAGUGGAAUCAAGUGAUAGUUUGAGACUAUUGAGUUUGAGAACGAUGGUGGAAACUGACGCGGGUUUUAGAGUAUUAUCACGCUACAAGAGAAGAAGACAAGAACAAAAUACUUUAGAAUUGAGGAAUGAUGUUGAUCGUUAUUUAUCUGAUCCUUGUGAGGAGCUAAACGAUCAGUUUGAUCUAACUGGGUGGAAAUUGAACGGGGUUAAAUAUCAAAUUCUAUCAAAAUUGCUCAAGAUGUUUUUGUUGUUCUGGUGUCUACUGUGGCUUCUGAAUCUGCAUUCAGUGCUGGAGGAAGCAUUUUGGAUUCUUUUAGGAGUUCCUUAUCACCUAAAACAAUGGAAGCUUUGUUUUGUACACAAAAUUAGGUCCGUGGCAAAACAACCUUAUUGGAUCUUUGUCGAGAGUUUGAAGAAAUGGAAAUUUAUGAAAAAUUUGAGAACGGUAAGUCUUUAACUUUCUUUUAUUUUUAUUGAAAAUUGUUUUCUUAUAUAGUUGUAUGACACUUUAUAAUUUUAUUUUGUGUUUUUAGAUAGUAUCAAGUUUUCUGUCAAGUCACAAACAUGAUCUAUGGGUUGGCAAUUUUCAUGGUAAUUUACUAAGUUGAAUACUUGUAUUUUCAUCAUUUCGUUUAUUUUAUAUAUUUAAACUACUUACUUGAUUUUUUUUUUUAAUUUGGAGGACAAAUUUAAAUGAUUUGGAUGCUUGAAUGGACUUCAAAUUUAUAUUUAGUUGUAUCUUGAACUUUAUUAUUCAUUUAUUAUUAAAAAUGAACUUCAUGAACAUUUAUGGGUAAUGUUUGGAUUUAUGUAUUUUAAGAACUUUGAAUUUAUUUGUGUAUUUUAAAAACUUUGAAUUUAUUUGUGUUUGUAACUUUGAAUUUAUGAAUGUUUCAAACUUUGAGUUUAUUUUAUUGUAUGAAAUUUUAAAUUAUGUAUGUUUAAAAUUUAAAUAUAACAAUUUAUAACUUUUAUAAUCAUUAAAAACUAGAAACGAAAAAAGAAAAAAAAAACUAUACAACCCGACAAUCCAACCCAACCCAUAUUUUACGGGUUGGGUUGGGUUAAAAACUAAAGAGUCUUUAACUCAUAUAGCCUAAUUUACCAUAGGAUAUUACAAAAAAAAAAAAAAAACAAAUUGCUAAUAUUUUACAUAAAUGUAUCAAAUGGGCCACAAUAUUACACAAAAAUAGGCCCAAAUUGCCAACAUAAGCUUAGCUCAACGAACACUUGUGUGUUCCUGUGAAAUUACAAAUAUGCCCAUAUAGUAGUUUUUUCACACCAUAUGCAAAAUUAUUUUAAAAUAGGAAAUAGGAGAAGAUCGUGGGUCAUUAAAAUAGGAAAGUGGUGGCAAGGUUUCUCACUUUCCAUAUUCAAAAAAUCAGAUUCAUUUCGACAAUGAAGGGUUUCGAGGAUUCUGUUUUUGACGGUGAAGAAGAAGGGUUUCAUCGAUUUCGACAGUGAAUUGGGAUCCGUUUUCGGCCGACCAGUUUCUCUAUUUUUCGACGGACGAAAAAUACGAUGUUAGGUUGUGUAUGUUCAAUAAACAGUAUACAUUUGGUAUAUUAGGUAGAUUAAAGAUAUUAGUCUGAUAAGGCAAUGAAAAAAAAAAUGAAAUUUUGCAUGUGUUAUAUCCUAGGGUUUAUUGAGGUUUCGGAGUGAAGAAGAACGUCGCAGGAGGGUUUUUUCCUAUAGAUAUUGGGUAUAACUUAAAUGUUCAUUUGGUAUAUGUUGAAUGUUCUAAUUGUUGAGCAAAUGCAAAAAUGUAAUUUUUAUUGUGACAUACUCUCGUGUUUAUUGAGAUUAUGAGUUUUAGAGCUCAACUGAAAUGUAGUUUGAGUUCAUUUGGUACUCUGAGUUUCUUUAGCUUAUUUGACAAUGCAAUGUGUUUUACAUAUGUUAAAUGUUGGUAGUGUAGAAAAUGGUAAGACGAAGUGAAAGAUGUCUUGGGUCACAUAUGUUCAUUAGCUACUAUUUCAGAUACUCUGUAACUAACGUAAUUGUUAGUUUCGUUGAAAAAACCAUCGAAAUAGACUGCAAUGCUGGUCAUCCUGACACACAAAUAUUACAACUAUAGGUUAUUAUAAAGUAUAAUUGUAAAUAAUAUAUGAUAUAUAUUGUAUAAAACAUCAACUAAAAGUAUUAUAUCUCACGGGUAAUAUAUAAAACUAAUAUAAAUGUAAAUAAUAAAUCACAUAUACAAAGUAUUAUAUAUUACGAUAAUAUUAUAAAAUUAGGAUAAUUGUAAAUAAUAUAUGGUAUAUAUAUUAUAAAACAUUAACUAAAAAGUAUUAUAAAUUACGGGUAAUAUAUAAAACUAAUAUAAAUUACGGGUAAUUUAUAAAACUAAUAUAAAUGUAAAUAACAUGUGAUAUAUAUAUAUAAUAAAUCACAUAUACAAACUAUUAUAUAUUGCGAUAAUAUUAUAAAAGUAGUAUAAUUAUAAAUAAUAUGUGGUAUAUAUUUACUAAAUCACAUCAGGAAACCAAUAUAAUGAGGGGUAUAUCGUUAAAAUAUACGAUAUAUAUGCAUAUGAUAUACUCUCAAUGAUCUAAUCAUAUAGUUAUGGUGUUUAACUAUUUAACUUUAAACGGGUAAAAAAACAAAUGACUUUCUGUGGAUAUUAUCUUAGCUUCAGGUGAUGGAGAAUUGAAUAUGUCGGUGACUUGUAAAGAAGAUGCAGCUUAAGGUUAUUACAAAUAUGGCUAUCGAAAAAUUGAUAAAACAAUGUAAUAAGAAGUUAGAAAUUUAUGAUUGAAUUUCUAAAAGCUUCAAUGGUGGACAAUAAUGACUGCCGGCAAUGAAGAAUAUUAGAUAGAAAUAUAUUCUUGGAAAGAAGAUAUAAAUAGGUUAUUACAAAUUAGAAUAAAAUUACACAUAUUAUAAUAUAUUUUGAUUUAUAGUUAAUUGGAAAGAUACUUAAAAUUUAUAAACAUAUUAAUUAAUCACAUUAAAUUUAGGAAGAUGUGGAAUUCAUAUUAAAUUCAAAUCAUUUUCAAUAAGGAAAAUUUUCAAAUAAUAUUAUGAAUAAAAUAUCUAAUUAAUAUUCAUAAUAUCUAAUUAAUAAUUAUUGAAAGGUUAGAAAUGCCUAUAAAAUGUUAUCUUUCCUAUUUAAGAAAAUAAUUUUCAAAUUAGAACAUUUGUGAAAUUUCUUAUUCAAUUAAUGUCUUUUGUUUAAAUCCUUCAAAACUAAAUUCGAGUUAUUCGGGUUGUCAACCUAAAUAACACGAAAAUAUGGGUUGGGUUGAGAAUGUCUCCCAACCCAACCCGAUUUCACCCCUAGUUGCCUUAUAGCCCAUUCUUUCAUGAUAGCUAUUGUUAAAAGCAUAUGAAUAGUAAUUGGUUUCACAACAAGGCUAAAUGUUUUAUUAUAGUUAAUAUUAGGUGUUUGGUGAAAGCCUUUUGCAACUAAACGGGCUUUAUACCUAGCAAUUGAUCCAUAUGAGUUUCUUUUAGAAAUAACUGUGAGAAUAGCAAACUAAAAAAUAACAAAUCUGAAAAAUAUUAAAAUUUUUGGCAAAACUAGUGGUUACAGAAUUUUUUGGAUUUUUUUCUACCCGUUUAUACCCUUUAAGUACGAUAAUACGUGUUUUUAGAUACAAUGUAUUAGUCAAAUAACACACAAUCACAAUCACAAAUACAGUGUAUUUCAAACUACAAUUAGUUUUAAAAAAUAUUAACUAAUUUGGAUCAACAAGAUUUCCCCAAUAUCUUCUAAAUAUAUGUCUAUAAUUCAUAACAAAUUUUCGGAUUUUUAGUAUUUAAAUCAAAUUAAUUAAUAUUUAUUUAUUUAAUUCAUGUUUAAUAAAGAUUCUCCCUACAAAAUUGCUAAAAGAAUUUCAAUCGUUCCUCAUUCAUUAGAUUUCAUAAUAGUUCGAAUUCAAAUAUUAUGAAAUCUAAUCCCUAAAACAACGACAAUCAUUACUUCAUUAUUUUCAUAUGAUAAUACAUAAUACCUAUGGUUAAUAAAGAUUUGGUUAUGAGAAUUUCAACCAUUCCCAAAUCAUUAUAUUUCAUAAUAUUUUGAUUUCAAAUAUUACAUCAUAUCCUUAAUGACAAGCAUAAAUUAAGCAUUUCGUAUUAUUUAUAUUUCAAGUUAUUUAAAGAAAAUUAUCAGAUAAUACAUAAUACGUAUAGUUAAUAAUAACUUAAAAGCAAAGUUUUAUCAUCACUACAAUCGUGCUAAUUAUGAUUAUACACUUAUUUUGAUUGAUUUUUAUUAAAACAAAAUAAUUUAUUGUGCCUCUUGUAUCGGAUAAUUAUUUUUCACGUUGUGUUUUUUAAUUAUGUUAAUAUUCAUAUUUAUUUUAAUUAGACGUUUUAUUUUGUAAUGUGACGUUUUAUUUUCAAUCAUCCUUGUUAUGCAUAUGUAAUCAAGAAGUAUAAUACGUGUGUUAUAUCUCGAUACAAGUAAUGAAACCAAAUAUCAUACCAGUGUAUUUGCAAACUUUUGAAAAAUAUUAACUAAUUUAAGAUAUUUUCGAGAUUGACAAGAUUUUCUCAUAUCUCCUAAAUUUAUAACUCAUAACAAUUUUUCGGAUUUUUAAUAUUCAAAUCAAAUUAAUUAAUAUUUAUUUAUUUAAUUCAUAAAACUUAUGUUUAAUAAAUAUUUUCCCUAAAAAAUUGUUAAAAGAUUUUCAACUUUCAUUUUUCGUUAGAUUUCAAAUAUUAUGAAAUCUAAUCCCUAAAAUAACGACAAUCAAUCAUCCACUAUUUUUAUAGGAUUUAUAUUUUAAAUUAUUUUUUUAAAAAAAUAUUAGAUAAUACACAGUUAUUUUAAUUUAUAUUUCAAAUUGUACACUUAUUUGACUGUUUUUUAUUUUUAAAAAUAAUUUAUUGUGUCUCGUUUAUUAAAGAAGUGUAUUUUGCAAACAACAUUCAAAUCUCGUAAAUGUUAACUAAAUUUGCUAUUUUGUUACUAGAUUUAUGCUAAUGGCAAAUAUAUAUACAAUACUUUCAAAUUUGUUAUAUUUUAAACAAUUUAUUAAAUAACACAUAAUAUAUAAAUUUUAAUAAAAAAUUGAAUUUAAAUUUUAGGAUUUAACUAUGCCUUAAUGAUAUUUUUGUAAUUAUUUGAAUCUUCUUCUUUUAGGUUUUAUUAGAGAAAAGAAAAGAAAGAGGUUAAGAGAGGGGCAACCGACAAGAGAUAAACGCAAUAUGAAAGAGAAUUUUUUUAUUGCAAAUAAGAGAGAAGAGCUGAAAUGAGUCUCGAAUGUAUGAACAACUCACCGAUGCGUAUCUUGCUAAGAUGUAUAUAAGUUUUGAAUUCUAUGGUAUAAUUUCAUGAUUUCAUCUUUAUUCUAAUAUCAACAAUGCUCUCCUUUUCAACUUGAAGCUUUCGGUUAUGGCUGUUCGAAAGGUGUAGAGCCAAAGCCUUUGAUUGAAUGUGUCUUAAUUUUGCAAUUACCCAUUUCAAAUGAAUUGCAUCUUUUGGACAUUGAAAUAGAUUUUAAAUUUUGCAAGCAUGAGGUAAAGCUUCCAAUUAAUGGCAAAUUUUCUAAUCUUUAUGUUUUUGUGAGAAAUUUUUUAUGUAGCAUAUGUUAUUUCAAUCACAAUGUAUUUGAGGUUUAGGUAAAUAAUUGUACUUUUUAUAUUGGAUAGGGGCAUUUGAGAGAUUGUUUCAUUUAUUUAUUUUUCUAAUUUUUAUGUUUUGCUAUUAUAACAAUUUAAAAUUAUUUUUGCUAUUUUCCCAAAGUAAAACUCAUAAUUUUCUAUUCUUCUUGACAAACCUUUCUUUUAAUUUUAAAAACUCAUUUACAUGGAACAAUUUUCCGAUUAAACUGCCUUGAAGUAAGUCUCCAUGUAUCAUUUUGUUUUAGUGCCUGAAAUUCUUCUACCAUAGCUUUCCUCUAGUGAGGAUGCUUUAAUGUUUCUUUAGCAUCACUAGGUUCAUUCUCAAUAUAAUCAAUUAAGAGUACUUUAGGUUUGAAAAUACCAUGUUUACUCUGGUUUAUCAUUGGAUGAGUAUCGAGUCUUGAUGAUUGAUUGUUGUUGUCUGAUCCAUCUUUGUGUUAUGAUGAUGUUUGCCUCUCACAGCUUUCUUCACUUAUUGGUUCUUUUGAAGAGUUAUUCUGAGUAGUCUUUAAAGGAUACACAAUAAUAGAAUUCAGAUGAUCAAUGUUAUUGUAAUGCCCCAAACUUGAAGAUAAAUUAUUUUGAGAGAAUUAUUUCGAAUUGUUCAAGAUUUUUUUAAAAAUAUGUUGAAGGAGAGAAAGAAGAUAUGAAAUGUAUUAAUAUAAUUAAAUAUAUAUAUGUAUUUAAUUAUAUUUUAUUAAUAUAUUUAAUUUACGUUUUAUUAAAUAAAAGAAAAGAAAAUGAAAAUUUUAAAUAUAUAUAUAUAUUUAUUUUAUAUAUUUUUUAAUAUAUUUAUUUUAUAUAUUUUUUAAUAUAUUUAUUUUAUAUUUUUUUAAUAUAUUUAUUUUAUAUUUAUUUUUUUAUUUUUUUACAUUUUUAUUUAAAUAAAAGAAAAGAAAAAGAAAACUUUUUUUUUCCCUUUUCUUCUUCCUCUCGUGCGCCGCCGACCGUCCCUCUCUUCUCCCGUUCGCAGCAAGCAGCCGCCGACCAUCCCUUCUCCUCUUCUCCUCUCCGUUCCGCCGGAUCGAGCCGAACUCAACCGCAACGUCUGUUUCUUCCUCCGUUCACCAAAGCCGAACCCACUUUCUUUUCUUCUUCGAUCCAAAACUGUCGCUGUAACCGUCGGCCACCGCGUAACUUUCUGUCCAGAUCUGCGUCGCCGUGCCCAGUCCUAACCGCCGCUGCAACCGUCUCCGCGCCAUUGCUGUGUCUCCGUCGAAGCCAAGGCCGCCGCGUGAACCAUUAACCGCCACGCCCUCCGCUCACAACCGUUGUCCAGAUCUGCAUCGCCGAGCCGUCCAGGUCCUCGCCGCCGCUCGUGCUUCACCCUUGCAGUUCGCAGUAGCCCAAAUCCGUCGCUGCAACCGUCGGCGCGGUUCGUGAAGCCCUGCCGCGCAACCUCUGUUUCCAGCCGCCGCCCAUUCCGUUCUCCUCUUUUUUCUGCACUGCCGCGCCACUCUCCGACCGCGUCUGUCUUCACCUCCGUGAAGUCGUCGACGCAUACAUCUUGUGAAGCCCGGUCGCCGUGUCAGAUCGAAUUUUGUGAGAUAUGUGUCGUGAAAGUAAUCGAAUUUUGUAUUGUUAUGCUUAGGAUUGUUUCGAGAACGUUAGUUGAUUAAGGAGCUUCCCUAACUUUGAGGUAAGGGAUUUUCUACCGGACUCACUUAUGAUUGUGAAUUGUAUGUCUGUAUAUGUUGAGAUUAUAUAUAUACACGUAUGGAUGUAGAUUCGGUGUUGAAUGUAUACUGUGGAUGACUGAAAAU
rnacentral:lncRNA from 1 species